UAUCCAGCGUAGACAUGCCUGUUAUACUAUUAACCAUAAUUGGAACCUCCGCUUCGAUAGUGCAAGCUUGAUUGAUAUCAGAUGGGUGGGUGUUUCCAUUUAAAAAAUAGAAAUGGGAAGUUGGAAGGGAAGAGGAGGUAUUGGAUUUGAUGGUACAACGAGAAGCCUCAAUAUAAAGUGAUGAUUUUAUAGGUUUCGUGCAAUUCAUAACAUAAAUAAUGCUACUCUCUAACCUUCCAUAAUCAUUAUGAUAAUAAUAAUGAUAAUUAUAAUAAUAAUAAUGAUAAUAAGUAUUAUAAGAAAAAUAAUCUACAGAAGUAAGAGGAAGGGAGUUGCAAUCAUCCGUGUCCAAGCUCGCAUCCACCAUUUGUAUUGUAUAAUUUUCGUAAAAGAUUUGUUGGACAGAUAAUUUCCCUCCUCUCCCAACCAAAGUGGUGCGAUUGUUAUUCUCACACUCAAGUUCAAAGCCAUAAGGACUACAGUGGAGAGGUUGGUUUUUUAAUCGGAAUGGAAAACUGAUAUUCAAAUUCCCACAGAAAGUAGAGCCGCAGUCAAGAUGCCUAGCAAAACAAACAGCAGGAAAUAGAAUUACAAAUAAAGCAAAAGCGGGCAUUAGGUGACCCAACAAUGGCAGUUUUGCUUUUAAUUUUGGCAUGCUAAAAUUUUGGGUAAGGAAGAAGAACAAUAAUGGGGGUUAAUGAUUAAGUUUCUAACUAAAUCAGGGAAAUAUAUAAGAAAACUUCAGUGGGAGAAGAAGCAUUAAUGGGGACACAAGACUUUGACUACUCUUCAGCUUUAUUUGGGAUGAAUAUUUUAUUUUCAAUAAAUUGUUUACACCUUUUAUUCUUUUAUCUUUUUUCUGGGAAACACCUCAAUCAAAUCACAUCUAAUUCCAAGAACAGUGCCAUGCAAGCAAAAGAAAAAGAAAUUUUAAUAUUAUUGAAAAAAUUUUAAAUAAAUUUGGACCAUAUGCUUGUAGAUCAACCUUUAUCACCUUAAUAAACUCCAAUUACAAUGAGGAGGACCAAGAGAACGCAAGUCUUUAGUCUUUUUUGAAGCACAAAAACAUUUAAGUGGCUGGGAACAACCUUUUGUGUUAUGUAAGACAACUAUUUGUUGCAUCUUUCUAAAAAGUAAGUUCAUAGUUAGAAGUGUCAAGCAAGGCGGCUCAAUGCCCAAUUGUAUAGAUUCUUUUUAUUUUAUUCCACGAAUACUUAACUACUUUUCAAAUAAUUACUUGAAUUUAAAAUAAAACAAAUUAAAUAUAAGAUAUAAUUUCUAUUUAUUUAAGUUUAAAUUCAAAACUAAAUUCUAUUUCUAAAUUUUAAUUAUCUAAAACAAUCGACUUAAAUUAAUUUAAAAACUUAAAUUUGAAAAUACAUGAAGAGACUUCAAAUUCCGUUUUAUUUUAAAUGAAAUCAGUUUAGCAUAGAGGUGUCUAUGGAUCAGGUCAAGUCGAACCGAAGUUCAGCUUCAAACAAUUUCUAAGUCCUAGCCUGUUUUUGAUCCAACUCACCCAAAAGCUCGAUUUUUAUUCGAAAAUAUUAAAAAUGUUUUUAAUUGAUAUUUUACAUAUUUUUAUAAUUAAAUUUAAAUUUAAAUUUAAAUUUUUUAUUAUUAUUUAAAUUAAACUAUAAAAAUAUUUAUCCAAACCUGAACUAAAUCGAGUUAGGCCGGGUGGGCGAUCCGGUCAACACAGGAAAGGAAAAAAAGGAAAGACGAAUCCUAAACAGGCAGUGUGCAGCCCACUAAAUUUAUUUUAAUUCUACAUGCAUUCCAUAUUAUUAUUUAGGAAUAAUAUAAUUUUUGACCCCUAAUCUUAAUAGUUAGGUGCACUUUAGUACAUAUAUCCUUUUUGCUCUACUUUGACACUUGAACUUCACAACUAAAUAUAUUUUGGUUCCUAAACUUAAAAAAUAUGAAAGUUUUAUGAUGCAACUCUCGGAGAUUGUGUUACAUCAUCACUUAAAAAUUAAAAAUAUAUAUUUUUAGAGAAUGGCGUGGUACAAUCUCUAAGUGUCACAUUCAUUAUUUUAAUAAUCAAAUUGAUAAUUGAACCAGUCAGACCACUACUACUCGAUUCAACUAGUUUGAUCAGUUCGACUGUCGGACCAAUAAUAAUUAAAUAAAUCAUUAAACAUUCAUAAAGUUCGAAAAAAAUAGAAAACAAGAUUUAUUAAACAGAUUAAACAUCGUCAACAGCUGGGGUUUUUCUUAGUUUUUUUUUACCAAUUUCAAGUUUUUUUUUAUUUAAUUGAUUCAACCUCUUUGUUCAAACCAUUAUACUGAUCGACUCUCAAUCCCAUCAGUCUAACCAUCCAAUCCACUCCUAUACUAGUAACACUGAUCACAUUAUCAAAUCUUAAUAGAAUUCAAGUUUAAGAGACCAUAAUAGACUUGGUUGCCAAGUCUAGAUGCCACAGUGGACCAAAAGAUUUACAAGUACCAAAGUAAACCUAAUUGUCAAGUUCAGGGCCAAAAUUUAUAUUAUCCUUUAUUUUUAUUAGUUUCACUACAAAAAUUAUAAGAGUUUUACAAAUUGCACAAAAAGAAAACCUGAAAAACAGAAUAGGUGCUUGAGGUAGAGUUUAUAUAUAAUUGGUAAAAAUACCAAGGAAGCUCCUGUACCUAGUGGUAAAUUGUAUUUCGGUUCAUCUACUGAAAAAUGGAAAAUUUAGUUUUUAUACAUUUUGAAAUGUGAAAAUUCUAUUAAAUGAUGACUUGGACAAGUGGAAAAUUAUUAUUUACUAGUAAACUAUAAAAAUGGUCACUCAACUAUUAAUUUUUUCGAUUUAGUCGCUAAACUUUUCAAAAUUAAAUAUUUUAAUUACCUUGAGCUUAUGUGGUUUUUUUUAUUAGUCUAGUAACAAAAUUAUCCCACUAAUAUUUACAUAUUUUAUCAAUUUGGUCUUAAACAUAAAAAAAUUAAUAAAUUUGGCCCUCCAUAUUUACAAAAUUGACCAAUUUAAUCCUAACUAUAAGAUUUUCUUAAAUAUUUCUUAAAAAAAAUAUUUUUAGCCAUUUAUAACACAUCCCAUGUGAGAUAUUAAAAUAAGAAAAAAAAUUAUCCUCUUUUAAAUCACUUGUAAAAAAAUUCGAAAAAUUCAGGAUAAAACACCAAAAAAUUUAAGAUCCAAAAGAAAACAAAUGCAUUAAAAACGUUAUUUGUACAGGUAGUACUAUAGCCAUUUAGUCUAAAUAGGUUCAAAAUCAAUUGGUUUGGUCCAAUGUGAAGUAUAAAUUAUAGUAAAAGAAAUUGUUACAAGUGACAUGAAAGAGGAUGCUAUUUUUCUUAUUUUAAUAUCUGACAUGGAUUAUCCCGGUGAAUUAUAAAAGACUAAUAAUGAUUUUUUAAAAUAUAUACAUUUAAUUUUUAAAUAUAUAUAAUAAAUUUUCUAACUGCAAAUAUAUAUAUAAAAAGUCAACAACAUUAAAAAUACCAAAUUAAGGGAAAACUUUGCAAUUUUAUGAAGGUUGAGGUGUAGCAUGCUAUGUUCCUAGCAUUUAAAACAAGUACUUGAACUUCAUACCAUGGUAUGUUCCUUAUGAUAUUGCAAACACCGUCUUAAUUAUAUUUAUGGCAUUUGUGGUAUAAUAUGAUACCAGGGAAGAAAGUUAGGUAAGAAAUUAAAAUUUUAUAUAAAAAUUAAAUAAUACUUUAAUUGAAAUGGUAAUAUUAAAAUUUUGAUAUGUAUAUGUUUCCGGUUCAAAUUUUAUCAUAGUAUUAUUUUAUUAAAAAGAUAUGAAAAAAUAAGAACACUCUCAUAUUUAAUAUUUCUUACUUUGUAUAUGAAAUGAUAUUUUAGUAAUAUCUCAAUUGAUUUCAUGACUAAUUGACUCAUGAUACGAACUCAACCAAAAAUUUAAUUUAAGUAUAGAUUUAACAAGUACUUAAUAGUAAUAUCCCUAACUAUGUAACUUGAAACCCAAUAAAUCAAACCUAGACCUACCCAUGGGUCGGGGCCACUAAGCCUAGUCGAAGCCCUACCUGAAAAAUGGGUUUGGGAAAAAAUAAUGCAUGUUUAGAAAACAAGUCGAGCCUUAAGUAAGACUUUUUUGUUUAGGCUCAGCCCAAAUUUGUAAAAAAAAAUUGUUGUUUUCUCACUGCCUUACUGUCAUUUCACUAUUAUGUUGCUACUAUUUUAUUAUUAUUGUUUGGAUAUUAUAUAAUUCUUAUUUUAUUGUUAAUUUUGCUACUAUUUUAGAGUCAUUUUCUUGUCAAGUUGCACAUAUUUUAGUGUUUUUUAAGUACAAAUAUUUUUAAUUUAUUUUCAAUUUGUUGAAAAACAUUUGUUUUAAUGUUUUUAGUGUUCUUGAUUAAUUAUAUAUUUUUAAAUGAUAUAAAAAAAUUUAAUACGGGUGAGCCGGUCUUGACUUGGGUUUUAUCAUUUUUAUUUAGGUUAGCUUGAACAAAAUUUUAGGCUCAUUUUUUAGGUCAAGCCGAACCCGAACCUAUCAAAUAGGUCUAAAAUUUUGUCAAAACCCAACUUGACUCAUGGACAGAUCUAAUCAAACAUACGUAAUUUCCAUUUCUUUAAAAAAAUCUUUCAUUAAAAAUUUUAAUUUUACUAAAUUCAAUUUAAAAAAAACAAGUUUAAUUUAAUCUCAUUCAUCAUUUCCUUUAUAGAAUAAUACUUAAUAUACUAUUAGAAUAUGAGUCUCAGACACUAUAAAUGAAUAGUAAUAAUAAAAUAGAUUAUUAUUGGGUAAAAAUAAUAAUGAAAAAUUUAUAAAUAAAUAUUAAAAAUCUUGUUAAUAUUAAAUAAGAAAAAUAAUAUAACAAUUAUACUACAUUUGAUUGGAGUAUUAUUUUCUUUCACAUGUUUUAGUCAUCUGUUAGAUAUAAAUUAAUCACAAUUGGUAAUUUUUAAGGGUAAUUAUACCAACAGUCAUUCAAAUUUGAUACAGCUGACAAAACAGUAACUUAGGUUUUAAUUCAGUCACUCAACUUUCAAAAAAUGACAAAACUGUCCUUUUAACCAUUUUUAUUAUAGACAUAACAGAAAAGUGACAUGGCAGUUGACGGCUUCCUUGUUGUCAUUAACCAACCAGUUGGACACUAAGCAACAAUUUAAACAACCCCUUUUAGCAUCACUUUAGGGUUUAGGCAAUAGAAGAAGAAGAAGAAGAAGAGGAAGAAAAAAUAGAAAGUUGCACCAAUUUGGGGACCUAAGUAAUACCAGAAAUCCAUUAGAAUUUCUGGAUUUGGCAUCAUGAUGACUGAAGCUCCUCAAAGUUGCAAAGUUCCUUUGCCUUCCUUGACUAGGAAAGUCCCUUUCCAGUAGCCGCUUUAUUUCAAGCUUGGAUUUUGCUUCGCCUAUAUCAAUAGAUGCAAACUUGAGCAGAGUGGAGAUAAAAAUUUGGGUUUGUGGGCAUUGUAUUAAGACCUUGGUUGACUCCAACUCAGUUUAAAUAGGAAAGACACCACGGUAGGGAUCGAGAAUUCGACAGCUUAAGGUUGUAGUCAAUGCAACAAGCAUUUGAAUGCUUAUCAAGGGUCUAAGUAACCUCUUCAUGAGAACAGUCACAUUGGAGGGAUGAUAAAUAAAGUUUGCUAAGUAUGGCCAAAAUAAGAAAAAAAAGUACAGAUCUUGGAUAAAUUUGUAUCAGAUUUAGACCUAUCUUCAGGUUUAGUAGACCUAUAUUCAGAUUUAGACCUAUCUUCAGGAUUAGGACCUUGGUUGACUCCAACUCAGUUGAAAUAGUAAAGACAUCGUGGUGGGGAUCGACAAUCCGACAGCUUAAGGUUACAGUCAAUGCAACAAGCAUUAAGAAGGAAAAAAGUACAGAUCUUGAAUAAAUUUGUAUCAGAUUUAGACCUAUCUUCAGGUUUAGUAGAUUUUGACAUCCCAAAUAGAGAAAGGCGUUUAAUCACAAAAAAGAUGUUAUCUCAGUAUUGGAUUUUACAGGAAAUGAAGAAAAAAUAUCAGAUCUUCCUCAUGAAAUGAGAAAUAAUUUCUUAUUUUUGAAUAAAACCUAGAAAGAUGAAAAGAUGAAAUCUUGAAGUGAGAAAUCUCGCAACAAAGUGAAAUGAAAAUUGCAGAUGAAAAAUACCAAUCAAUUUCUAACCCUUAACCCUGUUAAUCGAUUUUUAAUUUGAUUUUUUAAUCCUUAACCAACCUUGAACCCUGAAAUUGAUUUCUAACCCAACACUCUGGUUUGUUAACUAUUGUUUCUAAUCCACAAUAGCAACAACUAAAGGAAGAAGAAAAAGUAUAUCGGGGAAAAAAACGUUAACGGUUUUACAGUCUCUUCUUCUUCUUCUUCUUCUUCUUCUUCUUCUUCUGUUAUUAGGGUUUUUUUCUAUUUCUUCUUAAAUUGGGAAGGUUUCCACGUGGACAUAUCCAACGUGGGUAGUUCGUUGGCCAUGUUAGCUAGUUAACUGGUCACAUCACUUGUCUCCUUAGGUCUGUAACGGAAAAUAUUAGUAGGUGACUGAUUUGUCACUUUUUGGUAACGUUAGUGACCAGUUUGUCAAUUUUUAAAGUUGAGUGACUGAAUUUAAACCUAAGUGACUGUUUUGUCAACUGCAUCGAAGUUGGAUGAUUGUUGGUGUAAUUUACCCAAUUUUUAACCACUCUAUGACUUGUUUAUGAUAAAAAAGAGCAAAAUUUUUUGCUUAUUUUGAAGGGAUCUUAUUUUUUAAGUUUUUACUCUCUUUUUUAAUUCCUAUAUAAUUUGUACUAAUUAUUUUAAAACAUGUGUUAAAUAAUUUUUUUGUGAAAAUAGAAUGUUGGUAAUGACAAUAAAUCACAAAGAAAAGAGAAAUAAAAAUAAAGAACACAUAGAUUUUUACGUAGAAACCCUUUCGGGAAAAAACCACGAGCAGAGGAGAAGAAAGUUUAUUAUGUCGAAUUUGAAUGAUUUACAAGAGGAGUUUCGACUACAUCUAUUUAUAGGUUGAAAAAAAACUAAUUCUAAUCAAAGUCAAAUAUAUUAUGCUAAUAAAUGCUAAAUAUAUUAUGCUAAUAAAUGCUAAAUAUAUUAUACUCAUAAAUACUAAAUUUUCUAAAAAGAAGAUAUAUUUUGUUUAACUCGACUUGCAAGCAAUCUCUUAGAAUUUGGGUCACACAACUCUAGUAAUCUCCACCUUGACACGAAUUCUCAAUGAACAAUUUCUUCAUCGAGAACUCUCAACAAACAAGUUUUUCACCUCUUCUAUAAAACCCCUUAAAGGUUUAACUUCAACAAAGAACACUAAUCAAGUCUAAGCAAUGCUCAAACUUGGUUAUAGGAAGUGACUUAGUCAUCAUAUCUACAGGAUUUUCAUGAGUACUAAUUUUGCUCACAACAAUAUCAUCACGAGCAAUAAUAUCACGAACAAAAUGAUACCGAACAUCCAUGUGUUUUGUUCUCUCAUGGAGCAUUUGAUCUUUUGUAAGGAAGAUGGCACUCUGACUGUCACAAAAUACUAUAUUGAUUUGAAGGUCUUCAUUGAGAUCACUAAAGAGUCUCUUCAGUGGUUGAUAAAGUAACUGUAGUUUGCAAAGUGGCUUUCCAAUUGAUUGCACAACCUCCAAUUAUAAAGACAUAACCUAUGAGAGAUAUUCUUCUAUCAAGGUCUCCAGCAAAAUCAGCAUCAACAUACCCAAUGACUCCAUCUCUAGUUCUUCCAAACUGUUAGGAAACAUCAGCAAUACCUCGUAAGUAUCUUAAAAUCUACUAAACUGUUUUCCAAUAUUUUUUACCGAGAUUCACCAUGUAUCUGCUAACUGCACUAACUGCAUAUGAUAAAUAUGGACAUGAACAAACCAUAACAUACAUAAGAGAUCCUACUGUACUAGAGUAUGGAACAUGUGACAUGUACUCAAUCUCAUCAUCUGAUUGUGAAGACAAAGCUGAUGAAAGUCUGAAAUGGGCUGUUAAAAGAGUACUAGCAGGCUUAGCAUUCUGCAUAUUGAAUCUGGUAAGAACUUUCUCAAUCUACCCCUUUUGACUUAGGUACAAUUUACUUGCUUUUCUAUCUCUGAGAAUCUCCAUAUCAAGUAUCUUCUUUGUUGGUCCCAAAUUUUUCAUUUUAAACUCUUCACUUAGUUAGGCUUUGACCUUUCUUAUCUCUCCUUUAUCUUUUGUUGCUAUCAACAUGUCAUCAACAUAAAUGAGUAGAUACACAAAAGAACCAUCACUGUUUUUCUUAAAGUAAACACAACUGUCAAAGCUACUUUUUUUAAAAUCAUGAGAAGUUAUAAAGGAACCAAACCUUUUGUAACACUGUUUUGCUAACUGUUUCAAACUGUAAAGGGAUUUUUUUAGCAAGCAAACAUAGUCCUCUUUUUCUGAGACUGUAAAACCCUCUGGUUGUUACAUGUAAAUAUCCUCCUCAAGUUCUCCAUGCAAAAAUACAGUUUUUACAUCUAACUAUUCAAGCUCUAAAUCAUGUAUAGCCACAAUGCCAAGCAAAGCUCGAAUCGAACUAUGUUUCACAAUUGGGGAGAACACAUCUGUGAAGUCCACUCCUAAAAUUUGACUGUAACCCUUUGCAACAAGUUUUGUUUUGUAUCUAGGUUCUUCAACUCCUGGAGUCCCUUCUUUCUCUUUAAACACCCAUUUACAAUGAACAACUUUUUUACCGUUAGGAAGUUUCACAAGAUCGUAUGUUUUGUUUUUGUGGAGUGAUUUCAUCUCCUCUUGCAUAGCAAACAUCCACUUUUUUUAGUCUUCAUAGCUAAACGCAUCAGAAUAAUUAGAUGGCUCUUGAUUUGCAUCUAUAUCUUCAGCCACAUUUAAAGCAUAAGCAACUAGAUCAGUCUUAGCAUACUUCUUUGGAGGUUUAAUUUCUCUUCUAGUUCUGUUUUUAGCGAUAGAGUAUUAUGGUGAAGAAGCAGCUCUAUUUUAAAUUUUUUUGUACUGGCUUGAGGAGUAGACUCUGUUGUAGAUUCUAGAUUAAUCUAAUGCUCUACCUGCUUUUGAUUUUCUUUAUUUGAAGAGUCUUUAAGAGAUAAGUUAGGUCACAUGUAACAACCCGGUUUGACUCUAAUCGGAAUAGUAGUUUUGGGACCACAAAUCUGAGUCCUAAAAAUAUUUCAAUAUUAUUUUGUGUGUUUACUUUGUGUGCAUUUGAUUGUGUGAAAUUUUCGUGUUUUAGUUUUGUUGUUUGAGUGUCCGAUUAAAAAAAAGGAUUAAAUCGCGAAAAAUAAAAAUUUAGGGGUUAAUUAUAAAAGCACCUAAUUGUUGUUGUCUUUUUAAAUGGAAGGAUUUAUGAUGCAAUAAGACCAUAAAGUAGUGAGUGGGUGAUAAUGGUCAAAAAUGACCUUAUAUUAUAAGGUUUAUAUAAUUUGUAUUAAAGGUUAAUAUAGUAAACUAAUAAUUAAAUAAACAUAUGAUAUAAUAAAUCAAUUGAAGCCAUUAUUUUCAUUCUUCCUUUGCUGAAAGUUAGAAAAACAAAUAGGGUUUAAAAGCUUUGAGGUAUCCGGUCAUUAACAAGCUUAAUUCAAGGUAUGUUUUACUUCGGUUUUUGAUAAUUUUUACGUUUUUGAGAUCGUUGCUUCGUGUUCUUCAAAACCCAUAUCUUAAUUUUGUGAAUUGUGGAUGAUUUUGAAAUGUGCCAUUGAUGAAUGCUUGAGUUUUAUGAUGUUAGUAGGUGAAAUAUGAAAUAUAUUUGUUAGAUUAAUAUAUUUUGUAUUGGAAUUUUUAGUGAAAUUGAGUAAAUAGGGCUAAAUUGUGAAAUUAAAUUUUUGGGGAACUAAAGUGUGAAAUAAAUGCAAUGUGUGGACUUGUAUGAGAACCAUGAAUAUUCGGCCCUUGUGUGGUAUGGGCAAAUUUUGUAUAAAUUGUGUUUUAUGCAAUAGGGACUAAAUUGCAAAAAGUGUAAAUAUUAGGGGCAAAAUAGUAAUUUUCCAAAUUAUUUGUUUUUGGAUUAAAUUGAAUGUGUUAAUAAAUAAAUUAUCUUAUUUUGAAUAUAUUUAGAUCGAGAACCAAAGAAAUCGGAGUUAGAUCGGCGAAAAGCCAAAUUAGUCGAAUAAUCGUCCGACUUCGAUUUUCCAUCGUCCGAGGUAAGUCUAUUAGCUAUUUAAUGUUAUUAAAUCAAUAUAUAUAUGUAUGAAUAUCUAUUAUGUUGUUGUUGAGCUAUAAUUAAAAGUAAUUUAAUUGAAUAAAUUCAAAUUAUAAAUGGUAUAAAUAUGUAUAUACAAUGUUCAAAUAUAUAGGUAUAUGCUUAUAUAAAUUUUUGAACUAAGUUAAAGUAUGAAUGGUAUAAAGUUAUAUAUAUAUAAAUUCAAAUAAUUAUAUAUGUAUCUAUAUGUAUACAUAUACUUGAAUUUGGUUGGUUGUAUGAGAGUUAUAUAUAUGUGCACUUAAGAUUCAAAUAUAUGUAAGUAAAAACAUGUAAUUCUUGCUUAAAUUAAAGAUAUGUAUAAUACAUAUGUAUACAUAAGUUUCGAACAUAUAGAUGUAUGUAAAAACAUUUGGGUUUGAUUAAAAGUAUGUAUGUUGUAAUUGUACAGAUAAUUUCGAAUAAGUAAGUAUAUGGAGUUGGAACAUCUAUAUAUAUAUGAAUAAGUCUUGAUUAUAUUUUAAGGUAUAAAUGUUAAAAACGUACGUGGGAGUUCGAAUAUAUCUAAAUGUAUAUUUGUGUACAGAUUCUUGAAUUGAAUCGAAUGUAUGAUUCGCAAACUCUUUUGUGAUUGAAUAUGGACUACAAUGAAUGUGUGUUUGCUGUUAAUAAGUAUUUGAGGAAAUUAUUCUGUAUAUGGGAAAAAUUGAGAUUUUCAAGCAUAGCGCUUAGCAGGCUUAUUGCCGGUGAAACACUUCAGACUAUAUGUCUAGCAGGCUUAAUGCCGGUGAAAUAUUUCAGACUAUAUGUCUAGCGGGCUAAGUGCCGGUGUACUGAAUCAGGCUUAAAGCCUAGCAGGCUAAAUGCCGGUGAAUCUGUUUUAAGUAUGUGAUUAGGUGUACAAUUAUAUGAUUUUGGAUAUAUUUAAUUGAUAAGUAUAUUUAUAUAUAUACAUUUGGCUAAGUGCGUUUGAUGAUUAUAUAUAUAUCCGGCUUAUACAAUUGAGAAAUAUAUAUAUGCUCUGGGAUUAUGCAUUUGAUAAAUAUAUACUUUUAAAUAUUCGGUACACAUAUUUGAUUAGUAACUAUAUAUGCAUUCGAGAUAUAUAUAUACCUUGGUUUAUAAGUAUUUGAUGAAAAUGAAUGCAUUCGUUCAUAUGUAUUAGAUUUGUAUUGGUUUAAAGUUUAAAAUGAGUAUUCAUACACAUUCGGUUAUGAUAUGUGUAUAAUAUAUAUAUGCUCGGUUGUAUACAUUCGUUGUAAUGUUGUUUGGUAUAAAAAUAUAUAUUCAAUUGAUCGCUUUCGACAGGUAUGCAUAUCUGUCUAUAAAUGAAAUGGUCUGAGUACAAUAAUAUAUAAAUAUUAGUUAUUCGUGUUAAUUGAAAUCUCAGUGAAAUAGAUUAAAAAGUAACUUUAUUUAUAUAUUUAUAUACAUUUAGUUAUGCUGUAGACUUACUAAGCUAUAAAAGCUUACUUUGUUUGUUUUCGUCCAUUUGCUUUUAUAGAUUUUGGAGACGCGUUACGAGCUCGGGGAUCAUCAACAUAGUCCAUCACACUAUCGACUUCUUUUGGUAUUUUGUUAAAUAUUUGAACUCAAUCUUAUGGCAUGUAUAGGUUUGAGUAUGAUGUUAAUUACAUUUUGAUUGUAAAUUAUAAUAGUUAUGCGAAAGUAAUUAAAUUUUUACGUUGUGAUCAGUUUGGUUUUAACAUUGUUGAAUUUGUUCGGUAAUGCCUUGUAACCCUAAUUCGGCGACGGAUACGGGUUAGGGGUGUUACAUCACAUAACAGUUUCAUAAAAAACAACAUCUCUACUAAUCACAACAUUUCUAUUUUUAGGACACCAUAACUUAUACCCUUUUACACCAGCUUUAUAACCAAGAAAAACAUAUUUAAUGGAUCUCAAUUCCAAUUUUCCAUUAUCAACAUGAGCAUACGCAGGACACCCAAAGAUCUUUAAAUCAGAAUAGUCAGCAGGAUUACCAAACCAUACCUCUUGUGGAGUCUUUUUCUCAAUGGCAACGGAUGGAGAUUGGUUGAUCAAAAAACAUGCAGUAGAGGCUACUUCGGCCCAAAAUGACUUUGGUAAGUUGGCAUUUGACAACAUACAUCAAACCUUCUCCAUGAUCAUUUUGUUCAUUCGUUCUGCAACGCUAUUUUGCUGUGGAGUAUAACGAACUGUCAGGUGUCUCACAAUCCUUUCUAACUUGCACAAUUUAUUAAACUCAUCAGAGUAGAACUCUAAGCCACUGUUUGUGUGGAGGUAUUUUAUUUGUUUUCCAGUCUAUUUUUCAACCAUAGUUUUCCAAGACUUAAAUGCAAAAAAGACAUCGCUUUUCUGCUUUAAGAAGAACUCCCAAACUUUUCUGGAAAAACCAUAAAUAAAAGUUAGCAUAUUAAUUAGCUCCAUCUCUCGAAGGCACUCUGGAUGGCCCUCACAGAUCAAAAUGAAUAUACUCUAAUGUUUCUUUCGUGUUAUGGAUUCCUCUAGUGAAUUGAAUUCUCUUUUGCUUCCCAAAAACGUAAUUCUCACAGAACUUCAGUUUGUAAAAUCCUUGCCCAAGAAGAAGUCCUCUUUUUCCCAAUUAUGCCAUGUCAUUCUCACUCAUAUGCCCUAGGUAUAUAUGCCAAAGUUUAGUAAUAUCAUCAUCUGACAAGGAAGAGGAUGCGACAACUGUAUCACCAGUAACAAUAAAACUUUGCAAAACAUAUAACUUUGCAGUUUUUCUCUGCCAUUUCAUUACAACGAGGGAACCUUUGGAAAUCUUUAAAAACUCCACUUUCAGUUGUGUAUUUGUACCCUUUUGAAUCAAAUGCACUCAACGAAAUUAACUUUCUCUUCAAUUUUGGAACAUGUCGUACGUCACUAAGUGUCUGACAAGUCCAUCAAACAUCUUAACUUUAAUUGCUCCAACACCUGCAAUUCUACAUGAAGCAUUAUUUCCCAUCAAAACAACACCUUCAAACACUGUUUCGUAAGUUGUAAACCAAUCCUGAUUGGGACUCAUGUAGAAGGUGUAGCCCGAAUCAAAGACUCACUCCUCGCUCACUUUAGAAUUGUAGAUAGAAACGACUAAAAGUUCACCAUCGCUAUAGUCUUCUACAACAUCAAUUUUACCAAAAUUUUCUGGUUGUUUUCCAUUUUGAUUCGCAACCUCCCUUUUGAUAUUGUUUUGUAGCUUAUAGCACUCAGAUUUAAUGUGCCCUUUCUUCUUGCAGAAGUUACAAGAUUUACCUCUGUUUGAAGACUUUGAUCUACCUUUAGAUUUACCGUGAGGAUUCCAUUCUUGUGUCGUUCCAUGAUCAUUAUCAACAUUCCGAUCUUAUCUUCUAUGAACAAUGUAACCCUCUCACUGAGAGUUAGUUUUAACUACAAGAUGCUUCAUCUUAUCAUAUAAGGUUAAAGAAUCAUAAACCUCAUCAAUUGUGAGAGACUCAAGGCUAUAUAAAAUGGCAUCUCUAAAGGUUGAAUAAAACGGGGACAACAAACAAAGUAGAAUCAACUCUAGAUCUUCCUUAUCAUACUGAACCUCCAUGGCUUCCAAGUUUGAGAGAAUUUCUUUAAACAUUGUUAAGUGUUCGUGCACAGACGCACCUUCCUCCAAACGAUGAGCAUAAAAACGCUGCUUCAUAUGCAGCUUGCUAGUUAGAGUUUUUGACAUAAAUAUUUGUUCCGGCCUCUUUCAUAAUCUAGCGGUGGUAUUCUCCUUUAUCACAUCCUGUAAAAUUUCAUUAGACAAGUGCAGAUGUAACUGUGUUAACACGUUUCGAUCCUUGCGGUUCUUCUCUUCCACCGUCAAUGUUGAAGGCAUCUUAUCUAUCCCUAGCAGGGUUUCCUCUAAGUCUAUCUGUGCAAGAACUACCUGCAUCUUUAUCUACCACAACGCGAAUCUGGUUUUGCGAUCCAACAGCGAAAUUUCAUACUUCAAAUACGCCAUUACCGUGAUUGAGAUGAACAAAUCGAAAGCUCUGAUACCAAUUUGUGAAAAUAGAAUGUCGGUAAUGAUAAUAUAUCACAAAGAAAAGAGAAAUAAAAAUAAAGAACACACAGAUUUUUACGUGGAAACCCUUUCGAAAAAAACCACGGGCAGGUGAGAAGAAAAUUCACUAUGUAGAAUUCGAAUGAUUUACAAGAGGAGUUUCGACUAUAUCUAUUUAUAGGUUGAAAAAACCCUAAUUCUAAUCAAAGUCAAAUAUAUUAUGCUAAUAAAUGGUAAAUAUAUUAUACUCAUAAAUAUUAAAUCUUCUAGAAAGAAGAUAUAUUUUGUUUAACUUGACUUGCAAGCAAUCUCUUAGAAUUUGGGUCACAAAAAUAACAUUUUUAACCAUACUGAAAACCAUUUUUUAAUUAAAUAUAAGUACUUAAUAUUUAAUUAAAUUAAAAAGAAAAGAGAUCAAUUCUAAAAUUAUGUAUGGACUUUGAUUUAAUUUGCAAUUGUAUAUAUAAAUUUUAAUUUGGUGUAAUUAUACACGUGUAACUCUAAUUGUGGUUCAAAUAUAUACUUGAAACUUUAAUUUUAAUUUAACCAUAAACAUUUAAAGAAAUAAAAACAUCAAUUUAUUUUUAUAUUGAAUAAAUAUAAUUAUUUAAGUGUGCAAUAUAUAAAUAUAAAAUGAUGUUAUAUCAAUAAUUGUGUUAAUAAUUUAUAAGAAUUGGAUCAUAUCAAAAUUUCAUAUAUAAAAUUAUUAAAAUUUAUAUAUAGAAUUGUACAUUAAACCCAGAGUGCAUGUAUACAUAAUUAAUAGAUUGUACAUAGGAAGUAAGUUUUGCUUAGUGUAAUAUAACUGUCAUUCAAGAUUACGCAUUCAUUUCAGACAAAGCACACACCCUUUGAAAUUCAAGUUUUGAUUCAGAUUCUUUCUUCUUCUUUUUUUAAUAAAAUCUCUAUGAAAGGUUUUUUUUUUUUUUAAUUCCUUAACGGUAGUGAUUUUGGGUUAUGGAGAAAAAAGGAGUGAAAAGUUGUGAUUUUUGUGGAAGUAGGGAUUUUUCUGUUUUAAUAGUUUUAGAAAUGGGUUUGAUGGAGAUUUCAAUAAUGCUUCAUGUUGGAUUAGUUUUGUUGCUACUUUGGAUGCUUUCUCAAUUCAAUCUUUGCCAUCCACUCCCUUAUUUCCUGUCUCUCAUCUACCUCUAUUUGGUUAUUCAUUCAUCUUCUGCUGAGAAUAAAAAAUGAAUCUUUUUUUUCUUUAUUUUUGAACUUGGAUUGAACUUUUUUUUUUAUUGUUUUUGUUACAAAAAUUCCUUUUAUUUCUUUGUUCAUCAAAGGUUCAUGAAAUGUAUGUGACGAGAUUGAGGAAGAAAUUGGAGUUGGAGGAAAUAAUGCACAAAGAAACUAGACAUGUCAACAACAAAACAAUAAUGCCAACACUCUCAAACGCAACAACAAAAAUGUUUUCGAAAAGGAAAUAGGCAUCACACUUAGAGUAUAGAAAUACUUGGAUUGUAACCAUGAAAAACGAAAUAAGAUAUCUGUUGCGGAAAGGAUCGAUUCGAGAACUCCGAUAUGACUACAAGUAAAUUGACCGAAACGAAAAAUAAAGUGAACACAAGGAUUUACGUGGUUCGGCUUUAAUGCCUACGUCCACGGGCAGAGGCGAAAAGAAAUUUCACUAUAACAAGAUGAAGAUUACAAGUGUUUUACACUCAAGACACAACCCGAGAACCUCACAACUCUCAACCCCUAUAGAAAACCCGAAAGCUAAAAUCCUAGCUUUCAAAGAACAAGCUUUGCUCUCUCUUGGUUUGGGAUGAUAAAUAUGGCUAAUGAACCUCUCUAUUUAUAAGAGAGUUCAAGGACAUAAUUGUCCAAAACUUUGGCAAAGAUUUGUGGUUGAAAAUGGACACCAACAACCAUCCACUAAUCCACUACCACCAACAACCCACUACCAACAACAACAAUCCACUACCAAUUUUAAGCCAUUUCUUAACAAAUCUCCACCUUGGCUUGAAAUUUACCAAGCUGAACAUCAUAGUGAAUUCCUCGAACUGGAUCACCUCUUCCAAACGCCUCUCUGGCGCUAAUCAAUCCCGAAUACCUAUCAAGUCCAAGCAAUGCUUGAACUUAUAUGCAGGGAUCACCUUAGUUAACAUAUCUGCAGGAUUCUUCUCGGUAGCAACCUUGCUGAUAACAAUGUCACCUUGCGUAACAUGUUCCCGAACAAAAUGAUAUCUGACAUCAAUGUGUUUGGUCCGUUCAUGAAACAUCUGAUUUUUAGUCAGAUGUAUGGCACUCUGGCUAUCGCAAAAUACAACAGUGAAAUCCUGUUGUAAACCCAAACUGCUUACUAGACCUUUCAUCCACAAUGCUUCUUUCACUGCUUCUGCUAACGCCAUAUAUUCCGCCUCAGUCGUAGAUAAGGCUACGGUAGACUGUAACACAGCUUUCCAACUAAUGGCUCCUCCAGAAUAAGUGAAAACAUAACCCGUCAGAGAUCUUCUUUUGUCCAGAUCUCCAGCAUAAUCAGAGUCCACAUAGCCCGUGACACUGCUAGUGCAGUCACUCUGAUCAUAUACCAAGCAUAAAUCUGCAGAACCUCUCAAGUACCUGAGAAUCCAUUUCACGGCCUGCCAGUGUUCCUUGCCAGGACAACUCAUGUAUCUGCUGACCACACUAACUGCAUGUGAAAUGUCUGGACGAGUGCAAACCAUUGCAUACAUCACGCUUCCAACUGCACUCGAGUAUGGAAUGUGAGACAUUUGCUGCUUUUCUUCAUCAGAUUGUGGUGACAACUCUGCAGAGAGUUUGAAAUGUGGUGCCAACGGAGUACUCACAGUUUUCGCUUUAUCCAUGCCGAAGCGUUGAAGAAUCUUUUCAAUGUAGUUCUUCUGCGACACACGAAGCUUGCCCGCCUUGCGAUCUCUGUGAAUAUCCAUGCCCAAAAUUUUCUUGGCAGCACCCAGAUCCUUCAUCUCGAACUCACCACUCAACUGCGACUUUAACUUGUUGAUUUCCGACAUGUUUUUGGAAGCAAUUAACAUGUCAUCAACAUACAGCAACAAAUAAAUGUGCGAACCAUCUGAGAGCUUCCGAUGAUAGACACAAGCAUCAUAGUCACAUCUUGUGUAACCAUGCUGAAUCAUGAAGCUAUCAAACCGCUUGUACCACUGCCUUGGGGAUUGUUUCAAUCCAUAUAAAGACUUCUUUAAUAGACAGACAUGGUCUUCUUUACCAGGAACUGUAAAACCCUCUGGUUGACGCAUGUAGAUUGUUUCCUCGAGCUCACCAUGCAAGAACGCCGUUUUUACGUCAAGCUGCUCAAGUUCUAGAUCAGACUUGGCCACCAUGGCAAGUAAUACACGAAUGGAAGAAUGCUUUACAACUGGGGAGAAAACUUCAUUGUAGUCAAUCCCCUCUUUCUGAGUGAAGCCUUUAGCAACCAAUCGUGCCUUGAAUCUAGUUGCUUCAACCCCUAGGAUGCCUUCCUUUUUCUUGAAGACCCAUUUGCAACCAACUAUCUUCUGGUUACUUGGCGGCUUAACCAACUCCCAAGUAUGGUUCUUGUGAAGAGAUUCUAUCUCCUCACUCAUAGCAAUUGCCCACUGUGCCGACUCAUCACACGUGACAGCCUCAUUAUAACUGGAAGGUUCUAUACCAAUGGACUCCGCCACACUGAGCGCGAAAGACACCAGAUUAGCGUAACGCGGAUUUGGUUUGAUUUGUCUCUUCGUUCUUCCAGUGGCAAUGCUAUAUGGUUUUUCUUGAGGUGACUCAUCUUCAUCGGAAUCUUGCACCUCAACUUGAUCAUCCUGGACUGAAGUACCUUCCGUAGGAAUUGGAGCGUCCACCUGACACUCCACCUGCUUCUCAACACCGUGAUCUCCCAUUCUAUCUGACUCCUCCUUUUCCCGGGAAUUUGUGGUGGAUCGAAGCAUGGAUGACUCAUCAAAAGUCACAUCUCUGCUGAUGAUGAACUUGGACGAAACCGGAUCAGGACACCACAACCUGUAUCCUUUCACCCCUUGGCCGUAUCCAAGAAAUAUGCAUUUCUUCGCCCUCGGUUUGAGUUUUCCCUCAUUUACAUGAGCAUACGCAGGGCAGCCAAACACUCUUAAACCAGAGUAAUCAGCAGGAGAACCAGACCAUACUUCCUCAGGAGUCUUCAGCUCAAUAGCUGUUGACGGAGAUCUGUUAACCAAAUAACAAGCAGUAUUAACAGCUUCAGCCCAAAAUUCUUCACCGAGCCCAGCAUUUGAUCGCAUGCAACGAGCUCGCUCCAAGAGAGUUCUAUUCAUGCGUUCUGCAACUCCAUUUUGUUGUGGUGUUCGACGAACAGUGCGGUGUCUCACUAUUCCUUCAUUUUUGCAGAACUCAUUGAAUUCACCUGAGCAAAACUCCAAGCCAUUAUCCGUCCGGAAUCGCUUGAUCUUCUUUCCUGUUUGAUUUUCGAUCAAAGCUUUAAAUUGCUUGAAGUUGAUGAGAACCUCAUACUUGCUCUUCAGAAAAUACACCCAAACCUUUCUCGAGUAAUCAUCGAUAAAGGUAAGCAGAUAUCUGUAACCACCUUUAGAAAUUGUCGGAGAAGGCCCCCAAAGGUCAGAAUGGAAGUAAUCCACUGUGCCUUUUGUCUUGUGAAUCCCAGUGCUGAACUUUACCCGAGUCUGCUUACCGAAGACGCAGUGCUCACAGAAAUUCAACUUUCCUGUACACUGCCCAGACAAUAAUCCUCGUUUGCUUAGCACCGAUAAGCCUCUCUCGCUCAUAUGCCCGAGCCGCAUAUGCCAUAACUUCGUGGUGUCAGAAUCUAGAUCAUCUGAUGAUGACACUCCCGCAACACCUGUAACCGAGGAACCAUCGAGGAAGUAAAGGCCCCGCUCCAAAUUACCACGUAUCACAGUCAAAGCACCCGAGAAUACCUUGAGAACUCCACCUUCAGCAGAGUACCGAAAGCCUUUCUUGUCCAACGUACUCAAAGAGAUCAAAUUUUUCUUCAUUUCUGGAAUGUGCCGAACAUCAGUUAGAGUUCUAACAAUACCGUCAAACAUCUUUAUACGAACUGUGCCAAUCCCCAUGACUUGACAUGCGUGGUCAUUUCCCAUUAGUACUGAACCAGAAUGCUUCUCGUAUGUUGAGAAUGCAUCUUUCGAAGUACUUAUAUGAAAUGUAGCUCCCGUAUCAAGAAUCCAUCUCCCACCAGCGUAAGAGUCGGAUACUGCAAGAACGAUCUCGGCAUCACUUGAAGAAUCUGCAUCAGCUACAUUCGCACGAUCAUUUUGUUGCUCCUGUGAUUCUGAUUUCUCCUUCCUUUUCGGACAAUCUACCUUCAUGUGCCCGUACUUCUUACAGUAGUAGCACUGUAUUCUCUUCUUGGACUGCGAUCUAGGAUGGCUUUUACUUGAACUUCCACCCUUUGCCUUGGAUCUUCCUCGAGCAACCAAGCCUUCGCCUUCAUUGUUUUCGACCACCUUACCAGUGAUUUUCUUCCUCAACUCACUGGAACUUAAGGCAUUUUUCACCUCCUCUAGAGUCAGGUCAUCACGACCGUACAUCAUUGUAUCAACAAAAUUCUCAUACGAGGGAGGCAAAGAACACAAAACAAUUAUUGCUUGGUCCUCAUCAUCGAUUUUGUUAUCGAUAUUAUUCAAAUCCAUGAUAAUGGAAUUGAAUUUAUCCAGGUGCUGGGAAACAGGUGUACCUUCCUCCAUCUUCAGGGCAUAGAGUCUUUGCUUGAGGUAGAGCCGGUUCGUCAAUGACUUCGUCAUGUACUUGCUCUCUAACCGGAGCCACAAACCGGACGCGGUUUUCUCAUCCGCUACUUCUCGUAGCACUUCAUCUCCUAGACAUAGCAGAAUAGCACUAUGUGCUCUUUCUAGCAUGUCAUCCUUUUGCUCUUCCGAAAGCGUGCUUGGUAAUUUAUCUUUACCAGACAAUGCUUUUAGCAAUCCUUGUUGAACCAGCACUGCCCGCAUCUUGAUGCGCCAUAAACUGAAACUAUUUUUCCCGGUAAAUUUCUCGACAUCAUACUUUGUCGAUGAAACACUUGUAGCCAUAAUUUGGAACCUUUGAAUGAAUGAUAAUAUUUUCUUCCUGAUGUGAAAGAUCAGACAAAGCUGCAGUCACAGGGCAAUUCAGAAAAUAUUAUCACUCCUUCAACUACGCUCUGAUACCAAUUUGUUGCGGAAAGGAUCGAUUCGAGAACUCCGAUAUGACUACAAGUAAAUUGACCGAAACGAAAAAUAAAGUGAACACAAGGAUUUACGUGGUUCGGCUUUAAUGCCUACGUCCACGGGCAGAGGCGAAAAGAAAUUUCACUAUAACAAGAUGAAGAUUACAAGUGUUUUACACUCAAGACACAACCCGAGAACCUCACAACUCUCAACCCCUAUAGAAAACCCGAAAGCUAAAAUCCUAGCUUUCAAAGAACAAGCUUUGCUCUCUCUUGGUUUGGGAUGAUAAAUAUGGCUAAUGAACCUCUCUAUUUAUAAGAGAGUUCAAGGACAUAAUUGUCCAAAACUUUGGCAAAGAUUUGUGGUUGAAAAUGGACACCAACAACCAUCCACUAAUCCACUACCACCAACAACCCACUACCAACAACAACAAUCCACUACCAAUUUUAAGCCAUUUCUUAACAAUAUCCAACAUCCUCAUCACAAUGGAUUCUCCUCUGAUUCAUUAGUAGCCUCAACAAUGUAAUAACACGAUUAAAAGUUAUCGUAGCAGUAACUCUUAUAAAUAUUAAAAAAUUAAUUUGUAAAUACAUCGAUCAUGUCUAAAUCUAAUCUAAGUCACGGUUGAUCUAAACAUGAAAAUUCUAACCAAUUCAUCUCAAUUCAAUCCAACUAAACCUAAACUAAAUUGACACAAAAAUCUAUUUAUAUAAUUUACUUUUAAUUUAUAUAUAAUUUUAGUUAUGAUUUAAAUUUAUACAUUUAAUAUUGAACAAAUAGUCAAACUAAAGAACAUUGGCAAUUAUGAUCAAUAACUUAACACAUAGGUAAUUAAAGAAAAUACUAAUAUAUAUUUAUAUUUAUAUUUAAGCCAAAAUAAUAUAAAGCUAAAAAGUGAGAUAAUGAAGUAAAAUAUUACUAACCUUAUGCAAUAUUUGAACUCGCUAUAGUAACACUAUCCAAUGGUGUACUUGGCUCAUUAUUAAAGUUCUCACAAUUAUGAACCUCCAGUGAUGUUUCAAGAGGAAGUUGAUGGAAUGGCUUAGGAGGCAUCUCAAAGAGUUCAACAUUAGAUUCAAGUAUCUUCAAGAUUUUACUCAUUGAAGGGCGAUCAGAAGGUAGUAAUUGUAUACACCAAAAAGCAAUUAUUAUCAUCUUCUUCACCAUUACUUUUUCAUCGUUAGAAAUAUCUCCGAACUCCAAGUCUUCUCCUUGAUCCAAUCGGUCAUAAAUCCAAGAUGGAAAAUAUAUUUGACUAGUGUGGUCAGCAAAUGCAUUCACAUUCUUUCCCCUUCUAACUAUUUCCAUCAAUAACAUUCCAAAACUAUAAACAUCGGCUUUGUAUGAGAUGCCUCAAUAUAAAGUGAUGAUUUUAUAAGUUUCGUACAAUUCAUAACAUAAAUAAUGCUAACCUCUAACCUUCCAUCAUAAUAAUUACCAUGAGGAUAAAUAUAAGAAUAAGAAUAAGAAUCUACAGAAGUAAUUAAGAGGAAGAGAGUUGCAAUCAUCCGUGUCCAACAAUCAACCCCUCCCAGAGUAGGCUGUCGAGGAGCCUCCUGCACAUCAUAAAUAGCACGAGUUGUACGCCCCAAAGCAUUUGCCAAGGACCAUCAAGAUGAAGGUCAAUAACAUUUGUGUAAAUUUGGAGUGCUACCUUACAGCCAAGACUAACAGAAUAGUGACUGUUUGGAUUGAAAUGCCAAAUGAGUCAGUUCGGAGUCGGAUACAAGCAAAGUAGCAUUCGAAGCAUCCGUUGCGCAUCAUAGGAGAUAGAAGACCUUGAGUUACAUGAUUUCAUUUUGAGUAUUGAAAAUUGAAAAUAGGAUAAGUACCAACCACUAAUAUAUUAUCAGCAAAAUCUCCCAAUUGAAAGAACAAAAGAUGCAUCUAUACUAUGUUUAAAAGUUUAAUAGAGUUUAUGGUUAUCUAUCAAUGAGGUAUCAACUCAAUUGUAAAAUCAUUAAAAUCUUAUUAUUUUGUUAAAAUAAAAAUAUUAUAUUGAGAGUAUUUUAUUUUUUAUUAAACUUUAUAAAAUUCAUCCAUUUAAUAGAAUUUGAACCCAAAACAUCAUAAUCCUUAUUACCUAAAUUUUACCAUAUUAAACAAAGCCACAUUUAGCUUUUAUAUCAUUUUUUAAAUAAGCUUGUUAUAUCAUUUUUUUUCACCCAUGUGAGGGUGCCAUAAUCUAAUAUAUCUUUAUUUAAUAAGUAAUAAUCCCAUAUGCAUUAGAGAGUAUUAAGUUGAGUUAUUAAAUUUAGGGUUUGUUAUAUUCUAACGACUAAUUUUCAAUUCCAUUGAAAUGAUUUAUAGGUGAUAAAUUUUACAAUUUAAUACGAUUAAUUUUAUUAUAUUACAAUGAAAAACAAAAGAAAAAGAAGAAUUUAAUAUGGUUCAAAGUUUUUAAAUAAAUCUGGACCAUAUACUUGUAGACAAACCUUUACCAUUAAUCUAUUCCAACUUCAAUGAGAACGACCAAGACAAUGCAAGUCUCAAUAGUCCUGUUUGAAACGCAAAAGCAUUCAAGUGGUUGAGAGCAGCAAGCCUGAUCCCUUUUGUCCUUUUGUGUUAUGUAAGUCAAUUGUAGAGAACGAUUGUUGGAUAUUUCUAAAACGUAAGUUAAUAGUUAGAACCCUUGAGCAACGCACAUUCCACCCCAACCCAUGCAUAACGUUAGACAAGACUCAAUGACUAAUUGUAUAUAUUUUUAAUUUUAUUCAACAACUACAUAAGUAUAUUUUUAAAUGAUUGUUAAUAUAAUUACAUGUAUUUUCAUCUAUUUUAUAUGAAUUUAAAAUAUUACAAAUUAAAUAUAAUAUAAGAUAUAAGUUCUAUUCAAUUAAAUUUAAAUUUAAAUUCAAAUUUUAAAUUAUCCAACAAUAUAAAUAGUAGACAUAAAUUCAAAGAAAAAAAUUUGGGGUUUAGCUGGAAAAUUACCUCUCAAAUUCCACUAAAAUAAAUAAAUAGAGUUUAACUCGAAGAUUACCUCUCAAAUUUAACUGAAAUAUGAAACAUACUCAAUAAUAAAGGUAUCAAUUCAAAGGUAUAAAGCUACAUAAAUUCUUAGUUAUGUCUUUGAAAUAUUUUCAUAAAGGCACGUGCAAAAACUUUUUGAUUCUAAACAAAUUCAUUGUCUCAACAUUACUUGUCGAAACCGUUUUUUGAAAACAAAGAUCUAGUUGUCGACUUUAAAAAUAAAACAGCAGUCGCCACCGAUCCUUUAUUAAGGUGUGAUCGGCUCACCUUUAAAAAUUAUUUUGGUCUACGAAUUUUGAGAAAACGAGUUCGGGAGUCAGUUACGCACGAGGAAGGGUUAGCACCCUCGUAACGCCCAAAAUCGGUACCAAAUUGGUUAUUUGAUGUCUUAGUGUCGAAGGUUAAAAAGAUUUUUAAAAUAAACUCAAUUGAUGGAAUUUGAAAAAGGAUAAUCAAUUGUUCAAGUCAUGUAAAGAAAUCGAGUCCCAAUACGUUAGGGUACAAUUCCUCAUAAUCCCCGAACUUUGAAUAUCACUUUAUUUUAUGUGAAAAUCUUCCUUUUGAGAAAGUAACAUGCCACACCAAAUACGUUAGGACACGACAUGUUAAGUUCCAAAAAAUGAUUUUUAUACUCAUGCAUUUUGAAUAAAGAAUAUUCUCGGUUAUUUUAGAUUGACAAAGAAAAUCGGAACCCAAUACGUUAGGGCUCAAUUCCCUCGAAAAUCCCAAACUUCGAAUAUUGCUUUUAUUCAAAAAAAAACUUUGAAUCAAGAGAAUAAUUUCAAUGUUUUGUCAAAAACCAAAAUAUAUCUUCUUGUUCAAAAGGAAAUGACAUAAUGUUAAUAGACAACAUGGAAUACAUACAUUAAUUUAAAUUAUACAUGUACAUGUAUUAUGAAAUGUCAAUGCAUAUAUAUACAUGUAUGCAAAAAGUUAUGGAAAUAAAAUAAUAAAAUAUAUAAAAUAUGGACAUGUAUUUACCAAAUAUGUAUAUAUAUACACACAUAUAUUUAUGAAAAAUAAAAACGUAUUUAGAGUCAUACAGAUAUAUAUAAAUCAUUAAAUAUAUGGAAAAAAAUGAAAAUAUGUAUAUAAAAGAUGUAUGUAUAUAGGUAUAUAUUUACAAAAUAAAAAAAAUGUAUAAGUAUACACGUAUUGGUAAAUCAUGAAAAUACAUAUAUGUAUAUUAAAAUACUUAUAUAUAUGUACAAUAUAUGUAUAAAUAAUGGAGUAUAUAUAGAAUAAUAAAAUAUUUAUAAUAACUCAAAAAUACAAAAAAAAUGUAUAUAUAUAAUAUAAAAAAUGUGUAUUUUGAAUUGUAAAAUAUGAGAAACAUGUGUGGAUUUUAAAAUGUAUAUGUAUACAUACAUAUAUAUAUGUUUGUAAAAAAAAUAAAAAUUAUGAAGAAUAAUAUAAAAACAUACAUAUACACGUAUUUACAAAAGUAAAAAAAAAUUUGAAGCUGAAAUAUAAAAGUAUAUAUAUAACUGUCAUUGAAGGGCGAUCAGAAGGUAGUAAUUGUAUACACCAAAAAGCAAUUAUUAUCAUCUUCUUUACCAUUACUUUUUCAUCGUCAGAAAUACCUCCGAACUCCAAGUCCUCUCCUUGAUCCAAUUGGUCAUAAAUCCAAGAUGGAAAAUAUAUUUGACUAGUGUGGUCAGCAAAUGCAUUCACAUUCUUUCUCCUUCCAACAAUUUCCAUCAAUACAUUCCAAAACUAUAAACAUCAGCUUUGUAUGAGAUGCCUCAAUGUAAAGCGAUGAUUUUAUAGGUUUCGUGCAAUUCAUAACAUAAAUAAUGCUAACCUCUAACCUUCUAUCAUAAUAAUUACCAUAAGGAUAAAUAUAAGAAUAAGAAAAGAAUCUACAAAAGUAACUAAGAGGAAGGGAGUUGCAAUCAUCCGUGUCCAACAAUCAACCCCUCCCAGAGUAGGCUGUCGAGGAGCCUCCUGCACAUCAUAAAUAGCACGAGUUGUACGCCCCAAAGCAUUUGCCAAGGACCAUCAAGAUGAAGGUCAAUAACAUUUGUGUAAAUUUGGAGUGCUACCUUACAGCCAAAACUAACAGAAUAGUGACUGUUUGGAUUGAAAUGCCAAUUAUGAGUCAGUUCGGAGUCGGAUACAAGCAAAGUAGCAUUCGAAGCAUCCGUUGCGCAUCUUAGGAGAUAGAAGACCUUGAGUUACAUGAUUUCAUUUUGAGUAUUGAAAAUUGAAAAUAGGAUAAGUACCAACCACUAAUAUAUUAUCAGCAAAAUCUCCCAAUUGAAAGAACAAAAGAUGCAUCUAUACUAUGUUUAAAAGUUUAAUAGAGUUUAUGGUUAUCUAUCAAUGAGGUAUCAACUCAAUUGUAAAAUCAUUAAAAUCUUAUUAUUUUUAAAAACAAAAAAAAUUAUAUUGAGAGUAUUUUUAUUUUUUAUUAAACUUUAUAAAAUACAUCAAUUUAAUAGAAUUUGAACCCAAAACAUCAUAAUCCUUGUACAGACCCAAUUUCUGCCCGGCCCACUAACAAAAAGAACCCAAUACCCACAAACCCAAUAACCCACCUAAACACUAACCCAUACCAGCAGACCCAAUUACCAGGCCCAGUGGCCCAAAAUUUUAAAAUCAUUUCAGAAACCCUAAUCCCCUUAACCCUAGCCGCCUCUUCUGAUCUUUCUGCUACUACUGCCGCCAUCACCUACCCUCUGCCACCGCCACUGUUUCGCCCACUUGCACCACCUGCUCCACCUGCAAAACAAAGGAGAACACGCAAACAAAGAAGGACAAAACAGUAGAAACAAUAAUAAAAUAAAUUGUGUAAAAAUGGCUAUAUAAAGGCCAUUCAAACGAAUUGUAAGGGGUUCGGCCCCUCUUUCACUAUUUCAAGAAAUAAAAAGGGCAAAGAAAACGGAUUCAAGAAAUUUUUCUUUUGGUAUAAACUCUAUUUUCUUUUAUUUAUAUUUUUCUCUUUAUUUUUCUUCCAUCCGAAACUGUUUGAUCCUUUAUUCUUAUUUUUAUUUUUCUUUUAUUUUUAAAAACAUAUAUAUAUAAAUAUAAUAUAUAGAUUUUAAAAUAAAAAAUAAUACCUUUUUUGAAUUUUUUGGCCACCAUACACGGUGGCCGGCGCGACGACGGAGCGGCGGCGACGUGGUGGCCAAGUUCGUCGGAUUCUGGGCAGUGCUGGAGAGGGGGAGAGAAUAUUUUUGAGAAGAAGAGUUUUUUUUUUUUAAGGAAAGCUGAAAAUGAUUUUUUUGGGGGGAAACCUUGACUUUUAUAGGCCCCCCAAAACGACGUCGUUUUGGGCAAGCCUCUUAGGUACCAAAACGGCGCCGUUUUAAGGCCGGCCUGAAAACCGACCCGACCCGCCUGAAGGAUCCGCGUGUUUUCGACGGAAGGGAUAAUUGCGUUUUCAGGCCUUCCGCUUUUAAAUAAUUUUGCAAUCAAGUUCUUUCCUUUUUUUAAAAUUCGCCCUAUAUUUUAUUUUCAUUCACAAUCUGGUCCACUUUGAAAUGCAGUGUUUUGGAGGGUGGGGAUUAUUUCCAUUUUGGUCCCCCUCUUUCCGAGCGUGUCACAAUUUAGUCUUUUCAGUCUUUUUUAUUUGAAAUUCGCUCAGUAUUUUUAUUUUUACUUCGAUUUAGUCCCUUUUUUAGUAGUAUUAUUAUUAUUAUUAUUAAUUAUUGCUAGUUUUAUUUUCCUUAAACCUAUUCGUCACUGCUUUGAUUAGUAUGUUAACUUGUUUCAUUAUUAUUAUAGCUUUCUUUUUUAUAAUAUAUGUACAUAUACCUAUGAAUAUUUUAUAUAUAUAUAUGCAUACAUAAUUAUAUACAUAUAUAUACCUUAUAAUAUUAAUGCGUACAUAGUUUUAUUUAUUAAAUAUUUUUAUACUCUAUAUUUUUAUACACUUGUAUAUAUACAAACAUCUAUGUUUCAAUUCAUAUAAAUAUAUGUACGUAUACAUAGUUAUGUGCUUUAUGUACCUAUUAUAAUUUGUUUACAUGUUUAUAUAUAUCUAUACAUAUAUUUUUAUAUUUCGUGAUAGUUAUAUGUACACAUAUACAUGUAAAUACUUAUAUUUUAUGCCUCAUAAUAUAUAUAUUUUCAUAUUUUCAUAUUUUAUGAUUUUCAUCUAUUUUCCUUUAUUGUUAUUGUAAUUUUCAUGUGUAUUUGUUUAUUUAUUUAUAUGUCUAUUUUUUUAUGUUUUAGUUUUUUUUAUUUGUUAUGAUAUAUGCACAAUUAAUUUAGUUUAUUAUUUGUUUUGUUUUUUUUUAUUCACACAAUCAUGUUCAAUAUUUCAUUAUGCAUAUAAAUAUCAUAUUUCAAAAGGAAAAAUAUUUCUAAAUGAGGCAAUGUUUUGCGUUUGGAAGUUCGAGAAAACAUGCCCUAAGGUGCUGGGUGUCGAUUUUUCUUGUUCAACCAAAUAGCUUAAUAUCCUUUUAAAUUUUUAAAAUAAGGCAAUGUUUUGCGUUUGGAAAUUCGAGAAAACAUGCCCUAAGGUGCUGGGUGUUGAUUUUUCUCGUUCAACCAAAUGGCUUAAUAUCCUUUUAAAAUUUUUAAAAUAAGGCAAUGUUUUACGUUUGGAAAUUCGAAAAAACAUGCCCUAAGGUGCUGGGUGUCGAUUUUUCUCGUUCAACCAAAUAGCUAAACAUCCUCUUGAAUUUAAAUUCAUGCCAUUCGAGUUUUUAGGAUCGUAUUUUAAAUUUCUUUGAAGUUUUCAGUUUUUCGACACUAAGACAUUAAGUAAUCAACUAGGUACCAAUUUUGGGCGUAUCGAGGUUGCUAAUCCUUCCUCGUGCGUAAUCGACUCCCGAACCCGUUUUUCUGAAUUUCGUGGACCAAACUUGUUGUUUUAAUAAAAUCAAAUUGUUUAUUAAAAACAACCACUUUUUGAGGUGAUCCGAUCACACCUCAACAAAAAGGAUCGGUGGCGACUCCCGUUUUCGUUCUCAUUUUUCAAAACCCAAGUCGACCCCAUUUUCCAUCCAAAAAAAUGGUGUCAACAGCUUGGCGACUCCACUGGGGACUUUAAAUAAGAGAGUCAAGCCACGAGUUGAUUAUUUCUUGUCUUUUUUGUCGAAAGUUGAAAAUUUGAUUUAAAUAUACGAUCCUCUCAUUGCAUUCCAUUUGUUUUGAGUUAUAGUUUUCAUUAUGUUUUGUAUUUUAAAUUUUUAUAUCUUUCUGCACAUUGCAUUGCAUGACCGUUAGUCACACCUUUUAAGUGGGAGUGAGAAGCUACUCCUUCGUGAGGUUUUCACCUCCGUACAGGAUAGUGGAUCGCUUUCGGGAUACAUCCGUACCUGUGUCUUCGUGAGAUUUUCAUCUCCGUGCAGCCAUAGGGAAAUGUAUUCCCCUGAAUUGAACUCGGUCUGUAUGAGCCUAUAAUGGGUGAAGAUCGAGGAAUAUGCUGGUUCGGGUACCUUAUCUUUAGAACCAACCCACAUAUAGUGGACUUAGGAACUUAACCUAGGUAGAGCCACUCCAAAUCCCUAGUAUUUACCUGAUUAGGUUUUUUUUUUGUUUUCCGUGCUUGCUUAUGUUUUGUUCUAACCCUUCUUGUUGUGUUUUGAUUAUGAUUGCAUUACAUUGCAUUUGCAUCUUAGGAAAGAGAUAUUGAUUCAAGUUCGAUUACUAAAUUAGAAAGCUUGUCAUGGAAUACGGAUUCCUUGAUAAAGUGGAAAACAAUACGACUGCCCGAAUAUAUUCUGAGAAACACAAGAAUGGCGAUGUAAGAGUUUGUGAUCCUACUUCGUGGCCUAAGGAUUCAAGGAAAUUGUCUAAGAGCCUUCAACAUUCCACUCACUUAAAGAAGCUGACGAGCCUUAUGAAGAUGGGCAGAUGAUGGAUCACGACCAAGAUCAAGAAAAUGAGCUAGCAGUGACAUUUAUUGAAAAUUGGCGAGAUUACCUUAAACAUGCGGAUAAAGAAAAAAGGACCGAUGUUUCUUGGAAUAUGACGGUGAGGCCGUACAUAUAUCCGUUUUAUGUAAGGGAAUUUGUUUUCUAGAAAAGUUUCCUAAAUGUAAUUGAAUCAGAAUCAACGUCUCUUUAGGCAUUCAUUUCAUGCAUUUGCAUUACAUUGCAUUACAUGCAUUGAAAGAGUCUAAACGAGUAAAUUUAUUUCAGCUAACCUGGAAAACCAACCAACCAAACAAAGACUAGAGAAAUGGAACGAAGGUUGGAAAAAUUAGAGCGAAUGCAGAUUCAGAUGCAGGAGCAAUUAACUGAAUUUCAACAGGAGACGAGAGAUCAGAUGCUAGAAUUACGGAGAACUAUGAUAAACCAGUUUAACCGAUUGCUAGCUGGAAAGUCAAAAGAAGUGAAAGACCCGGUGGUUUACUUUGGGGUUGAUAAUGAGGAUCUUGUCUAUUCCUUAGAUUGUACUCCGACAAGUGUCCAGGUUCAGCUAGAUGGGCGUCCACAAUGAGCACUUUUUACUGUCGGAUCCCAAUAUUAUCAGACUGGUACAUCGACACCAGUGAAUUGCCUGACAGGCUUAGAAUCCAAUUUGAGGAAUGAUUUAGCUAGUCCUGUUGCUAAUCUAGCCGAAAUAAAGAAGAUGAGGAUAGAAUACCCAGAUACUAAAAAGGCACUAGGGAAGAAGGCGAAUAAAGAGGAUAAUGCAGGCAGAUAUAACAAGGGCCACUCAAAACCAAUCACUACAGGCCGGCCAAAGACAGAAACCACCAGACAUCGGAAUCCUUUAAAGCAAGAAUCUGGAGCGAAACCAGGUACUGAGAAGCUCCAGUUCAUACCAAUUCUGAUGUCAUAUAGUGAGUUAUACCGAAGCUUAUUUGAUGCACGUGUGGUGUCCCCCUUCUACUUAAAACCCAUACAGCCUCCGUAUCCCAAAUGGUAUGACACGAACGUAUAAUGCGACUACCAUGCGAGAAUUACGGGGCAUUCAAUAGAGAACUGCAUUGCCUUUAAGAAACUGGUUGAAAAGCUCAUUAAUAUGGGGGUUGUCAGAUUUGAUGACUCGUCUAGCGCAGAAAAUCUACUACCUAGCCAUAUUGAUAAUGGGGUAGACAUGAAGGUAGGAAGGGGAUCAGUUAUUUCUGAUUCAGGAGGAAAUAAGGGAAAGACACGGAACCAUUGCGAUUUCCAUCAUGAGAGAGGGUUCGAGACCCAAGAGAGUGUGGAAUUCAAGGCCUUGGUUCAGGACAUGAUGGACGAUAAGGGGAUGAAGCUUCGUGAGGAAAUUAAAGAGGAGGAAAACAUACGUUCAAUGUUGGCAAGCGUUCACACCAAUGACAUAUUUGAAGACACGAAUGAAAAGGAACCUUGUUAGAUAUCUGCCCUUAUAAAUCUGGAGUGUUCUAAGCAACUGGGCUGCGAAAAAAAUCCCUUUAGUUUUUAGGGCUUAUCUAGAGUAAUGUUCAGAACAUUUUGUUGUUUUAGCCUAAAGCGAUAUAAAUUCCUUUGUGAAAUAGGUUAAUGUAUGAACGUUAUUAUUCUAAUAAAAUACAUCUUUGCAUUCCUUUUUGAGCUAAUAUUCUUUCAUUUAUUUUGAAUAAUUAUUUCUGAUUCUUUCAUUCUUUUGAAUUUUCUUCCAAACCAUCAUUCAUUCAUUCAUUCAUAAUUAUAUGAUACAAAUAAUUAUUCAUGAAUCUAUACAUUCUUUUGUAUAUUCUUUGGUACUUGCUAUGGGUCCCCGGAUAUCAAUUACGUGAAUGACUGCUACAGACCCAGAUUUUCCUUUUGAGUGAGGCAUGUGUUCAGAGGGAUCUCAAUGCUUUGAAAAUGAUAAAGAUUGUAGUUUAUCUCCUAACUUGUUAAGGAUGGUUGAACAAGAGGAUAGACAGAUCCUACCUCACAAGGAAUCAUCAGAAAUUGUGAGCUUAGCGAGGAUUAGAAUUGACCUGAUCGCAGAGACGAAGCAACACCUUGUUGAGGCACCUCUAGAUUUCGAAGAGAUCUUUGUAGGAUCAUACCAGGAUAUGCCUGGGUUAAAUGCCGAUAAUGAAAUCUGCACAACAGCACGAUGUCAGAAAUUUACAGUAUGAAUGAUGUAAUUCUUUACCGGGGCAAUGUCUUUCUCGUGGAGUCAGCAUAGUUUUGCCCAUUUGAAGUUGAAUUUCCGUCUCUUCAAGUUGUUGUUGGGUCCAUCCUGAUUAAAGAGGAAGAUCCAAAGUUUUUUGUCGAAGUUGCAUCCCAAAAGGCUCAGAUCAAAAAAGUGAAGAAAAAGAAAAAUCAAAAUCAAAGUCAAAAUGAAAAUGAAAAUGAAAAUGAAAAUGAAAAUGAAAAUGAAAAAAUCAAAAAUCAAAAUAAAAAAAACAAAAAGAAGAAAGAAGAAAAAAAUCAAAAUCAAGAUCAAAAUAAAAAUGAGAAAAAGAAAGAAGAAUGAAAAAGGAGAAAUCUAGAUGAAAAAAUCAGAAUGAAAAAGAAAAGAAAAAAGAAAAGGAGAGGCUAAAGCGAAAACUCGCAAAGGGCGCUUUGUGACCAAAUGAGGUUUUGAAUUGAAAACCCGAAAAGGGCGACUCAAAUUUCGAGCACAAUGAGGCAUGAACAUCACCAUUAUCAGAGACUUCUAAUGGGCAUUGCUUCAUUUUGAGAGGCUACUUCAUGAGCCAAAGUCAUCGUAUACCGAUACAGAAUUUCAGAGAAGAGGUUAUUGGAGAAUGCAUUGAGCUUAAACAAUAGCACGAUCGCUGAGGUCUCAAAUUAACUCAGAAGUGGACACCACGAUUCGUCACUGAAUUGCCUAGAAUUGAACAUCGAAAAUUGAAGGAAAAUGACUGAGACUUAGGGUCUGUUUGAUUGCCAGUAAAAUGUUUUCCGUAAAAUGAUUUCUGGAAAAUGGUUUACUUUUCUGUAAAAUGAUUUACUGGAAAAUAUUUUCUGGUGUUUGACUGAAUCUGUGUAAAAUAUUUUUUGCUGUUUGGCAGAUUUUCUGAAAAUAUUUUCGAAAAAGUUGUUUUUACAUAUAUUAAUAUAUAUUAAUAAUUUUUUAUAUUUUAAAUUAUUUUUACAUAUAUUGCAAUGAUUUAUUUAUAAUAAUACUCAAUUAUUAAGCUACAAUAUUAGUCGUUAUAAAUUGAAAAAAACUAAUAUCAAAUAAAUUAUUUGUAAUUGUGUUAAAAAAACAAGUAUUGAAUAAUUAAAAAAACAAGUUAUUGGAAAAUCGAUAAACAGAAGCAGUUUUCUACCGGAAAUGAAGGAAGGAAUGAAGGAAGCGAUAAAGAGGAGAGCACGGAAAAUGUCUUACGGAAAUUGAAAGGGUAAGACAUUUUCCCUAAAAUGUAACCCAUUUUCCCUUGUUUUGGAGUUCAUUUUCCAAAUGGAAAAUGUUUUCCGCCAAUCAAACGCUGAAAAAGUUGAAAAUGAUUUUCCGGAAAAUCAAUUCCGUCAAUCAAACAGACCCUUACAAGGAUUGGCAUGAGAAAUUACUAUUUGCCUUCCUUGCUUGUCGAACAUCUGUACCGGGGCAAUACCUUUCUCUUUGGUUUGCGGGGUUUAGGUAGUUUUACCUAUUGAAAUCCUUUCUCUCCAGGUAUUAUUUGAGCUAGAAUUGGAUGAAGCAGAAUGGAUCCAAUCGCGAUGAGAUCAGUUGAACCUAGAAAAAAGGUUAAAAGCUAUUCUUCAGGGUCGGAUGUACCGGAAACAAGUGAUACGAGCCCAUAAUGAACAGUGUCAUAUCAGAGAAUUCCACGAGAGGGUUGGAUGUCGAAAAAGAUCAUUCCUCUCUAAAAAUGAUUCCAGAGGGAAAUAAAUGCCAAACCGGGAAUGUCCCUACGUUGUAAAGAAGACAUUCUUCAGAAGAGCACUGAUCUUGAGUAAGAUUGCUAGUCCUAUAAACUCGGAUCCAGUCAAGAAAUACUUCGUUUAAAGAAUGAGGAAGGACCAAGGUGAAAACCCGCAAAGGGCACUCUAAGUCAAAAAAAAUGAAAUGAAAAAUGAGAAUGAAAAAUAAAAAAUAAAAAAUAGAGAGGCUAAGGGGAAAACCCGGAAAGGGCGCCUUAGGCCAAAGGGGAUUUGAGUUGAAAACCUGAAAAUGGCGGCUCAAAUAUUUGUUCAGAAUGGGGCAUGAGGCGAUCAGAGCGAUUCGAAUUUUGAUCAUAUUGGGGCAUGUGGUGAUCUUGCUAUGCCUGAAUCAACAGGAAAGGAUAGACGACAUCUUGGGGCAUCGACAGAGCACUGUAGAUCUCCUAAACACAUGUCCAACUCAAAAUGGUCUUCAGAAAGUUUGUACAGAGAAGUUCAAGUAGCGAUAUCUGGAGCACCCAAUCCUCACAUUAUUUGUUAUUCUUGGAAUAUUUUUUCUUUCCAAGAUAUACAUCCCCAAUUAAUUUCUUCGUCAUCCUUCUUUACAAUUUUUGGUAAUUUAUUCCUUUUGAGCUAUGCUCAGAAUCAAUUUUAUUCUUAUCCAUUGUUAUGACCCUUUUUGCAAAGCAUGUUGCAUUAGAAUAAUGAUUAAUGGACUAAUAAUACUUUCACAAUGGAAGUUUUGCAUAUUACUCUAGAAGUUUCUAAAUAAUAUAGGAGCCUAAAGCAGUACUAUUGUUUAGAACACACCAAUUUUUAAAGGUUGGAAAUUUGAGAAGGAAUAGUCUAAAUUUAGACUUUCUCUUUGGAUUUUUGUUUUCAAGUGCACUGAAUGAACAAAAUGACAAGAUGCCAUGUCAAUGGCAAAGCUUAAACGAACAAACAAGCAAUGAUCAUCAGGCAAUAGGAAGAGGUUACCUCGGAGAAGAGAGCCUUCAUUUGUGCAUGAGCAUUUGGUAUGACACCUUGGGGAUGAGGUAAAGGACCAAAGAGUUUCACAUUCAAUAUCAUUGAAUUGCGAUAGGAGAAGAUUGAGAAAGGCCAUACAUUUCUACCCUUUGGUUAUAGUGGGAGAUUGAUGGUGCAAAUUUUAUGUCCCAGUGGAUUGAACUUUGACGUUCAUAGUGGGGGGCAAUCAGAUUAAGUGAUCCUUUGGAUAUGCUAGCCGAGCAAGAAGGUGGUAUAGCACGUCAGUAAUAAAGCCUUAAUAUGCUUUUGUGUGAUGAUAACCUAAGCAUUAAGGAAUCAUUUUCAUGACAUUUUGCAUGUCAUUCAUACACAUCUAGUUAGGAGCAUUUGAUUCGUUCUGAUCAUGUCAUCCUAAUCUCUAGGCACAAUUAGGUUCAUAAAAUAGAACAUACAGGUCAUGUUCCCUAGAGAACAAAUCAGUGAACAUCGAAAACAAAGCCUUGCCUUCAUUGGUUACAGUGAAGCUGGUUAAAGAAGCAGAUCUUGCCUUCCAGCAUUAACAGCGAAGCAGAUCGAAAACAAAUCAUUGCCUUCAUUGGUUACAGUGGAGCUGGUUAAAGAAGCAGAUCUUGCCUUCCUGCGUUAACAACGAAGCAGAUCGAAAACAAUCCUUGCUUCAUUGGUUACAGUGGAGCUGGUUAAAGAAGCAGAUCUUGCCUUCCUACGUUAACAACGAAGCAGAUCGAAAACAAGCCUUGCCUUCAUUGGUUGCAGUGGAGCUGGUUAAAGAAGCAGAUCUUAUCUUCCUACAUUGACAGCGAAGUAGAUCGAGGACACAAGCCUUGCCUCCCUUAGUUGUAGGGGAGCAGAUCAAAGACAGCAAAUCUUAUCUUCAAGUGUAAGGAAGCGGAUUUAAGCCACAAGUCCUAUGUCCCUGACCAGCAGUGGAAUAGGUUGGAAAUUUCAGAUCUUAUCUCCCUGAGGUUACAGCGGAGCAGAUCGAAGACAUAAUCCUAUCUCCCUGAAGUUACAGUGGAGCGGAUUAAAAUAAAGGAUCUUAUCUCUCUGAAGUUACAGUAGAGUAGAUCGCAUCAGGUCUUAUUUCCCUGAGGUUACAGCGGAGUAGACCGAAAAAUUUCAGAUCUUAUCUCCCUGAGGUUACAGCGGAGCAGAUCGAAGACAUAAUCCUAUCUCCCUGAAGUUACAGUGGAGCGGAUUAAAAUAAAGGAUCUUAUCUCUCUGAAGUUACAGUAGAGUAGAUCGCAUCAGGUCUUAUCUCCUUGAGGUUACAGCGAAGUAGACCGAAGAAUUGCAGAUCUUAUCUCCCUGAGGUUACAGCGGAGCAGAUCGAAGAUAUAAUCCUAUCUCCCUGAAGUUACAGUGGAGCGGAUUAAAAUAAAGGAUCUUAUCUCUCUGAAGUUACAGUAGAGUAGAUCGCAUCAGGUAUUAUUUCCCUGAGGUUACAGCGGAGUAGACCGAAGAAUUGCAGAUCUUAUCUCCCUGAGGUUACAGCAGAGCAGAUUAAAGACAUAAUCCUAUCUCCCUAAAGUUACAGUGGAGCGGAUUAAAAUAAAGGAUCUUAUCUCUCUGAAGUUACAGUAGAGUAGAUCGCAUCAGGUCUUAUUUCCCUGAGGUUACAGCGGAGUAGACUGGAGAAUUGCAGAUCUUAUCUCCCUGAGGUUACAGCGGAGCAGAUUAAAGACAUAAUCCUAUCUCCCUGAAGUUACAGUGGAGCGGAUUAAAAUAAAGGAUCUUAUCUCUCUGAAGUUACAGUAGAGUAGAUCGCAUCAGGUCUUAUUUUCCUGAGGUUACAGCGGAGUAGACCGAAGAAUUGCAGAUCUUAUCUCCCUGAGGUUACAGCGGAGCAGAUUAAAGACAUAAUCCUAUCUCCCUGAAGUUACAGUGGAGCGGAUUAAAAUAAAGAAUCUUAUCUCUCUGAAGUGGCAGUAGAGUAGAUUACGUCCAAGUCAAAUCUCCCUGAAGUUGCAGUGGAGUAAGUUAAAAUCCCAAACCUCACCCCCUGAAGGUACAACAGAGUGGAUUGAAGCUACAAGUCUUGUCUUUUUGAAGUUGCAGCGGAAUGGAUAGAAGCAACAAUGUACAGUGGACUGGAGUGAAGCUACUUGAAGAGAAGCGUCAAGAGAAGUCAAGACUCGGCGAAACCGGGCAAAAAAUUGGUCUUUCUUAGUCUUUGCUCUGUUAUCGUUACACGACAAUGAGCAAAGAGGGGCAGCUGUACAAACCCAAUUUCUGCCCGGCCCACUAACAAAAAGAACCCAAUACCCACAAACCCAAUAACCCACCUAAACACUAACCCAUACCAGCAGACCCAAUUACAAGGCCCAGUGGCCCAAAAUUUUAAAAUCAUUUCAGAAACCCUAAUCCCCCUAACCCUAGCCGCCUCUUCUGAUCUUUCUGCUACUACUGCCGCCAUCACCUACCCUCUGCCACCGCCACUGUUUCGCCCACUUGCACCACUUGCUCCACCUGCAAAACAAAGGAGAACACGCAAGCAAAGAAGGACAAAACAGUAGAAACAAUAAUAAAAUAAAUUGUGUAAAAAUGGCUAUAUAAAGGCCAUUCAAAUGAAUUGUAAGGGGUUCGGCCCCUCUUUCACUAUUUCAAGAAAUAAAAAGGGCAAAGAAAACGGAUUCAAGAAAUUUUUCUUUUGGUAUAAACUCUAUUUUCUUUUAUUUAUAUUUUUCUCUUUAUUUUUCUUCCAUCCGAAACUGUUUGAUCCUUUAUUCUUAUUUUUAUUUUUCUUUUAUUUUUAAAAACAUAUAUAUAUAAAUAUAAUAUAUAGAUUUUAAAAUAAAAAAUAAUACCUUUUUUGAAUUUUCCGGCCACCGUACACGGUGGCCGGCGCGACGACGGAGCGGCGGUGACGUGGUGGCCAAGUUCGUCGGAUUCUGGGCAGUGCUGGAGAGGGGGAGAGAAUAUUUUUGAGAAGAAGAGUUUUUUUUUUUAAUGAAAGCUGAAAAUGAUUUUUUUUGGGGGAAACCUUGACUUUUAUAGGCCCCCCAAAACGACGUCGUUUUGGGAAAGCCUCUUAGGUACCAAAACGGUGCCGUUUUAAGGCCGGCCCGAAAACCGACCCGACCCGCCUGAAGGAUCCGCGUGUUUUUGACGAAAGGGAUAAUUGCGUUUUCAGGCCUUCCGCUUUUAAAUAAUUUUGCAAUCAAGUUCUUUCCUUUUUUUAAAAUUCGCCCUAUAUUUUAUUUUCAUUCACAAUCUGGUCCACUUUGAAAUGCAGUGUUUUGGAGGGUGGGAUUAUUUCCAUUUUGGUCCCCCUCUUUCCGCGCGUGUCACAAUUUAGUCUUUUCAGUCUUUUUUAUUUGAAAUUCGCUCAGUAUUUUUAUUUUUACUUCGAUUUAGUCCCUUUUUUAGUAUUAUUAUUAUUAUUAUUAAUUAUUGCUAGUUUUAUUUUCCUUAAACCUAUUCGUCACUGCUUUGAUUAGUAUGUUAACUUGUUUCAUUAUUAUUAUAGCUUUCUUUUUUAUAAUAUAUGUACAUAUACCUAUGAAUAUUUUAUAUAUAUAUAUGCAUACAUAAUUAUAUACAUAUAUAUACCUUAUAAUAUUAAUGCGUACAUAGUUUUAUUUAUUAAAUAUUUUUAUACUCUAUAUUUUUAUACACUUGUAUAUAUACAAACAUCUAUGUUUCAAUUCAUAUAAAUAUAUGUACGUAUACAUAGUUAUGUGCUUUAUGUACCUAUUAUAAUUUGUUUACAUGUUUAUAUAUAUCUAUACAUAUAUUUUUAUAUUUCGUGAUAGUUAUAUGUACACAUAUACAUGUAAAUACUUAUAUUUUAUGCCUCAUAAUAUAUAUAUUUUCAUAUUUUCAUAUUUUAUGAUUUUCAUCUAUUUUCCUUUAUUGUUAUUGUAAUUUUCAUGUGUAUUUGUUUAUUUAUUUAUAUGUCUAUUUUUUUAUGUUUUAGUUUUUUUUAUUUGUUAUGAUAUAUGCACAAUUAAUUUAGUUUAUUAUUUGUUUUGUUUUUUUUUAUUCACACAAUCAUGUUCAAUAUUUCAUUAUGCAUAUAAAUAUCAUAUUUCAAAAGGAAAAAUAUUUCUAAAUGAGGCAAUGUUUUGCGUUUGGAAGUUCGAGAAAACAUGCCCUAAGGUGCUGGGUGUCGAUUUUUCUCGUUCAACCAAAUAGCUUAAUAUCCUUUUAAAUUUUUAAAAUAAGGCAAUGUUUUGCGUUUGGAAAUUCGAGAAAACAUGCCCUAAGGUGCUGGGUGUUGAUUUUUCUCGUUCAACCAAAUGGCUUAAUAUCCUUUUAAAAUUUUUAAAAUAAGGCAAUGUUUUAUGUUUGGAAAUUCGAAAAAACAUGCCCUAAGGUGCUGGGUGUCGAUUUUUCUCGUUCAACCAAAUAGCUAAACAUCCUCUUGAAUUUAAAUUCAUGCCAUUCGAGUUUUUAGGAUCGUAUUUUAAAUUUCUUUGAAGUUUUCAGUUUUUCGACACUAAGACAUUAAGUAAUCAACUAGGUACCAAUUUUGGGCGUAUCGAGGGUGCUAAUCCUUCCUCGUGCGUAAUCGACUCCCGAACCCGUUUUUCUGAAUUUCGUGGACCAAACUUGUUGUUUUAAUAAAAUCAAAUCGUUUAUUAAAAACAACCACUUUUUGAGGUGAUCCGAUCACACCUCAUCAAAAAGGAUCGGUGGCGACUCCCGUUUUCGUUCUCAUUUUUCAAAACCCAAGUCGACCCCGUUUUCCAUCCAAAAAAAUGGUGUCAACAAUCCUUAUUACCUAAAUUUUACCAUACCAAACAAAGCCACAUUUAGCUUUUAUAUCAUUUUUUAAAUAAUCUAAUAUAUCUUUAUUUAAUAAGUAAUAAUCCCAUAUGCAUUAGAGAGAGUAUUAAGUUGAGUUAUUAAAUUUAGGGUUUGUUAUAUUCUAACGGGUUAUUUUCAAUUCCAUUGAAAUGAUUUAUAGGUGAUAACUUUUACAAUUUAAUACGAUUAAUUUUAUUAUAUUACAAUGAAAAACAAAAGAAAAAGAAGAAUUUAAUAUGGUUCAAAGUUUUUAAAUAAAUCUGGACCAUAUACUUGUAGACAAACCUUUACCAUUAAUCUAUUCCAACUUCAAUGAGAACGACCAAGACAAUGCAAGUCUCAAUAGUCCUGUUUGAAACGCAAAAGCAUUCAAGUGGUUGAGAGCAGCAAGCCUGAUCCCUUUUGUCCUUUUGUGUUAUGUAAGUCAAUUGUAGAGAACGAUUGUUGGAAAUUUCUAAAACGUAAGUUAAUAGUUAGAACCCUUGAGCAACGCACAUUCCACCCCAACCCAUGCAUAACGUUAGACGAGACUCAAUGUCUCAUUGUAUACAUUUUUAAUUUUAUUCAACAACUACAUAAGUAUAUUUUUAAAUGAUUUUUAAUAUAAUUACAUGUAUUUUCAUCUAUUUUAUAUGAAUUUAAAAUAUUACAAAUUAAAUAUAAUUAAUAUAAGAUAUAAGUUCUAUUUAAUUAAAUUCAAAUUCAAAUUCAAAUUCAAAUUUUAAAUUAUCCAAUAAUAUAAAUAGUAGACAUAAAUUUAAAGAAAAAAAUUGGGGUUUAGUUGAGAAAUUACCUCUCAAAUUCAACUAAAAUAAAUAAAGAGAGUUUAACUGGAAAAUUACCUUUCAAAUUUAACUGAAAUAUGAAACAUACUCAAUAAUAAGGGUAUCAAUUCAAAGGUAUAAAGCUACAUAAAUUCUUAGUUAUGCCUUUGAAAUAUUUUCACAAAGGCAUGUGCAAAACUUUUUGAUUCUAAGCAAAUUCAUUGUCUCAAUAUUACUUAUUUAAAAUCAAAUCCACAUUUAUUUUUAAACAAAAUCCAACAAUGUAUUUGGCUCAUCCAACAAUUUAUUUUUAAAUGGCAUUUAUUUAAAAAGAACCAAAUGAGAAUUAUUAUACAACUUUAUAAAGUCGAUGACACAUCCAACAUUAAAAGCACAAAGAAACUAGAUUGGCCAACAACAAAACAAUAAUGCCAACAUUCUCAAAUACCGCAACAAAUUUGUUCUAAAAACAAAAGAUAGCGCAUCGCACUUAGAGCGUAGAAAUACUUGAAUUCAAUCAUUGUAACAACGAAAAAGGAAACAAGACAUCCAACAUCCUCAUCACAAUGGAUUCGCCUCUCACCCGCCAACAACGUCUGCAAUGCAAUAAAACAAGAAGAGGCUAUUGUGGUAGCAACUCUUAUAAAUAUUCCAAAAUUAACUUUUAGAUGCAUCAGGUCUUAAUCUAAGGUAAAGGGUUUAUCCAAACAUGAAAAAUCUAACCAACUCAAUUCAAUUCAACCUAACCUCAACCUAUCUAUAUAGUUUACUUUUAAUUUAUAUAUAAUUUCUUUUAUGAUUUAAAUUUAAAUAUUUUUUAACAAAAAUUUUAAAUACUUAAUAUUGAACAAAUAGUCAUAUUAAUGAAAAUUUGUAAUUAUGAUCAAUAACUUAACACAUAGGUAAAAGUGUUUUUUUUUUUACUUAAUAAUAUUAUUAGCAAUAGUACGUUAUUAAUUGUAUAUGAAAAUAAUGAAGCUUAAAAAUUAAAAUUUAAAGACAAUGCCAUUGUCAAAUUUACUCAAAAUUUAUUUUUAACUAUAGUUAUCCAUGUACAUAUGUGACACACAUAAUAAGAUGCUAAUAUAUAUAAGGCAAAAUAUUAUAAAGUUAAAUGGUGAGAUAAUAAAGUGAAAUGUUUCUAACCUUAUGCAAUAUUUGAACUUGUUAUAGUAACAGUAUCCAAUGAUGUACUUGGCUCAUCAUUAGAGUUCUCACAGCUAUGAAUCUCCAUUGAUGUUUCAAGCGGAAGUUGAUGGAAUGGCUUAGGAGGCAUAUCAAGGAGUUCAACAUCAGAUUCAAGCAUCUUCAAAACUUUACUCAUUGAAGGACGAUCAAAAGGCAGUAAUUGUAUACACCAAAAGGCUGUUAUUACCAUUUUCUUUACCAUUGCUUUUUCAUCGUCAGAAACAUCUCCCAACUCCAAGUCCUCUCCUUGAUCUAAUCGGUCAUAAAUCCAAGAUGGAAAAUAGAUCUGACUAGUGUGGUCAGCAAAUGCAUUCACAUUCUUUCUCCUUCCAACCAUUUCCAUCAGUAACAUUCCAAAACUAUAAACAUCAGCUUUGUAUGAGAUGCCUCCAAGAUUUUUGUAAACCAAUUCUGGAGCAAUAUAUCCUAUCGUUCCUCGUGCCGCAGUGAGAGAGACAAUGCUAUCAUCUACUGAAUACAAUUUAGCAAGACCAAAAUCGGAAACUUUUGGAUUAAAAUUCUCAUCAAGAAGAAUAUUGUGUGGCUUGAUAUCAAAAUGUAGAAUUUGCAUGUCACAUCCUUGAUGUAAGUAGUGAAUUCCUUGAGCCACCCCAAGUACAAUAUCAAACAUUUUUUUCCAGCCCAAAGUGUUCUUAUUUUCUUCUGUAAAUAUGAUUUUAUCUAAAGAUCCAUUAGACAUGAAGUCAUAUACUAGAGCUUGCUUUGAUCCCUCCACACAAAAUCCGAUAAGUUUUGCCACAUUAGCAUGAUGAAUUGUCCCAAUGGAAGCAACUUCGUUUAUGAAAUCUUGGCCAUUACCUUUUGAUUUGCCCAACAAUUUUAUUGCCACAUGAUGGCCGCUACGAAGCUUUCCUUUAAACACUGAGCCAUAACCCCCUUCACCUAAUUUAUCUUUAAAAUUUUUAGUCAUUUUUUUAAUUUCUUUAAAAGAAUACCUUAAUGGCACUAGAUUAUUUUGGCUUUUAAGGAACUCUUCGAUCAUAUCAUCCAUGGAUAAAUGUCUUCUCCUCCAUUUGUACGUGACAAAAGCAAGCAAACAAAUGAUCCCAGGAAAUGACCUCAAGAUAACUCCACCUUUAAAGAAAUACAAUGUAACAUGUUGAAAUUAAUCACAUAAUAUAUAACUUACAUUCUCAGAAAAAAGGAUAUAGUGUGAUAGUUUUAUGUUAACUAGUAUUUGAGAGAGUGGCAUAUUUCACUAGUCUAUGGACUUAACCGAGAGUAGUCUGAAUUAUAUGCAUUGUUUUUGUCAUUAGCAGGUAUAUCUCAACAAAUUAAAAUUCAGAAUUUGAAACACAAAAGGAGUAAAUCAUGCAAAGUGGAUGCCAAUUAUUCUAACCUCACACAUUCCAAUAGAUUUGACAGGGUCAUGACAUUCACCCAAAUUAACACAUUCGUAACCCCAUCCAAUUAGCAAAUUCUAAAGAAAGAACAUGAUUCUUAACCAUGAAGGAUACUCAACUGUUGUUUCUAUUCAUGCCAAAUAAAAUUGAAGAAGGACAAAUUAAAAAUAUAAUAACCUUCAAAUUUCAUAAAUGAAACAAAAUCUAGAACCACCAAAAGAUGCAAGAGAACCCCCCAAAAAACAGAUUUGAUAAAUUCAAGAGCUAACUUUGUUGAAUGUUUUAGCAAAAUGAAUAUCCACCAAACUUAUAACCUGUGAAAGUUCUAAACAAUACCAUUAUGAAAACAAGCUUAACUAAAACUCUAACAUCUUUCUUAACUUGACAAAAAAUUUCUUUCAUAUAGAAGAAGAUUGUAUUCUGCAUUCAAACUCCGUAAAGAGUGUCAUAGCUUUCUUAGUUUUGUAGUGAAAUUAAAUAUAAACUUGUAUAAUAUGAUAGGCUCCUUAUUCUUUUUUUCCCCCAGAAUAUAGCUAAUAUUUGUUCUCAACUAGUGCAAAUGCAAAUCUGCAAAUCUAAAAUUAAAUAUACCUGUUAUUAGCAAACAGAGACGAUAAGCUCCGAAGAAUCUGGAUUAUAUAUUCAACAAAUCAAAGUAAAAUUAAUAAAGGGGUGUAAAGAAAAAUUCCAAAUUUGUAUAAAAAAAUCAAUGGAAGGUAAUUUAAAAAAUUAUAUUAUGUUUUGUGGUAUAUACUCAAAAAAGAAAUACAACAAUUCUUUACAUAUGUUUGCUUGUAAAAAGUAUGCAACAUGUGUUACAGUAUAAGAGUUUUUAGGUAACUAAUAUGAUUUAAUAUAAUGAAAGGUGAGACAAAAUUUAUUCAAAUUAAUUAAUCCAAAAAGUAUAUAUUAUAGCAUUAAAAGAGUUUUUGCCAAAAAAAAUAAACUCAUCCACAAUGGUGGAAUAUUUACGUACUACCAACUAAAUUGAAAAUUCAUCAAAAAUAAAGACAAAAUAAAAAGAUAGACAUAAUCAAAUAUAAUUGUCCAAAAAGAAGACAAAACAGCAGAGAAAGCAGAGGCAGAUACUAAAUUAGAAAUGCUUUUAGUUCAUUUGAUUGUUAGAUGUUGAUCAAUUUUAGAUGCAAAAUCAUCAUACUUAAUUACCAUCAUAAUAUUUAAUUGUGAUAAAUGUAACAUAAAAUAAAACAAAACAAAAAGUAGAUGUUGUAACUAAAAAUUCCAGUAUGAUUCACACUCAAAAUGCAAACUUAAAUUAUUAAAGAAACUUACAUAUCUUUAAACCAAACUUUGUUUUUAUUGUAGUAGCUACUCUCGCUAUCCCAUCAACUCCAUUGGACCCAAAAACCCUCCAAUAAUUUUUUGUAUAUAUCCAGCGUAGACAUGCCUAUUAUAUUAUCAAUCAUAAUUGGAACCUCCGCUUUGAUAGUGCAAGCUUGAUUGAUAUCAGAUGGGUGGGUGUUUCCAUUUAAAAAAUAGAAAUAGAAAGUUGGAAGGGAAGAGGAGGUAUUAGAUUUAAUCGUACAACAAGAAGCCUCAAUAAAAAGUGAUGAUUUUAUAGGUUUCGUGCAAUUCAUAACAUAAAUAAUGUUAAAAUUAUAAGAAAAAUAAUAAUGAUAAUUAGAAAAAAGGUAAAAAUAUGGUUUAAAAUAAGGAUAAGUAUCAUAAUAAUCAGGAUAUACAGAAGUAAGAGGAAGGGAGUUGCAAUCAUCCGUGUCCAAGCUUGCAUCCACCAUUCGUAUUGUAUAAUUUUCGUAAAAGAUUUGUUGGACAGAUAAUUUCCCUCCUCUCCCAACCAAAGUGGUGCGAUUAUUGUUCUCACACUCAAGUUCCAUGACAGGAGAACCACAGUGGGGAGGUUGGUUUUUUAAUCGGAAUGGAAAACUGAUAUUCAAAUUCCCACAGAAAGUAGAGCCGCAGUCUUGGUUAAUAAGACUCCUAGCAAAACAAACAGCAGGAAAUAGAAUUACAAAUAAAGCAACAGAGGGCAUUAGGUGACCCAACAAUGGCAGUUUUGCUUUUAAUUUUGGCAUGCUAAAAUUUUGGGUAAGGAAGAAGAACAGUAAUGGGGGGUUAAUGAUUAAGUUUCUAACUAAACCAGGGAAAUAUAUAAGAAAGCUUCAGUGGGAGAAGAAGCAUUAAUGGGGACACAAGACUUUGACUACUCUUCAGCUUUAUUUGGGAUGAAUAUUUUAUUUUCAAUAAAUUGUUUACACCUUUUAUUCUUUAAUCUUUUUUCUGGGAAGAGCCAUGGUUAUCACAAGCAAAAGAAAAAGGAAUUUUAAUAUUAUUCAAAAAAAAAAAAAAUUGGACCAUAUGCUUGUAGUCGUAGAUCAACGUUUAUGACCUUAAUAAAUUCCAAUUACAAUGAGGAGGACCAAGACAAUGCAAGUCUUUAGUCUUCUUUGAAACACAAAAACAUUUGUUGCAUCUUUUGUAACUAUUUGUUGCAUCAUUCUAAAAAGUAAGUUAAUAGUUAGAAGUGUCAAGCAAGGCGACUCAAUGCCCAAUUGUAUAGAUUCUUUUUAUUUUAUUCCACGAAUACUUCACUACUUUUCAAAUAAUUACAUGAAUUUAAAAUAAAACAAAUUAAAUAUAAGAUAUAAUUUCUAUUUAUUUAAGUUUAAAUUCAAAACUAAAUUCUAUUUCUAAAUUUUAAUUAUCCAAAAUUAAUUUAAAAACUUAAAUUUAAAAAUACAUUAAGAGACUUCAAAUUCCGUUUUAUUUUAAAUGAAAUCGGUUUAGUAAAGAGGUGACUAUGGAUCAAGUCAAGCCGAAUCGAAGUUCAGUUUCAAAAAAUUCCAAGUCCUAGAGCCUAUUUUUGAUCCAACUCACCCAAAAGCUCGUUUUCUAUUUGAAAAUAUUAAAAAUAUUUUUAAUUGAUAUUUUACAUAUUUUUAUAAUUAAAUUUAAAUUUUAAUAAAAAUUAUUAUUUAAAUUAAACUAUAAAAAUAUUUAUCCAAAUCUGACCCAAAUCGAAUUAGGCCGGGUGGGCGAUCCGAUCAUGACAGGAAAGGAGAAACAAGAAAGACGAAGCCUAAACAGGCAGUAAAUUCAUUUUAAUUCUACAUACAUUCCAUAUUAUUAUUUAGGGAUAAUAUAGUUUUUGACCCUAAUCUUGAUAGUUAAGUGGACUUUAGUACAUAUAUCUUUUUUGUUCUACUUUGACACUCGAACUUCAAAUAUUUUGGUUCCUAAACUUGAAAAAUAUAAAAGUUUUAUGAUGCAACUCUGUAAGAUUGUGUUACAUCAUCACUUAAAAAUUAAAAAAAUAUAUAAAUAUUUUUAAUUAAUAUUUUAUAUAUCUCUAUAAUUAAAUUUAAAUUUAAAAAAUAUUUUUUAUUAUUUAAAUUCAACUCAGAUUAAAUCAAAAUAAAAUGUAAAAAUACUUAUUCAAAUCUGACCCAAAUUGAGUUGGGCCGGGCAGGCUACCCAGUCAUCUCAAGUCUACUUUAGCACAGGUAAGUAAAGUUGAAUCAUUAGAUUGGGAUAUAUGUGUGCUUCGGGUAAAUACUUAUUUGGGCUGAAUUAUUUGGACUUCAAUUAUGAAUUUAAUUUUUUACUAAUAUGUGUGAGAAGCCCAUUCUUUUAUGAAUUUUGGGCCACUUCGGUUUCGUCUUCAGGAAUUAAACAUUCAUAAAAAUCUAAAAAAAUUUAUUAAAUUAUUAUUUAUUAAUUAAACCAGUUGAUUAUUCAAUCGGUUUGACCACUAGUUCUUGAUUCAACUCAUUUGAUCGGUUCAACUACCCAACUAACAAUAAUUAAAUGAAUGAUUCAACAUCCAUAAAAAUCUAAAAAAGAAUAUUAAAUCGAUUACAUAUGUUCAAUAGCCAAGUUUUUUUUUUACUAAUUUCAAACAAUUUUUUUAAUUUAAUUGAUUCAACCAUUUUGUUCAAACUAGGGUGUUCGCAAAAGUCUCGACUCUCCUAAAAUGGAAAAGUUUUUAUUUAAGUCAUUUAAAAUUUUUAAAAUUUUAAAUUAAUAAAGGUAAAUUACACUUUGGCCCCAUAAAAAUAUAAAAAUUUGAUUUAAUCCUUUAAAAAUUAUAAAGAUAUAGGCUAUUAAAAUGGUGAAAUUAUAUUUUUACUUCGUAAAAAUUACAAUUUAAUUUCGACUCCCUUUUUUUUUUUUGAUUUCGCCCCUAAUUCAAACCAUUAUACCGGUUGGUUCUUAGUCCAAUCAAUCCAACCAACCAAUCCACUACUAUUUCAGUAAAAUUGGUCAUAUCAUCAAAUCUUGAUAGAAUCCAAAUUUAAAGGACCAAAAUAGAUCUAAUUGUCAAACUCAAAUACCAAAAUGGAUCUAACUUAAAAGCAAUAUUGAAACAUGUCUUUCUUGUUUUCUCCGUCUCUUAAAACCCCCUGACCUUUGUUUUUUUUUUUUUUUAGUCUUUGAGUUCCUUAGAGAGUUGGUUCAUAUUUUAGGAUAUUGUUUCAUGCUUUUGGCUUGCGAGUUCUUUGUAUUGUAAUGGUAUUUUUUGUAUUAGUGUGAGGAGUAUUGUGGUGUUAUUUUGCUAUCCAUUGAUUCGUUUUGGGUGAAGGUUUUAUUUUGAGCCUUUGUGUUUGUAUGGGAUACCUUAUCUUCGAGUUCUGGGUUUUUCUUUAAUAUAUUUCUAUCGGUUCGAAAAAGAUGGAAGUCUAGAUUUGAUUUGGAGAUAAAAUUGUGUUUUAAUUUUUGUGUACUUUCCUGAUUUUUCUAAAUAAUAUUUUUUUCUGCUUCAAUCCAACUACAAUACUUGCAUUAUAAACAACUAUUUCAUUGAAUUUCUUUUUUAUUUUAAAAAUACUUUUUAAACUGUUUUUUUUCUAGAGAUUCUCUAAAAUUUUCUAUUAAAAACUUUAUAUAUUUGGUAAAAGGAUUAAAGAAGUUCCUGUACUUAGUGAUGGAUUGCAUUUCAACCCUUUUAUCGAAAAAAAUUGACAAAUUAAUUUUUAUACAUUUCAAAACAUACAAAUUUGUCGCUUCGUUAAAAUUUUUCUACAUUUUAACCUAUUCAUCAUUUCCUUUGCAGAAAAAUAGUUGAUAUACCAUUAGAACAUGAGCCUCAAACAUUAUAAAUGAAUAAUAAUACCUCGGUCUAUGAAGAAGUUAUGUUACAUUUGAUGGAAUAUCAAAGGAAAAUUUUUCGUUUAUUUUAAAAAGAUUUUAUUCAAUUUUCUAAUUGUAUAUAUAAUUGAUAUUAAUUAUUUUUUAUUUUAAGUUUAAUUAUUUUAAAACAUAUUUAUUAAAUAACUUUUUUUGGUGUUAUUAAUUAAACAUCAAAUGCAGCAUUAAUAUUGUAAGUCUUCCGUUAUUUAAUAUUUAAAUAAUAUGAAAUUGAACAUUUAAACGUAAAAUAUAAAAUUAUUCUUAAUAAUUUAUAAUAAAGGGAAUAAUAAAACAGAUGAUUAGAUGAAAUCAAGAAUCAGGUUAAAUUCACACCUGACCAUGGAAAUAUUUGUGUCGAUAUGAUUUAUAAACAGGGUUUAGCCAUGAUACUUUUCUGUGAGAGGCAAAAUCAAAAUUUUUCUUUUCACUUAAAAACUUAAUAUUUUAAUUUUUCCUCAAUUUUGUCCAUUCAAACAUGUUAAGACUGUAUGGUUUGAUUUACCUGUUGGUACGUAAGCUUAUUCAUGCAAAAGUGUCCUUUUAUCAAUUAAAAAGAACAGCAAUAAGGUAAAACGUCAGUUUUUAAUAGAGUCUGACUGCGUCGUCGGCAAAUGAGUGUAGAAUCUUUUACGGUAAGCAAAAGCAUGCUAUCCUAUUUUCCUCCAAUAGCAUAUUUAUUUAUCAUUAAUAAUUACUUUCAUUUUAAUUGUAAUAAAAAUUUAUGACAUAAUUCAUCGUUUACAAACACCAUCUUCAUAUAAUAUUUAAAUUUUCUUUUAGAUAAUUUAUGAUUAUAAUUCUUGAACACAUAUGACAUAAUGGAUGAUUAUUUGGUAUAGCUGAUAGUAAAUUUUUAAUUUCAUAAAUAGAUUUGAAAGUUUGAUAUAUAUUUUAAGUUGUAUUUAAAAAAAAUAGGAUAUAUGAAAAUUUUUCAAUCUCGCUUAUUGAGUUAAUUAAUAAUCCAUAAAAAAAUAUUACUUUGUAUGUUUUAAUUCUUAAUUAAUUUUAGAUAUUUGACUUCUAUUAAUUUAAAUGUUUUAAUGUUUUUUUUGAAUUAAAAAAAGUGUGUAUUUAAUUCUUCAUAAAACAAAUUAUUUGUAAAUAAUCAUAAAUCGGUAUAAGAAGAUCAAACCUAAUAUAUCAAAGCAACUAAUAGCGGAUUGAUUGUUUGAUUUCAAAUGUUUAAAUUUGAUAAUCAAUCAAUUUAAAGAUACAAUGAGAUGUAAUUUUGUAAAUUAGAUAUCUCAAUCUUAGUAUUAAAUGAUUGAUGACUCUAAGCUACUUAAAAACAAGAAGACAAUCAAUCUUCACUUUAAUUUAUAUGAUCCAAAGUUCUUAACACCAUUUCAAAGAACCGUUCAGAAAUUAUAGAUACAAGAUCUAAUCAAAACAUCAAGUAACGGCCAAAUCAAAACCCACCAAAGAGAUAUCCAAAGUCUCAAAUCUGGAAUUAAAGGUCAACGUAACCACAUCAUACAAAGAAAUGCUCCCACCACUCCACUUCGGGACAUGUACAAAAUCUGAUUUCUUCGAUCACUACUUGAAAGAGUUGAUAAUUCUCAUAUUUAGAAUUAUUUUAAUUUAGUUUUUAUAGUAUUUUAGGAGUAAAAUCUUUUUUAUUAUAGUUUAUAGUUUUUGAAAUUAAUUAGAUUUUAUUUAAUUUUCCGGAUUUAUUAGCUAUAUUUUUCUCCAUUGUAAAUUUGAGAUAAAAAAAAUGAAAGAGUUGAAAUAUAAAGUAAGAAAGGAUGAAAUCUUCUACUCCACUUGAUCAACUUUACAGUGAACAUAUUUUUAAAUUCAGAAAUUUUGAUAGCAAUUAUUCCUUCUACCAUAAUUUUUUAUUUGGUGGAGCUCCUAAUAAAAGUCAAAAAGAAAAAAAAAGUAUGGGUUUGACCAAUAUUUUAUGGUUCAUUUUUUAUAUAUUUACUCUAAUCUCUGUUUCUAAAAAAUAUCUUAAAACAUUGAAAAAAUAUAUAGUUUAAUUAGCAACAAAUACGCGUUUUUUAUUCUCAAAUUAUUGGUCCAAUCGGUUGAUUUAGUUAGAGAUUCAAAUAUUAUUUAUGAUUUUAAUAUAAAAUAUGAGAAAUGAUGUUCACAUUUCAAAUGAUGUUCAAAUUGAUGGAAACAGUCAAAAAAGAAAAAAUCCUGAGAUGUCAAGUUUACAUUUUAAAACUGGAAGAAAGAAAUCCUCAAAGCAAAUUGGAGGGGCUGCAAGAUUGUCCAGUCAAAUAGAAAAACUAUGCAAUGCAGCUGACAAUAUGAGUCAAGCCACAUCUAGUUUGACUCCUGUUAUGGAUCCAUAUGGUAUUCCACAAGCAGUCAAAAUGCUUGACAGCAUGUCGGAAGAAGUUCCAGAAGCUAGUCCGCUAUACUUUUUCGCACUUAGAUUAUUGCUCAAUAAGGACAAGCGAAUUAUGUUUUUAUCAAUUAAUCCUAAUAUUAGAGCUUUGUGGCUUAAGACGGAAAUGGAGGAUAGUUGAAAAUUUUUUGAUCUUCUAGGGUUUAAAGAUAUCUAUUUAUGUGUAAUCUUCUAGUUAUAAUGGCUUAAGCGAAUUAUGUUUUUAUCAAUAGUUAUUUAUGUUUAGUUUUUGGAUAUUGAAUUUAUGUGCGAAUUAUGCUUUUGGAUAUUGAAUUUAUGUGUAAUCAAUUAUGUUUUAUUAAUAGUUGUUUAUGUUUGGUCUUUAGAUAUUGAAUUUAUGUUCCACUUAUUUUUUAUUAAAUUAAUUUUAUUAAUGGUUGUUUAUAUGUGAUUUUGGAUAUAAAAUUUAUUCACAGGUGAUGAGUAUAGUUGAGGAUUAUAGCAGUGAUGAAAGUGAUGAUCAAAGGGAAAAGAAAGAGAUGUUACAACGCAUGGAAUGUUUUAACCGAAUAUUUGUUGUUGCAUCUUCUUCCAUGCAAUUAUAUUACGAGAAGUAUAUAUUGAGGCAACCAUGCAUGGAUUCAAAACAGUCAGGUGAGACAUGGAUCCGAGAGAUCCUUGACGGUCACGAAUCACGUUGUAUGAUUAAUUUUAAGAUGUCUAAAAUGGUAUUCACAAGUUUGUUGAGAGUUUUGGAGACAAGAUACAACUUGCAAACUUCAAGAAACAUAUCUUCUACUGAAAUGUUGGGAAUUUUUUUAUACAUCUUGGGCACCGGUGCAAAAGUUUCCCAAUGUCGAGAAAGAUUUCAAAGGUCUGGAUCAACAAUAAGUCGAUACUUUGCAGUUGUGCUUGAGAAAGUUUCAAGGAUGGCCAUUGAUCUAAUUGCACCUGAAGAUCCUUUUUUUAGCUCAAUACCCGAACAAAUACAUAAUGAUUCUAGAUAUAUGCCGCAUUUUAAGGUUAAAAUUUAAUUUCAUAUUAUUAUAUUUUAAUAUAUUUGGUCGACUAAAAAUAUGCACGAGAGUAAUAUGAUUAUUUGUUCAGGAUUGUAUAGGUGCAAUUGAUGGUACUCACAUUGCGGCUAUUCUUCCACCAAAUGAACAAAUUCCCUAUAUUGGAAGAAAAGGUAUCCCGACUCAAAAUGUUAUGGCAGUAUGUGAUUUUAAUAUGUGUUUCACAUUUGUCAUGGCUGGAUGGGAAGGAUCGACACAUGACACUAGAAUAUUUCUUGAUGCAAUUCGAGAUCUAAAAUACAAAUUUCCGCACCCUCCAAAUGGUUAGAUAUUUUAUUUAUAUGUGAUUUUUUAAAUAAUAAAGUAAGUUCUUUAAUUGAUUUUUUAUUAAAAAAAUUCUUGAAUUAAUUGUUUGUUAUAUUAUGACUUGUAGAAAAAUAUUAUCUUGUUGAUUCUGGAUAUCCUCAAAUGAAAGGUUAUCUUGGACCAUAUAGAGGUCAACGAUAUCAUUUACCUGACUUCCGAAGAGGUAGACCGAUUUCUGGUAAAGAAGAGAUAUUCAAUCAUUCACAUUCAUCAUUACGUAGUGUGAUUUAACAAACUUUUGGUGUUUUAAAAAAAAUGGGCCAUUUUAAGGGAUAUGCCAAGUUAUAGUUUUGAAAAGCAAACGGUGAUCGUUGUUGCUAUAAUGACGAUACACAAUUUUAUCCGAAAACAUGUUGGUCAAAAUGAUGUAGAUUUUAUGGAAUACGAAGAUAUUAACUCGGCAUAUGAGAAUAGUAUUGAUUCAGAAAAUGCGCAUGGGCCACAAAGUGAUGAUGAUGACGACGACGACGACGAUGAUAGUAAUGAUGAUGGUGAAUCAAACAUUUUUAGUGGUUUUGAAAUGGAAUUAACAAGAGAUGCUAUAGUUUCUAGUUUAAUGAAUUCAAUUUAAAUUGUAAAUGCUAUUGUAAAAUUUUUAGUAUUUAUAUCUGAUAUAUAAAUAUUAUCCCCUUUUUAAAACUUCAAUCCAAAUAUAUCUAAUAUUUUAAUUUGUUAAGUUUAUGUUUUCUAUGUUAUAUUAAUAUCUAAUAUGAGUUAUAUAUUCAAAUAUAUUUUAAAAUAAAAUAAUACAAGCGUGUUAAAAGUAUUAAUUAAAAAUAAAAAAUAAUUUUUAUAAUAAUACAAUCGUGUCAAUAUCUAAUUACAAAUAUUUAAAUAUUUAAAUAUAGUUUAUAUAUUCUAAUUAAAUUUUAUAAAUAAUUAAUAUUAAUUACUUAGAAAUAUUUAAAAUUAAUAUUAUAUAUUAAAAUAUUAACAAUAAGUUAUAAUAAAUUAUUUUUUUAUAUUUUUGCUAAAAUAUCAUAAUAUUAACUAAUUUGAACAUUAUUUAAAAACAUAUUUGUUACUUUAUAAUCUCAUGUCUAAAAUGGACAUUUUAUUCUUCAAAAAUACUUUUUAACACUAAUAGCAAACACUCAAAUUUUUCAAAAGCACUUCUUAAAAAUAAUUCUCAAAAGCAUUUCUCAAAAGUAACGAAAAACUAGCCCUUAACGCCCCGUUCUUCUGCACGUUUUAGAAGUGCUUUUGGCUGAAAAAUCCUUUUCCUUUAAAAGGAAUGAAGAACAGCCUCCUUUUCUUCUGAAAAUUUCACCAUCAGAAAAGGACUUCUCUCCAGAUGAAAAGUUAAAAUUUCUCUUUUUUUUCAGCUUAAAGUGCUUUUGGCUGAAAAUUGACCAAAUUAACCUAUCGUCUUCUCCCACAAACUUUCUUUCCCCUCCUCUGCUGGUUCUUUGGAACUGUCUUCUCCCACAAACGUGCUUUUGGCUGAAAAGAACAGAAAUUUGAUUUCUCAAAUUUUUCCACAAACGUGCUUUGGAACUGUCUUCUCCCACAAACGCUCUCCCACUCCCGCGACGGGGCGCUGUCAAUCGGCUGUGCUUCAGGGUCGAAGGAAGCAUAUGGAAGGUCUCACUGUCUGCAUGCUCGAUCUCCACAUUCCCUUCCCGAGUAUCUCUCUUUCUUCAUAUCUUUUUUUUUGUGCGGCUUCGUGGUUUUAUUAGAAUGCGUUCAUAGGGGAAUUAGUCUUACGAUUAAUAUUUUCUCUUGUAAAAAGGAUAAAUUGAUGUUGCAAUUUAAUGACAGUUUUUAUGCUAUGGAUUGAGAAUGAGAUUCUAGGGUUUUUCAUUGAAUGAAUUUGCUUUUGGUUGUUUUAUUAACAAACUUCAUCGCUUCGCUUAAGAAAAAAAAAAUCCUUCUUUUAAGAUUGAAUUUAUGAAGUUUUAUCGGUUAAUUAAAUGCUUAGCUCUUUUCUAAUGACUGUAACCAAUGUAGCAAUGAUAUUAAAGAAGGUUUAGUUAUAAAAGUGGAGAGAUAUUAUGCUAAACCGAACUACUAACUUCAAUAGUUUACUUCUUAGUGUUCUUAUAGAGGCAAUUUUGUUUGAAAAGGAUCUUUCUAAACAAUGUAAGAUUUGGUAUUUUUGCUUAUUUUGUGAUGGUUGAAGAAGUUUGUGCGUAUCACUGAUUUAAUAACUUUGUCUAACGUCUCAUCCUAUGUUUUAUUUUUAAUACAUAAAUUUUUGAUACAUUGGAGCAGGCAAAAUUGGGGUUAAGGAAGUUUCAGUCGGAGUUGUUGCAGUUUUUGAUGGUCAUAAUGGUGCUGAAGCUAGUGAGAUGGCUUCAAAACUUUUACUGGAGUAUUUUGCUCUAUAUACAUAUUUCCUUUUGGAUGCAACUUUUUCCUUUGUAUUGAAGAAGCAGUCAAGUAGGUUGCCAAAUGUAGGAGAAGGGGAUAUUGUUUUCUGUUGCGGAAAGGAUCGAUUCGAGAACUCCGAUAUGACUACAAGUAAAUUGACCGAAACGAAAAAUAAAGUGAACACAAGGAUUUACGUGGUUCGGCUUUAAUGCCUACGUCCACGGGCAGAGGCGAAAAGAAAUUUCACUAUAACAAGAUGAAGAUUACAAGUGUUUUACACUCAAGACACAACCCGAGAACCUCACAACUCUCAACCCCUAUAGAAAACCCGAAAGCUAAAAUCCUAGCUUUCAAAGAACAAGCUUUGCUCUCUCUUGGUUUGGGAUGAUCAAUAUGGCUAAUGAACCUCUCUAUUUAUAAGAGAGUUCAAGGACAUAAUUGUCCAAAACUUUGGCAAAGAUUUGUGGUUGAAAAUGGACACCAACAACCAUCCACUAAUCCACUACCACCAACAACCCACUACCAACAACAACAAUCCACUACCAAUUUUAAGCCAUUUCUUAACAAAUCUCCACCUUGGCUUGAAAUUUACCAAGCUGAACAUCAUAGAAACUCCAAGCCAUUAUCCGUCCGGAAUCGCUUGAUCUUCUUUCCUGUUUGAUUUUCGAUCAAAGCUUUAAAUUGCUUGAAGUUGAUGAGAACCUCAUACUUGCUCUUCAGAAAAUACACCCAAACCUUUCUCGAGUAAUCAUCGAUAAAGGUAAGCAGAUAUCUGUAACCACCUUUAGAAAUUGUCGGAGAAGGCCCCCAAAGGUCAGAAUGGAAGUAAUCCACUGUGCCUUUUGUCUUGUGAAUCCCAGUGCUGAACUUUACCCGAGUCUGCUUACCGAAGACGCAGUGCUCACAGAAAUUCAACUUUCCUGUACACUGCCCAGACAAUAAUCCUCGUUUGCUUAGCACCGAUAAGCCUCUCUCGCUCAUAUGCCCGAGCCGCAUAUGCCAUAACUUCGUGGUGUCAGAAUCUAGAUCAUCUGAUGAUGACACUCCCGCAACACCUGUAACCGAGGAACCAUCGAGGAAGUAAAGGCCCCGCUCCAAAUUACCACGUAUCACAGUCAAAGCACCCGAGAAUACCUUGAGAACUCCACCUUCAGCAGAGUACCGAAAGCCUUUCUUGUCCAACGUACUCAAAGAGAUCAAAUUUUUCUUCAUUUCUGGAAUGUGCCGAACAUCAGUUAGAGUUCUAACAAUACCGUCAAACAUCUUUAUACGAACUGUGCCAAUCCCCAUGACUUGACAUGCGUGGUCAUUUCCCAUUAGUACUGAACCAGAAUGCUUCUCGUAUGUUGAGAAUGCAUCUUUCGAAGUACUUAUAUGAAAUGUAGCUCCCGUAUCAAGAAUCCAUCUCCCACCAGCGUAAGAGUCGGAUACUGCAAGAACGAUCUCGGCAUCACUUGAAGAAUCUGCAUCAGCUACAUUCGCACGAUCAUUUUGUUGCUCCUGUGAUUCUGAUUUCUCCUUCCUUUUCGGACAAUCUACCUUCAUGUGCCCGUACUUCUUACAGUAGUAGCACUGUAUUCUCUUCUUGGACUGCGAUCUAGGAUGGCUUUUACUUGAACUUCCACCCUUUGCCUUGGAUCUUCCUCGAGCAACCAAGCCUUCGCCUUCAUUGUUUUCGACCACCUUACCAGUGAUUUUCUUCCUCAACUCACUGGAACUUAAGGCAUUUUUCACCUCCUCUAGAGUCAGGUCAUCACGACCGUACAUCAUUGUAUCAACAAAAUUCUCAUACGAGGGAGGCAAAGAACACAAAACAAUUAUUGCUUGGUCCUCAUCAUCGAUUUUGUUAUCGAUAUUAUUCAAAUCCAUGAUAAUGGAAUUGAAUUUAUCCAGGUGCUGGGAAACAGGUGUACCUUCCUCCAUCUUCAGGGCAUAGAGUCUUUGCUUGAGGUAGAGCCGGUUCGUCAAUGACUUCGUCAUGUACUUGCUCUCUAACCGGAGCCACAAACCGGACGCGGUUUUCUCAUCCGCUACUUCUCGUAGCACUUCAUCUCCUAGACAUAGCAGAAUAGCACUAUGUGCUCUUUCUAGCAUGUCAUCCUUUUGCUCUUCCGAAAGCGUGCUUGGUAAUUUAUCUUUACCAGACAAUGCUUUUAGCAAUCCUUGUUGAACCAGCACUGCCCGCAUCUUGAUGCGCCAUAAACUGAAACUAUUUUUCCCGGUAAAUUUCUCGACAUCAUACUUAGUCGAUGAAACACUUGUAGCCAUAAUUUGGAACCUUUGAAUGAAUGAUAAUAUUUUCUUCCUGAUGUGAAAGAUCAGACAAAGCUGCAGUCACAGGGCAAUUCAGAAAAUAUUAUCACUCCUUCAACUACGCUCUGAUACCAAUUUGUUGCGGAAAGGAUCGAUUCGAGAACUCCGAUAUGACUACAAGUAAAUUGACCGAAACGAAAAAUAAAGUGAACACAAGGAUUUACGUGGUUCGGCUUUAAUGCCUACGUCCACGGGCAGAGGCGAAAAGAAAUUUCACUAUAACAAGAUGAAGAUUACAAGUGUUUUACACUCAAGACACAACCCGAGAACCUCACAACUCUCAACCCCUAUAGAAAACCCGAAAGCUAAAAUCCUAGCUUUCAAAGAACAAGCUUUGCUCUCUCUUGGUUUGGGAUGAUCAAUAUGGCUAAUGAACCUCUCUAUUUAUAAGAGAGUUCAAGGACAUAAUUGUCCAAAACUUUGGCAAAGAUUUGUGGUUGAAAAUGGACACCAACAACCAUCCACUAAUCCACUACCACCAACAACCCACUACCAACAACAACAAUCCACUACCAAUUUUAAGCCAUUUCUUAACAUUUUCCAAGUGCUUAAUUGGGACAAAGAGAUUGGAAAGCAUGGCUUGAACCUUGAAAGGUGAUAUCAUGUGUAACUCAGACCAUAUUUAUGUUUGAGUUCCUUGUUUUAGAAAAUGGAUAUAGCUGUUGCUUGCUGUUGACGAUUCUUAACCCAAAGUAUUAAUGCUUGCUCAGAUUAUUAACCCAAUGUUUAUUUCAUCAUCUUAAAGUUGCUUCCUGUUUGCUUCUACCUGCUAUUCAGCUGGUUGUGGGAAUUAGCCAUCCCUGGUGGAUUUCUCUGACAUUUUUCAUUGGAAGCUGUAUUAGGCUAGUGGAUUGGUCUUUGACUAGCAAUUUUCUAGGACUAUUCAGGUGAUUGCUUCUUGACUCUUUGUACAUUGUUCUAUUUCAUUUUCUUUGUCAAUGAAUUUGGUUUUAUCAUUGGUUAAUGUUUUUAGUAGCUUAUGUUCUGUUUCUUUUUUGUCAAGGUUGUGGAAGGCUCUCCAGUUUUAUGCAGGCUUCAGCAUUUUCAUGCUUUAUGUGUAUCAACUCCUUAUAGAGUUCUCAAGUAUGUUACAGUGGAUAGCUGAUUUUGUUGGUCUAUUCAAAAUAUGUUCAACAUCUGAGUGGACUGAAAUUUGCUCUUCUGUUUCUCUUGUACUUUAUUACAUCAUGGUAUGUACUAGUUUUAUUACUAUAGGUCUGAUUCUGUUUAAAGAUUUUAGCUGAACCUUUUAAUGAAAUGCAAUUCACUCUUCCCUCUUCCUAGAAUCUUAUAUUAUGAAAUUGACUUCAUUUGAGUCUUUCCUGUGUCUGACAUUUGUCUAUCUAAUAGUCUUUUCCCCAUAUUACUAAUUUAAGAUGGUUUGAAGUGUUUUCUUUCUAUAAGAAAAAUUUCCCGAACAGAUAUGAAGUAAUUAGUUGCAAACUAGACUUUGGAGAUUGAUGACAUUUUUGCCAUUCUGGAUGCAAUUUUUAUUCAAUUUGCUCAAUGAAAUUGCAAUUGAAAAUUUGAGAGCUUCCUAGUUAGAAACCACAUAUUUAUAUAAUAUAUGUUUUUAAUAGUUUUGAACAAGUUAAAUUAAUUAUAAAGAAAUAAUAUAAUUGAGAACAAGAUUAGAGCAGCUCGUUUGUACAUCUCAAUCUUAAUAUUAAGUGAUUGAUGACUCUAAGCUACUUAAAAACAAGAAGACAAUCAAUCUUCACUUUAAUUUGUAUGACGCAAAGUUUUUAAAACCAUUUCUAAGAACCGUUAAGAAAUAAUAGAUACAAGAUCUAAUCAAAACAUCAUGUAACGACCCAACCAAAACCCACCAAAGAGAUAUCCAAAAUCUCAAAUUUGGAAUUAAAGGUCAACGUAAACACAAAAUUCUCCAAAAGUAUUAUGAGUUCUAACCUUUUAAUGGGUAUAAUUUUUAAGGUUUUACAAUAGCCUAUUUACAUGCAAAAUUUGUAGCCCAAAUAAUAAUAAAAUAAUAUAAACUAAUCAAUGUUUAACUAAAAUAAAUAAAUAGAGUUUAGCUGAAAGAUUACCUCUCAAAUUUAAUCGAAAUAUGAGGCAAGGUAUCACUUCAAUGGUAUAAAGCUACAUAAAAUCUUAGUUAUGUCUUUGAAAUAUUUUCAUAAAGGCAUGUGCAAAAACUUUUUCAUUCUUAACAAAUUCAUUCCACUCAAUAUUAUUUAUUUAAAAUCAAAACCACAUUUAUUUUUAAACAACAUCUAAUAAUGUAUUUGGCUCAUCCAACAAUUUAUUUUUAAACGACAUUUAUUUAAAAAGAACCAAAUGAGAAUCAUUAUACAACUUCAUAAAGUCGAUGACACAUCCAACAUUUAAAGCACAAAGAAACUAGAUAGGCCAACAACAAAACAAUAAUGCCAACAUUCUCAAAUACGGCAACAAAUUUGUUCUAAAAACAAAAGUAAGCGCAUCGCACCUAGAGCGUAGAAAUACUUGAAUUCAAUCAUUGUAACAACGAAAAAGGAAACAAGACAUCCAACAUCCUCAUCACAAUAGAUUCUCCUUUGACCCGCCAACAGCGUUUGCAAUGCAAUAAAACAAAAAGAGGUUAUUGUGAUAGCAACUCUUAUAAAUAUUCCAAAAUUAACUUUUAGAUGCAUCAAGUCUUAAUCUAAGGGAAAGGGUUUAUCCAAACAUGAAAAAUCUAACCAACUCAAUUCAAUUCAACCCAACCUCAACCUAUCUAUAUAGUUUACUUUUAAUUUAUAUCUAAUUUCAAUUAUGGUUUAAAUUUAAAUAUUUUUUAACAAAAAUUUUAAAUACUUAAUAUUGAACAAAUAGCCAUAUUUAUGAAAAAAUUUGUAAUUAUGAACAUAACUUAACACAUAGGUAAAAGUAUUUUUUUUACUUAAUAAUAUUAUUAGCAAUAGUACGUUAUUAAUUGUAUAUGAAAAUAAUGAAGCUUAAAAAUUAAAAUUUAAAGACAAUGUCAUUGUCAAAUUUACUCAAUUUAUUUUUAACCAUAGUUACCUAUGUACAUAUGUGACACACAUAAUAAGAUGCUAAUAUAUAUAAGGCAAAAUAUUAUAAAGUUAAACGGUUAGAUAAUGAAGUGAAAUGUUUCUAACCUUAUGCAAUAUUUGAACUUGUUAUAGUAACAGUAUCCAAUGAUGUACUUGGCUCAUCAUUAGAGUUCUCACACCUAUGAACCUCCAUUGAUGUUUCAAGCGGCAGUUGAUGGAAUGGCUUAGGAGCCAUUUCAAGGAGUUCAACAUCAGAUUCAAGCAUCUUCAAAACUUUACUCAUUGAAGGACGAUCAGAAGGCAGUAAUUGUAUACACCAAAAGGCUGUUAUUACCAUUUUCUUUACCAUUGCUUUUUCAUCGUCAGAAACAUCUCCCAACUCCAAGUCAUCUCCUUGAUCUAAUCGGUCAUAAAUCCAAGAUGGAAAAUAUAUUUGACUAGUGUGGUCAGCAAAUGCAUUCACAUUCUUUCUCCUUCCAACUAUUUCCAUCAGUAACAUUCCAAAACUAUAAACAUCGGCUUUGUAUGAGAUGCCUCCAAGAUUUUUGUAAACCAAUUCAGGAGCAAUAUAUCCUAUCGUUCCUCGUGCCGCAGUGAGAGAGACAAUGCUAUUAUCUACUGAAUACAAUUUAGCAAGACCAAAAUCCGAAACUUUUGGAUUAAAAUUCUCAUCAAGAAGAAUAUUGUGUGGCUUGAUAUCAAAAUGUAGAAUUUGCAUGUCACAUCCUUGAUGUAAGUAGUGAAUUCCUUGAGCCACCCCAAGUACAAUAUCAAACAUUUUUUUCCAGCCCAAAGUGUUCUUAUUUUCUUCUGUAAAUAUGAUUUUAUCUAAAGAUCCAUUAGACAUGAAGUCAUAUACUAGAGCUUGCUUUGAUCCCUCCACACAAAAUCCGAUAAGUUUUGCCACAUUAGCAUGAUGAAUUGUCCCAAUGGAAGCAACUUCGUUUAUGAAAUCUUGGCCAUUACCUUUUGAUUUGCCCAACAAUUUUAUUGCCACAUGAUGGCCGCUACGAAGCUUUCCUUUAAACACUGAGCCAUAACCCCCUUCACCUAAUUUAUCUUUAAAAUUGUUAGUCAUUUUUUUAAUUUCUUUAAAAGAAUACCUUAAUGGCACUAGAUUAUUUUGGCUUUUAAGGAACUCUUCGAUCAUAUCAUCCAUGGAUAAAUGUCUUCUUCUCCAUUUGUACGUGACAAAAGCAAGCAAACAAAUGAUCCCAGGAAAUGACCUCAAGAUAACUCCACCUUUAAAGAAAUACAAUGUAACAUGUUGAAAUUAAUCACAUAAUAUAUAACUUACAUUCUCAGAAAAAAGGAUAUAGUGUGAUAGUUUUAUGUUAACUAGUAUUUGAGAGAGUGGCAUAUUUCACUAGUCUAUGGACUUAACCGAGAGUAGUCUGAAUUAUAUGCAUUGUUUUUGUCAUUAGCAGGUAUAUCUCAACAAAUUAAAAUUCAGAAUUUCAAACACAAAAGGAGUAAAUCGUGCAAAGUGGAUACCAAUUAUUCUAACCUCAAACAUUCCAAUAGAUUUGACAGGGUCAUGACAUUCAGCCAAAUUAACACAUUCGUAACCCCAUCCAAUUAGCAAAUUCUAAAGAAAGAACAUGAUUCUUAACCAUGAAGGAUACUCAACUGUUGUUUCUAUUCAUGCCAAAUAAACUUGAAGAAGGACAAAUUAAAAAUAUAAUAACCUUCAAAUUUCAUAAAUGAAACAAAAUCUAACCACCAAAAGAUGCAAGAGAACCCCCCAAAAAACAGAUUUGAUAAAUUCAAGAGCUAACUUUGUUGAAUGUUUUAGCAAAAUGAAUAUCCACCAAACUUAUAACCUGUGAAAGUUCUAAACAAUACCAUUAUGGAAACAAGCUUAACUAAAACUCUAACAUCUUUCUUAACUUGACAAAAAAUUUCUUUCAUAUAGAAGAAGAUUGUAUUCUGCAUUCAAACUCCGUAAAGAGUGUCAUAGCUUUCUUAGUUUUGUAGUGAAAUUAAAUAUAAACUUGUAUAAUAUGAUAGGCUCCUUAUUCUUUUUUUCCCCCAGAAUAUAGCUAAUAUUUGUUCUCAACUAGUGAAAAUGCAAAUCUGCAAAUCUAAAAUUAAAUAUACCUGUUAUUAGCAAACAGAGACGACAAGCUCCGAGCAAUCUGGAUUAUAUAUUCAACAAAUCAAAGUAAAAUUAAUAAAGGGGUGUAAAGGAAAAUUCCAAAUUUGUGUAAAAAAAUCAAUGGAAGGUAAUUUAAAACAUUAUAUUAUGUUUUGUGGUAUAUACUCAAAAAAAAAAUACAACAAUUCUUUACAUAUGUUUGCUUGUAAAAAGUAUGCAACAUGUAUUACAGUAUAAGAGUUUUUAGGUAACUAAAAUGAUUUAAUAUAAUCAAAGGUGAGACAAAUUUUAUUCAAAUUAAUUAAUCCAAAAAGUAUAUAUUAUUGCAUUAAAAAGAGUUUUUGCGAAAAAAAUAAACUCAUCCACAAUGGUGGAAUAUUUACGUACUACCAACUAAAUUGAAUAGACAUCAAAAAUAAAAAGAAAAUAAAAAGAUAGACAUAAUCAAAUAUAAUUGUCCAAAAAGAAGACAAAACAGCAGAGAAAGCAGAGGCAGAUACUAAAUUAGAAAUGCUUUUAGUUCAUUUGAUUGUUAGAUGUUGAUCAAUUUUAGAUGCAAAAUCAUCAUACUUAUUUACCAUCAUAAAAUUUAAUUGCCAAAAAAGUAACAUAAAAUAAAACAAAACAUAAAGUAGAUGUUGUAACUAAAAAUUCCAGUAUGAUGCACACUCAAAAUGCAAACUUUAAUUAUUAAAGAAACUUACAUUUCUUUCAACGAAACUUUGUUUUGGUAAUCGCAUCUUUUCCAUUCGACCCAAAAACCCUCUAAUAGUUUUUUGUAGAUAUCCAGCGUAGACAUGCCUAUUAUAUUAUCAACCAUAAUUGGAACCGCCGCUUCGAUAGUGCAAGCUUGAUUGAUAUAAGAUAGCUGGGUGUUUCCAUUUAAAAAAUAGAAAUGGGAAGUUGGCAGGGAAGAGGAGGUAUUGGAUUUGAUGGUACAACGAGAAGCCUCAAUAUAAAGUGACGAUUUUAUAGGUUUCGUGCAAUUCAUAACAUAAAUAAUGCUAUAAUCUAACCUUUUAUAACCAGAAAGAAAAUAAUUAUUAUUAUAAAAAAAAAAUUAUUAUUAUUUUUAUUAAUACCAUUAUAAGAAAAAUAAUCUACAGAAGUAAGAGGAAGGGAGUUGCAAUCAUCCGUGUCUAAACUCGCAUCGACCAUUCGUAUUGUAGAAUUUUCGUAAAAGAUUUGUUGGACAGAGAAUUUCCCUCCUCUCCCAACCAAAGUGGUGCGAUUAUUGUUCUCACACUCAAGUUCCAUGACAGGAGAACCACAGUGGGGAGGUUGGUUUUUUAAUCGGAAUGGAAAACUGAUAUUCAAAUUCCCACAGAAAGUAUAGCCGCAGUCUUGGUUAAUAAGACUCCUAGCAAAACAAACAGCAGGAAAUAGAACUACAAAUAAAGCAAAAGAGGGCAUUAGGUGACCCAACAAUGGCAGUUUUGCUUUUAAUUUUGGCAUGCUAAAAUUUUGGGUAGGGAAGAAGAACAACAAUGAGGGUUAACGAUUAAGUUUCUAACUAAACCAGGGAAAUAUAUAAGAAAGCUUCAGUGGGAGAACAAGCAUUAAUGGGGACAGAAGACUUUGACUAGUCUUCAGCUUUAUUUGGGAUGACUAUUUUAUUUUCAAUAAAUUGUUUACACCUUUUAUUCUUUUAUCUUUUUUCUGGGAAACACCUCAAUCAAAGCACAUCUAAUUCCAAGAAUAGAGCCAUGGUUAUCACAAGCAAAAAAAGGAAUUUUAAUAUUAUUCAAAAAAUUUUAAAUAAAUUUGGACCAUAUACUUGUAGAUCAACCGUUAUCACCUAAAUAAAUUCCAAUUACAAUGAGGAGGACCAAGACAAUGCAAGUCUUAAGUCUUCUUUGAAACACAAAAACAUCACUGCAAAAUAGACUUUUAGCGGCAUUUUUUAGGCCUAUAGCGGCGCUUUUAGGCGUCGCUGGAAAUAGAGCGUCGCUAAAACUAUUUCCGGCGCUUUCACAAGCACCACAAAAAUGCCGCUAUAAACAUCGCCGCUAAAUUUUGCGGCGUUUAUAUGAAAAAACGCCGCUAUAGAACAUGAUCUUUAACGACGCUUUUAUCACAAACGCCGCUAAAGAACAUGGCCUUUAGCAGCGUUUUUAUCACAAACACCGCUAAAGGUAAUAAUCUUUAGUGGCACUUUUAUCACAAACGCCGCUAAAAUAAUAUGAUCUUUAGCGGCGCUUUACCCACAAACGCCACUAAAGAUCAUUACCUUUAGCGGCGCUUUUAUAAAAAACGCCACUAGCUUUUAAAAAUAUUAAAUAUUAAAAAUCACACAUUAUUAAUAUUACAAAUUAAUUAGUAUUGGAUAUAUACUUCUAGUCAAAAAGAUGGUAUUUAAUCAUAUAAUAAAUUAAUAUUUUUUAGUCAAAAUAUUGAAAAAUCAUGUUAAUAUUUAAAUAGCAAAAUUACAAGUUCAAAUAGUGCAACUAAUUGAUUGGAAAAAAAAUGCACAAGUUCAAAAUGUGCAGUAAUAAACUUAAAAAUUUAUAGGCUAAAAUGGAAAUUACCUUUUGAAAUUAGACUAAAAUAGGUUUACUACAUUCACUAUUUACUACAUGGGUUUAUUGCUUCUAUAAACUCCAAUUAGGCAUUGAAACAGGGGUGUUUAUAUAUUACAAAAAAGCAUGAAAAAAUAGGAGUCCAUCUCCACACCUCAGAAACCAGGGCAAAUGCAUACCCCAACAUUGCCCUCGUAUUCAGCAUCCAUCUCCAGCUGCUUCGACGAAUACGGAACGAGAAUACAUGUUGCAAGUUCCGUAUUCUAAUGCAGUGGGUAGCUUGAUGUAUGCAAUGGUGUGUACAAGACCCGACAUUUCACAGGCAGUUAGUAUAGUGAGCAGGUAUAUGCAUAAUCCUGGAAAAGGACAUUGGCAAGCUGUGAAAUGGAUUCUACGGUAUAUUCAGAAGACCGUGGAUGUUGGAUUACUGUUCAAGCAGGAUAAUACACUUGGUAAAGGUGUUAUUGGGUACGUUGAUUCUGACUAUGCCGGUGAUUUGGACAAGCGAAGAUCAACCACCGGUUAUGUGUUUACACUUGCUGGAGGACCAAUAAGUUGGAAGUCUACACUACAGUCUACAGUUGCAUUGUCAACCACAGAAGCCGAGUACAUGGCUGUAACAGAGGCUGUAAAGGAGGCUGUUUGGUUAUAAGGUAUGGCUAAAACCUUGGGGUUGGUUCAGGAGCAUAUUAACGUGUAUUGUGAUAGUCAAAGUGCUAUUCAUUUAGCAAAGAAUCAAGUCUAUCAUGCACGUACAAAACAUAUCGACGUACGAUUCCAUUUUGUGCGAGAAAUUAUUGAAGAGGGGAAAAUUUGUCUUCAGAAGAUCAAGACUGCAGAUAAUCCCGCAGAUAUGAUGACCAAGGUGGUAACAGCAACCAAGUUCGAACAUUGUUUGAACUUGAUUAAUAUCCUGCAAGUUUAACAGUUGAAGAAGGCACUAUCAAGUAUUGUGGCUAGGAAAGACUUGGUAUUUAAGUGAUCUUCGUGAUCUACCUCUCUUUCCUGGGAAUUGAACUUAGUGUGAUUUUUCAGUACAAUAAUUUUACUCUUUCACACGCUUCCGCGCAACACACAAUCUUGGUUAAUAAGUUGCCUAGCAAGACAAACACCAGGGAAUAGAAUUACAAAUAAAGCAAAAUGGGGCAUUAGGUGGCCCAACAAUGGCAGUUUUGCUUUUAAUUUGGGCAUGCUAAAAUUUUGGGUAGGGAAGAAGAACAACAAUGAGGGUUAACGAUUAAGUUUCUAACUAAACCAGGGAAAUAUAUAAGAAAGCUUCAAUGGGAGAAGAAGCAUUAAUGGGGACAGAAGACUUUGACUACUCUUCAGCUUUAUUUGGGAUGAAUAUUUCAUUUUCAAUAAAUUGUUUACACCUUUUAUUCUUUUAUCUUUUUUCUGGGAAACACCUUAAUCAAAGCACAUCUAAUUCCAAGAACAGAGCCGCGGUUAUCUCAAGCAAAAGAAAAAGAAGAUUUUAAUAUUAUUCAAAAAUUUUAAAUAAAUUUGGACCAUAUACUUGUAGAUCAACCUUUAUCACCUUAAUAAAUUCCAAUUACAAUGAGGAACAAGACAAUGCAAGUCUUAAGUCUUCUUUGAAACACAAAAACAUUUAAGUGGCUGAGAGCAACAACUGUUAUUGCUUUGGUCCUUUUGUGUUAAGUAAGACAACAGUUUGUUGGAUAUUUCUAAAAAGCAAGUUCAUAGUUAGAACUGUCAAGCAAGGCGACUCAAUGCCCAAUUGUAUAGAUUUUUUUUUCUUCCACGAAUAAUACUUAACCACUUUUCAAAUAAUUUUAUUAAUAUAAUUACAUGUUUUUAUCCAUUCGACUGUGAUACUCGAACUUGACAACUAGUUAUAUUUUGGUUCCUAAACUUAAAAAAUAUGAAAGUUUUAUGAUGCAACUCUCUAAUAUUGUGCUACAUCAUCACUUGAAAAUUAAAAAAAAAAUUAUAUAAAUUUUUAGAGAAUGGCAUGAUACAAUCUCUAAGUGUCACGUUCAUUAUUUUAAUAAUCAAGUUGAUGAUUGAACCAGUCAGACCACUAUUACUCGAUUCAAUUAGUUUGAUCAGUUCGACUGCUAGACCAACAAUAAUUAAAUAAAUCAUUAAACAUUCAUAAAAUUCUAAAAAGGUAGAAAACAAAAUUUAUUAAACUGAUUAAACAUGGUCAACAGCUGGGGUUUUUUUAAAAUUUUUUUAAUUUUUACCAAUUUCAAGUAAUUUUUAUAUUUAAUUGAUUCAACAUCUUUGUUCAAACUAUUAUACCGAUCGAUUCUCGGUCCAAUCAAUCUAACCAUCCAAUCCACUCCUAUACUAGUAACACUAAUCAUAUUAUCAAAUCUUGAUGGAAUUCAAGUUUAAGUUUAAGGGACUAUAGUAGACUUAGCUGCCAAGUUUAGAUAUCAAAGUGGACCAAAAUUUUCGCUUAUUUUAAAGAGAUCUUAUUUUUCUAAAAGUUUUUACUCUUUUUUUUAAUUACUAUAUAAUUUGUACUAAUUAUUUAAAACAUGUGUUAAAUCAUUUUUAACCAUACUCAAAACCAUUUUUUUAAUCAAAUAUAAGUACUUAAUAUUUAAUUAAAUUAAAAAGAUCAAAGAGAUAAAUUUCAAAAUUAUAUAUGAACUUUAAUUUAAUGUACUGCAAUUGUAUAUAUGAAUUUUAAUUUGGUGCAAUUAUACACUUGUAACUCUAAUUGUGGUUCAAAUAUAUACUUUAAACUUUAUAUAUACAAUUACACAUUAAACCAUAGUGUAUGUAUACAUAAUUCAUAAGUUGUACAUAAGAAGUAAGUUUUGGUUAGUGUAAUAUAACUGUGAUUCAAGAUUACGCAUUCAUUUCAGACAAAGCACACCCUUUGAAAUUCAAGUUUUGAUUCUGAUUCUUUCUUCUUCUUUUUUUAAUAAAACCUCUAUGAAAGAAUUUUUUUUUUAAUUCCUUAACGGUAGUGAUUUUGGGUUAUGGAGAAAAAAGGAGUGAAAAGUUGUGAUUUAUGUGGAAGUAGGGAUUUUUCUGUUUUAAUAGUUUUAGAAAUGGAUUUGAUGGAGAUUUCAAUAAUGCUUCAUGUUGGAUUAGUUUUGUUGCUACUUUGGAUGCUUUCUCAAUUCAAUCUUUGCCAUCCACUUCCUUAUUUCCUGUCUCUCAUCUACCUCUAUUUGGCAAUUCAUUCAUCUUCUGCUGAGAAUAAAAAAUGAAACUUUUUUUCUUUAUUUUUGAGCUUGGAUAUUGAACUUUUUUUUUAUUGUUUUUGUUACAGAAAUUCCUUUUAUUUCUUUGUUCAUCAAAGGUUCAUGAAAUGUAUGUGACGAGAUUGAGGAAGAAAUUGGAGUUGGAGGAAAUAAUGCACAAAGAAACUAGACAUGUCAACAACAAAACAAUAAUGCCAACAUUCUCAAAAGCAACAACAAAAAUGUUUUAAAAAAGGAAAUAGACAUCACACUUAGAGUAUAGAAAUACUUGGAUUGUAACCAUGAAAAACGAAAUAAGAUAUCCAACAUCCUCAUCACAAUGGAUUCUCCUCUGAUUCAUUACUAGCCUCUGCAAUGUAAUAACACGAUUAAAAGUUAUUGUAGCAGUAACUCUUAUAAAUAUUAAAAAACUAACUUGUAAAUACAUCGAUCAUGUCUAAAUCUAAUCUAAGUCAAGGUUGAUCUAAACAUGAAAAUUCUAACAAAUUCAUCUCAAUUCAGUCCAACUAAACCUAAACUAAAUUGACACAAAAAUCUAUUUAUAUAAUUUACUUUUAAUUUAUAUAUAACUUUACUUAUGAUUUAAAUUUAUACAUUUAAUAUUGAACAAAUAGUCAAAUUAAAAAAUUUUGGUAAUUAUGAACAAUAACUUAAGACAUAGGUAAUUAAAGAAAAUACUAAUAUAUAUUUAUAUUUAUAUAUAAGGCAAAAUAAUAUAAAGCUAAAAAGUGAGAUAAUGAAGUAAAAUGUUUCUAACCUUAUGCAAUAUUUGAAUUCGCUAUAGUAACACUAUCCAAUGGUGUACUUGGCUCGUUAUUAGAGUUCUCACAAUUAUGAACCUCCAUUGAUGUUUCAAGAGGAAGUUGAUGGAAUGGCUUAGGAGUUCAACAUCAGAUUCAAGUAUCUUCAAGAUUUUACUCAUUGAAGGGCAAUUAUUAUCUUCUUCACCGUUACUUUUUCAUCGUCAGAAAUAUCUCCGAACUCCAAGUCCUCUCCUUGAUCCAAUCGGUCAUAAAUCCAAGAUGGAAAAUAUAUUUGACUAGUGCGGUCAGCAAAUGCAUUCACAUUCUUUCUCCUUCCAACUAUUUCUAUCAAUACAUUCCAAAACUAUAAACAUCGGCUUUGUAUGAGAUGCCUCAAUAUAAAGUGAUAAUUUUAUAAAUUUCGUGCAAUUCAUAACAUAAAUAAUGCUAACCUCUAACCUUCCAUCAUAAUAAUUACCAUAAGGAUAAAUAUAAGAAUAAGAAUCUACAGAAGUAAUUAAGAGGAAGGGAGUUGCAAUCAUCCGUGUCCAACAAUCAACCCCUCCCAUAGUAGGCUGUCGAGGAGCCUCCUGCACAUCAUAAAUAGCACGAGUUGUACGCCCCAAAGCAUUUGCCAAGGACCAUCAAGACGAAGGUCAAUAACAUUUGUGUAAAUUUGGAGUGCUACCUUACAGCCAAAACUAACAGAAUAGUGACUGCUGUUUGGAUUGAAAUGUCAAAUGAGUCAGUUCGGAGUCGGAUACAAGCAAAGUAGCAUUCGAAGCAUCCGUUGCGCAUCAUAGGGGAUAGAAGACCUUGAGUUACAUGAUUUCAUUUUGAGUAUUGAAAAUUGAAAAUAGGAUAACUACCAACCACUAAUAUAUUAUCAGCAAAAUCUCCCAAUUGAAAGAACAAAAGAUGCAUCUAUACUAUGUUUAAAAGUUUAAUAGAGUUUAUGGUUAUCUAUCAAUGAGGUAUCAACUCAAUUGUAAAAUCAUUAAAAUCUUAUUAUUUUUAAAAACAAAAAAUAUUAUUUUGAAGGUAUUUUUAUUUUUAAUUAAACUUUAUAAAAUACAUCAAUUUAAUAGAAUUUGAACCCAAAACAUCAUAAUCCUUAUUACCUAAAUUUUACCAUAUUAAACAAAGCCACAUUUAGCUUUUAUAUCAUUUUUUAAAUAAGCUUGUUAUAUCAUUUUUUUUCACCCAUGUGAGGGUGCCAUAAUCUAAUAUAUCUUUAUUUAAUAAGUAAUAAUCCCAUAUGCAUUAGAGAGUAUUAAGUUGAGUUAUUAAAUUUAGGGUUUGUUAUAUUCUAACGAGUUAUUUUCAAUUCCAUUGAAAUGAUUUAUAGGUGAUAAAUUUUACAAUUUAAUACGAUUAAUUUUAUUAUAUUACAAUGAAAAACAAAAGAAAAAGAAGAAUUUAAUAUGGUUCAAAGUUUUUAAAUAAAUCUGGACCAGACAAACCUUUACCAUUAAUCUAUUCCAACUUCAAUGAGAACGACCACGACGAUGCAAGUCUCAAGUCCUGUUUGAAACGCAAAAGCUUUCAAGUGGUUGAGAGCAGCAAGCCCGAUCCCUUUUGUCCGUUUGUGUUAUGUAAGUCAAUUGUAGAGAACGAUUGUUGGAUAAUUCUAAACGCAAGUUAAUAGUUAGAAUCCUUGAGCAACGCACAUUCCGCCCCAACCCAUGCAUAACGUUAGACGAGACUCAAUGACUAAUUGUAUAUAUUUUUAAUUUUGUUCAACAACUACAUAAGUAUAUUUUUAAAUGAUUGUUAAUAUAAUUACAUGUAUUUUCAUCUAUUUUAUAUGAAUUUAAAAUAUUACAAAUUAAAUAUAAUAUAAGAUACAAGUUCUAUUCAAUUAAAUUUAAAUUUAAAUUCAAAAUUUAAAUUAUCCAACAAUAUAAAUAGUAGACAUAAAUUCAAAGAAAAAAAUUUAGGGUUUAGCUGGAAGAUUACCUCUCAAAUUCGACUAAAAUAAAUAAACAGAAUUUAACUCGGAGAUUACCUCUCAAAUUUAACUGAAAUAUGAAACAUACUCAAUAAUAAAGGUAACAAUUCAAAGGUAUGAAGCUACAUAAAUUCUUAGUUAUGUCUUUGAAAUAUUUUCAUAAAGGCAUGUGCAAAAACUUUUUGAUUCUAAACAAAUUCAUUGUCUCAAUAUUACUUAUUUAAAAUCAAAUCCACGUUUAUUUUUAAACAACUUCCAACAAUGUAUUUGGCUUGUAAUACCCAAUUUUAGCUCGGGCUCACAUAUGGAAACAUAAUCUUCAAGGAUAUGUAAUCUUAGAUAUGAUAUGUGCAAUCUUGGAUAUGAUAUGUGCAAUCUUGGAUAUGAUAUGCAAUCUUAGAAGAUAUGAUUUUGUAAUAUUAGAGAUUUAAUUUGUAGAUACCCUUUAAUCUUAGCCGUUGAUGUAAUUGGUCUGUACCGUUGGAUUUGGGGAGGCUCAACUAUAAAUAGAGGCCUCUCCCUUUAUUGUAAAGGGGGGAGAAAAAACAAUAAAAAAGGGAGAACGAUUGGCAGUUUUUUAAAGGUGACUUACUGUUUUUUUUUCAAUUAUUUAUUUAUGAUUUUAAAAAAGGAAGAAGGUGAUACCACUACGAAUUUUAUUUAUUUAUUUUUAUUUAGCCCUAAUAAAGUGACGCGUUUCAAAGGAUGGGAAUAUUUUUCCAUUCGAGGCCUAUGAGUUAUUCGCGCCUUUUAAUUGGGCCCUACAUUUUUUUCCCUUUAAUUAUGUUUUUGUUGCAAUUUAAUCCCUUUUGUAUUUGUGCUUUUACUAAUUAAUUGAUUAUUAUUAUUAUUUAUUAAUCCUAUUAUUAUUUCUACUAUUAUUGUUAUUAUUAUUUUCAUUAUUUCUUCUUAUCAAUUUACUUAAAUUUCAUGCGCAUAGCUUUAUCUUACUUUGUAUUUUAAUUUAUAUUACUAUUAUAUGUCAUUAUUUAAUUUUAUAAUAUAUUUUUCCUAUUCCUUUUAUAUAUUUGCCUCCAAAUAUGGUAUAUCUUCAACGAUUUUGGUUUUAUUUUUUAUUCAUUUAAAUAUAUUUCUAUAUUUUAAUAGAUUUAUAUAAUAAUAUUUUUUUACAAUACCAUGCUUUGUAUAUAUACAUGAUUGAUAUUAAAUUAUUCUUGUUAUAAAUUAUAGAUUUCAUUUUCGUCUUAUUACCAUAUAUAACUUUCCUCUUAAAAAACUAUUUUAUUAUAUUUUACCUAUUUUAUUGUAUUUCGUUUACUUCAAAUUCUUUUUACAUAUAUUAUUGUAUAUUAUUAUAAAGUCUUCUACUUUUCUAAAUAUACGUAUUUUACAUAUAUCACUUUUUUUCCCUAUUUAUUGCCAAUAUGGUGCAAGAUUGUUGUACUUGUUAUUGCGACAUUAUUACACACAUUCAGUAUCACAUUACAUCAUCUUCUUAUUCAAAUUUAAAAAAAAUAGGAAUUUUAAAAAUUGAGAUAAUGCUCGUAUUUAGGAUUUUCAAGGAAAUUGAGCCCUAACGUACAUUGGGUUUCGAUUUUUUUUGUUAAAUCUAACGAUCGAGAGUUGCUCAUUAAUCAUAAAAAAAAUAAAAUGAAAAGCUUGUUGUCGGGAAUUUAAUAUGUUGUGUCCUAACGUAUUGGAUGUGAUGUAUUUUUUUCUCGAUACAAAGAUUUUUUUUUAAAUAAUAACAAAGGAAGUAUUCCAAGUUUAGGAUUUUGAGAAAUUGUGCCCUAACGUAUUGGCCCGCGAUUUCUUAAAUCUUAAACAAAUGAAUAUUCUUUUAAAUUUUAUCGCUCGAGUAUUUUGGCCUAAUUCAUUUUUGAGGGAUUAGAAUGUCGUGCCCUAACGCAUUGGGUGUGACAUUUUUUUUCCUCCGAAAUGAUAAGAGUCUUAAUAAGUAACGUUUUUAAGUUUUUGCUAAGGAUUAUAUUUUUCAAAAUUUUUGACAUUAAGACACUAAUUAAUUAACUAGGUACCAAUUUUAGGCGUUACGAGGGUGUUAAUCCUUCCUCGUACGUAACCGACUCCCGGAUCCAUUUUUCUAAAACUCGUAGACCAAAUCUAUUUUUUUAGGUGAUCCAAUCACACCUCAAUAAAAUAUUGGUGGCAACUCCCAAUUUUUUGUUUUUUAAAAGUCGACAAAUAAAUUUUUGUUUUUCAAAAAAAUGGUUUCGACAUGGCUCAUCCAACAAAUUAUUUUUAAACAACAUUUAUUUAAAAAGAACCAAAUGAGAAUCAUUAUACAACUUUAUAAAGUCGAUGACACAUCCAACAUUUAAAGCACAAAGAAACUAGAUAGGCCAACAACAACAAAAAUAAUACCAACAUUCUCAAAUAUCGCAACAAAUUUGUUCUAAAAACAAAAGAUAGCGCAUCUCACCUAGAGCGUAGAAAUACUUAGAUUCAAUCAUUGUAACAACGAAAAAGGAAACAAGACAUCUAACAUCCUCAUCACAAUUGAUUCUCCUCUGACCCUCCAACAGCGUCUGCAUUAAUGCAAUAAAACAAGAAGAGGCUAUUGUGAUAGCAACUCUUAUAAAUAUUCCAAAAUUAACUUUUAGAUGCAUCAGGUCUUAAUCUAAGGCAAAGGGUUUAUCCAAACAUGAAAAAUCUAACCAACUCAAUUCAAUUCAACCCAACCUCAACCUAUCUAUGUACUUUACUUUUAAUUUAUAUGUAAUUUCAAUUAUGGUUUAAUUUAAAUAUUUUUUAACAAAAAUUUUAAAUACUUAAUAUUGAACAAAUAGCGAUAUUAAUGAAAAUUUGUAAUUAUGAACAAUAACUUAACACAUAGGUAGGUAAAAGUGUUUUUUUUUUACUUAAUAAUAUUAUUAGCAUUAGUACGUUAUUAAUUGUAUAUGAAAAUAGUGAAGCUUAAAAGUUAAAUUUUAAAGGUAAUGUCAUUGUCAAAUUUACUCAAAAUUUAUUUUUAACUAUAGUUAUCUAUGUACAUAUGUGACACACAUAAUAAGAUGCUAAUAUAUAUGUAAGGCACACUACACCAAAACAGGUUUUUAGCGGCAUUUUUUUAUGCCUUUAGCGGCGCUUUUUAGCGUUGCUAAAAGUAUUUGUGGCGUUUUUGGAAGCGCCGCAAAAAAUGCCGCUGUUCUCAACGCCGCAAACGUUUGUGGCUUUUUUAUAAAUAAACGCCGCUAUAGAUUAAGACCUUUAGCGGCGCUUUUUCAACAAACGCCGUUAUAGAUCAGGAUCUUUAGCGGCGCUUUUUUACAAACGCCGCUAUAGCUCAAGACCUUUAGCGGCGCUUUUUCAAAAAACGCUGCUAUAGAUUACGACCUUUAGCGGCGUUUUUUUCACAAACGCCGCUAUAGCUCAAGACCUUUAGCGACGCUUCUCGCAAAAACGCCACUAAAAACAUAACAUUUAAAAAAAGUAUUUUAAUCAAAUAAUAUUUAUUUUUAUGAUAAAUAUUAUAUUAUGUUUUAUUUUUUAAAUUUGAACUUUAAAUAUACUUUUAAGGAUAAAAAGUAUUAUUUAAUAGAAAAUUUUAACUUUAAAACUAAAUAUAAAAAUUAAUGAAUUUAGUUUUAGAAUUUAAAAUAAUAAAUUAAUAACACAAUUAAAAUCCAAAAGUUAGAACUCAAGUUGUCGUAAAUAUUAAAGUAAUAUUUACACAUUGCAAGGUAAUAAAAAAUACAAUGCAUUUUCUUAAUCAAGUAAAUCUUGGUAAUAAAAAAUACAAUGCAAACUACAUCUGCUACAUUCCUGGUUAUCCAAUCUUCAUGUACCCUGCAGAAUUGGGAAAAUAAUUAUAGUGCAUUAAAACAAAAAUUGAUAUUGACAAGUUAAAUGUGAAAGGAAAACAACAUGAAUGCAAAAAUUAAUACUCGAGGAAAUUGACAACUUAGCUAUCUCAACCAUGGAAAUGAAUUAGAUAUUGAAUAAGAGAGAUUACAGCAAUGAAACCAAUGAAUUCCUAGUUUACAUAUGUAUGUGCCACUGGACUUGUUAAGUGAAGAAUGAGAACCAAAUUUUUUUCAAUGACUACAGGACAUAAGACCAAGAGCAUCAAAAGUUUCCAAACAUGAAACAACUAAUCUAUUAAGCAAGUCAGAAAAUCAACGAGCUUAUUGUUUUAGCUAAUAGUGGAACAAGGAGACAAUUGAGAUCAAUUGAGACUAACCUCGGCUGAGAUGCAGAAGUUUCACGACAAUCAGAAAAGAUCACCUUGAUAUACUUAUAAUCUUCGCACCAUAAAUAAUCAAAGUAAUAAUCAUCGAUAUUAUUCACCUUGUUGCCUAACCUCACAUAAUAAUCAAAAUAAAUUUUAAAACCGCUCAAAAAUUUUAAAUAGAUUACAUCAACAUAUAUUGAGCAUAGCAACCUUCUAAAGAGAAAAUCAAACAAAUCAACUAAACGAACAUAGAAAAAUUGAUGCUUCAAACCAAAACACCAGAAUUUACUUUACCUCCAUCCCAUGGGGUGUCAUCAAGUCUGCAAAUCCAUCAAGUAAAGACAUUAGCACAAUUUAAUAGAACUUUAAUCUAAAAAGAAAGUACAUAAAGAUUCUCUAGUCUUAUUUCAUAAUAUACCCAAAUAUAACAGCAUUCCAAAGCAUAAUGUUGUUAUCUUGAGGUGCACCACUAAUUCCUGCACAAAAUAAAUGAUAAAAAAGGCCACAGUUCUUUAGCAUAAACAGCAAACAAAUUAGAUGAAAACCGGACUUCUACAACUAAACCGAGUUGUAGUAACAGUAUCCAAACGCCGCUAAAAGCCUGUUUUGGUGUAGUGGCAAAAUAUUAUAAAGUUAAACAGUGAGAUAAUGAAGUGAAAUGUCUCUAACCUUAUGCAAUUUUGAACUUGUUAUAGUAACAGUAUCCAAUGAUGCACUUGGCUUAUCAUUAGAGUUCUCAUAGCUAUGAACCUCCAUUGAUGUUUCAAGAGGAAGUUGAUGGAAUGGCUUAGGAGACAUCACAAGGAGUUCAACAUCAGAUUCAAGCAUCUUCAAAACUUUACUCAUUGAAGGACGAUCAGAAGGCAGUAAUUGUAUACACCAAAAGGCUAUUAUUACCAUUUUCUUUACCAUUGCUUUUUCAUCGUCAGAAACAUCUCCCAACUCCAAGUCCUUUCCUUGAUCUAAUCGGUCAUAAAUCCAAGAUGGAAACUAUAUUUGACUAGUGUGGUCAGCAAAUGCAUUCACAUUCUUUCUCCUUCCAACCAUUUCCAUCAGUAACAUUCUAGAACUAUAAAUGUCAGCUUUGUAUGAGAUGCCUCCAAGAUUUUUGUAAACCAAUUCAGGAGCAAUAUAUCCUAUCGUUCCUCGUGCCGCAGUGAGAGAGACAAUGCUGUCAUCUACUGAAUACAAUUUAGCAAGACCAAAAUCAGAAACUUUUGGAUUAAAAUUCUCAUCAAGAAGAAUAUUGUGUGGCUUGAUAUCAAAAUGUAGAAUUUGCAUGUCACAUCCUUGAUGUAAGUAGUGAAUUCCUUGAGCCACCCCAAGUACAAUAUCAAACAUUUUUUCCAGCCCAAAGUGUUCUUAUUUUCUUCUGUAAAUAUGAUUUUAUCUAAAGAUCCAUUAGACAUGAAGUCAUAUACCAGAGCUUGCUUUGAUCCCUCCACACAAAAUCCGAUAAGUUUUGCCACGUUAGCAUGAUGAAUUGUCCCAAUGGAAGCAACUUCAUUUAUGAAAUCUUGGCCAUUACCCUUUGACUUGCCCAACAAUUUUAUUGCCACAUGAUGCCCACUACGAAGCUUUCCUUUAAACAAUGAGCCAUAACCUCCUUCACCUAAUUUAUCUUUAAAAUUUUUAGUCAUUUUUUUAACUUCUUUAAAAGAAUACCUUAUCGGCACUAGAUUAUUUUGGCUUUGAAGGAACUCUUCAAUUGUAUCAUCCAUAGAUAAAUGUCUUCUUCUCCAUUCGUACGUGACAAGAGCAAACAAACAAAUUAUCUCAGGAAAUGACCUCAAAAAGAUAACUCCACCUUUAAAGAAAUACAAUGUAACACGUUGAAAUUAAUCACAUAAUAUAUAACUUACAUUCUCAGAAAAAAGGAUAUAGUGUGAUAGUUUUAUGUUAACUAGUAUUUGAGAGAGUGGCAUAUUUCACUAGUCUAUGGACUUAAUCGAGAGUAGUCUGAAUUAUAUGUUAUGUUUUGGUCAUUAGCAGGUAUAUCUCAACAAAUUAAAAUUCAGAAUUUCAAACACAAAAGGAGUAAAUCAUGCGAAGUGGAUACCAAUUAUUCUAACCUCACACAUUCCAAUAGAUUUGACAGGGUCAUGACAUUCACCCAAAUUAACACAUUCGUAACCCCGUCCAAUUAGCAAAUUCUAAAGAAAGCACAUGUUUCUUAACCAUGAAGGAUACUCAACGGUUGUCUCUAUUCAUGCCAAAUAAACUUGAGGAUGGACAAAUUAAAAAAUUAAUUAAACUGAAUUUUAGUAUUUUUAUUUUAAUAAUUUAUUUAAUCAAUAAGAUUAAUUAGAAUUAGAGGUGUUCAUGGGCCGGGCGGCCCGGCCCGGCCCGGUCCGGUCCAACAGCCCGUCCGAAAUAUGGGAGGGUUUGGGUAAAAAUAUAGGCCCGAAAUAUGGGCUUGGGCAAAAAAACGAGGCCCGAUUAAAAAACGGGCCGGGCCUCGGGCACAACUUUUUUUGGCCCGGGCCUGGCCCGGCCCGAAUAUAAUAAAUAUUUUAUUAUUUUUUUAAUUUUAAAAUACUUUAAAAAUACUUUUAUUAAAUUUUUUAAAUUUUAAAAUUUUUUUAAAAUGCUUUUUUAAUUUUUUUAAUUUUAAAAUAUUUUUAAAAUACUUUUUUUAAUUUUUAUUUUAAUUUUUAAAAUAAAUUUUUGGUAUUUAUUUAAAAAAUAGGAUAGGCCCGGGCUACAAAAUUUUUUCCUGGGCCCGACCCGAACCCGACCCAUGAGCACCUCUAAUUAGAACAAUGAACCAAUGAUUUAAAUUUCAUCAUAAUCUAACUCUAAAAAUUGUGGAUUUGAGCGCUCCCAAAUUUUCCUUCGCUUUCUCUCUCUCUCUGUUCUUCAACAUCGUGUUUAGAUCCGUCCCUCCCAGCCUUGAAAGAUUCCGUCUUUGACCCUUCUUCGUUGAAUCUAUCAAACAAAUUAGGGUUCCGAUCUGUUACCUGUUGUGUUCGUUUAAAAUUUUUUUUUCUUUGCCUCAAAAUUUCAUCUUCAGAAAGAGAGAGAGAGAGAGAGAGUUUUCGAUUUUCCUUGAUUUUGCUUGAGAUUUAUGUUCUAAUCUGAAAUUCAUUACCUUAAUGAUUUGCUAUAUCGGUUCGAUCUCCAUUACGAUUGCUUGCUUUUUGUAUCGGAUUUGGGGUUAAAUCCAAGCUUGCGUGUUUUUACAUUAAAUCAGUAACCAUCGGCUCAAACUCUACCCCUCUUUCUAUCUGGAAAAUUUUUACAUUAAAACAAACGGAGUUUGAAAGUUAAAAAUUGACAUUCCAUUGAGUUUAAGUUUGAAAGUUUGGCUCAACUCACCGAUUACAGCCGCUUACAUGAAGUAGAAGCCCUUAUUACAUCAAUACAUCUGUGUGUGUGUUUUUUUCCGCUUCCUCUUCUUUCUUUUGGCCUUUUUUUUCCUCUAAAAGCCGCACCUACAGCUUACUCCGUUCCCUGACAUUUGCCCUUAAAAUUACACUGAAAAUGCCCACAUGUUCCCCAAACUUCAUAUAUUACUCAAGUUUCGAUUCCUUGUCUCCGCAUCGAACCGCCACUUUACACAGUCAAACUCUGUGUUACGAAUUACCGCCUGCGCCACCUAUUGGACGAUAUGCCCAAACCAAGUUGAAAGCCCGAAUGAAGAAGCUAUAGAGCAUCCGAGAGUCUCCAUCGAUAUUUUCAACCAAUGGGGUUGCUGUGAAAACGAUUUGUUGAAGAUCUUUUCACGCCAACCUUCUUUGCGCAACGCUCAAGCUACUCCCCUUUUAUCCAAACUCAACUUGCUGAGUAGCUUGGGACUCACCGGUUCCGACAUUGUCAAGAUGGUCAAUUGUCGUCCUCGUUUCUUUUGUUCUCGUAUCAAUAAUUGCUUCGACGAGCGGAUUGAGUUCCUCGUUAACCUGUUCGGGUCGCGAGAAAUGCUUCGUAAAGCACUUGUUAGGAACCCUUCCCCCUUGACCUAUGAUUUUCACAAUGCCAUGAAACCAGUCAUUGCAUUGUACGAAGAGAUUGGCAUUAGAGGAAAUGAUUUGAUUGCUAUGCUCAUCUCACGUCCCACAUUGAUCCCAAGGACUUCUUUCAAUGAGGAGAAGAUGGAAUACAUAAAGAAAACAGGGGUUUCAAAAGGUUCCAAAAUGUACAAGUACAUAGUUUCACUCAUCGGAAUAUCGCGGAUCGAGACUAUACGUGAAAAGGUGACUAACUUGGAGAAAUUCGGAUGUUCAGAGGAAGAGAUUUGGAGUUUGUUGGGACGUUAUCCUCUUAUUUUGACACUUAUUUUGAAACUCUCGGUUGAUAAGGUUCAAAGGAACAUGACCUUUGUUUUGGGAACCAUGAAGCUGUCUCCAAGAGUGGUGCUUGAGCACCCCUUUUCUUGUUGUUCAGCAACCUCGAAGCCGUAUCGAAACCGCGGAUAUCGUUGGCUAGGAAACUAAAGGAAAUGGAGCUUGAUCCGCAGAUUAAAGGACCGAUCAUGUUGGCGGCAUUGAGGAUGACGGAAAAUCGAUUCUUGAAUGUGUUUAUUAAAUGCCAUCCGCAAGAUGUAGCAAAUGAACUGUUGGAGUUCUAUAAACAUGCCAAAGGUCUCAAGCCAUUGGCCGAAUCAUCGAAAAAAAUACUGCGUAAAGGAUUUCCAUUUUGAACAUUUUCGUUUGUUUGUUUGGUGCUGUCUUCGUUUUCUUUUUGUUCAUUCAUGCCAAGGGAUAUUUCGAUUAAAUUUUCAGAUUUAUAACUUUUAUUCUCAAAGGGAUAAUGUGAGACUCAAAAUUUUGGGAUAUAAAAAGGGAUGCCUCUUCGUGUUUCAUUGGUGUUCUCUCUCUGCUUAUAUUCCUUUUACUCCCCGUGAUGAAGAGUUGAAAUUUUUUCUAUGUAUGAUGGCUGGAGGGAAUAUAGAUUAUGGAACUCCACCAUUAUUAACUUUGUAGGCUCAAUUGGCACCAUUGUUGUGGUGCAACUAGAAAUAUGUGGGUUAAAACGUGUUUAAAGGCGUAUUUUCUUUUUAUUUAAGAGUUUAAAGGAGAUUAUAAUUUGUGAACAGUAAUUUUUUAAGGUAAAUCUUAUUCUAUAUAUUUUGACCGAUGAUUAUUUUUAUCCUUAAUAUAAAUUUGUGUUAAUUUUGGUUUGGAUGAUGUUUAUUAUUAUUUUUAAUUACUUUUCAAUGCGGAUAAAAUCUUGCACCAAUUAAAAUUCAUAUAUUAUUAUUAAAAAAGAUAAAUAAACAAAUUAAAUCUUUUUAAACUUCUUAUUUAUUUUCAAAGUUUAUUAAAUAGUAUUAUUUUAUUUUAUAUAAUUAAUGUAAAGUAAUAUAUGGGGCAAAAUAAUAUAAAGCUAAAAUGAAGUGAAAUGUUUCAAACCUCAUACAAUAUUUGAACUUGUUAUCGUACCAAUAUCCAAUGAUUUACUUGACUCAUCAUUAGAGUUCUCACAUGAUGUUUCAAGAGGAAGUUGAUGGAAUGGCUUAGGAGGCAACUCAGGGAGUUCAACAUCAGAUUCAAGCAUCUUCAAGACUUUACUCAUUGAAGGAUGAUUAGAAGGCAAUAAUUGUAUACACCAAAAGGCAGUUAUUCAUCUUCUUCACCAUUACUUUUUCAUCGUCAGAAACAUCUCCUAGCUCUAUGUCCUCUCCUUGAUUUAAUCGGUCAUAAAUCCAAGAUGGAAAAUAGAUCUGACUAGUGUGGUCAGCAAAUGCAUUCACAUUCUUUCUCCUUCCUACCAUUUCCAUCAGUAACAUUGCAAAACUAUAACCAAUUCAGGAGCAAUAUAUCUUAUCGUUCCUCGUGCCGCAGUGAGAGAGACAAUGCUAUCAUCUACUGAAUACAAUUUAGCAAGACCAAAAUCGGAAACUUUUGGAUUAAAAUUCUCAUCAAGAAGAAUAUUGUGUGGCUUGAUAUCAAAAUGUAGAAUUUGCAUGUCACAUCCUUGAUGCAAGUAGUGAAUUCCUUGAGCCACCCCAAGCACAAUAUCAAACAUUUUUUUCCAGCCCAAAGUGUUCUUAUUUUCUUCUGUAAAUAUGAGUUUAUCUAAAGAUCCAUUAGACAUGAAGUCAUAUACCAGAGCUUGCUUUGAUCCCUCCACACAAAAUCCAAUAAGUUUUGCCACAUUGGCAUGAUGAAUUCUACCAAUAGAAGCAACUUCAUUUAUGAAAUCUUGGCCAUUACCUUUUGACUUACCCAACAAUUUUAUUGUCACAUGAUGCCCGCUACGAAGCUUUCCUUUAAACACUGACCCAUAACCCCCUUCACCUAAUUUAUCUUUAAAAUUUUUAGACAUUUUUUUUAUUUCAUUAAAGGAAUACCUUAUCGGCACUAGAUUAUUUUGACUUUGAAGGAACUCUUCGAUUGUAUCAUCCAUGGAUAAAUGUCUUCUUCUCCAUUUGUACGUAACAAGAGAAAACAAACAAACAAAUUAUCCUAGGAAAUGACCUGAAAAAGAUAAUUCCACCUUUAAAGAAAUACAAUGUAAUGCAUCAGUACUUGUGAAAUUAAUCAAAUAAUGUAUAACUUACAUUCUCAAAAAAGUAAAUAAUGUGAUUGUUUUAUGCUGUUUUAUAAUUAACUACUACUUAAAAGAGGGGCAUAUUAUGUAAUGGCCUAAAUUUUCAGUGGUGUCGGAAUGGUGAUUCGAGAUCACUAAAUCUAAAAAAAAUGAGUAGAAAAUAUUAUUAAUUUAGUGAGAAUAAGUAAAUGUGAAGUUGGGAAAAUUUUUGAAAUAGUGAAUAGUGUACUAAGAAUAAAUAUUAAAAUAAUUAAAAUAAAAAAUGAGGUAUCGAGACCUUGAAGAUUUUAAACCGAGCCAUAAAUAUUUUUAGAAAUAUUUUUAGAGUGUCAUUGAGUUGGUAUUAAAGUUUCGUUAGAAAAUUUUAACGUUUGGAUAGUCAAUUAACUAAAAAGGACUAAAUUGAAAAUAGUGUAAAAUUUGUUAAAUUGUGAUUAAAUAGCCUAAGUGAUUAAAAAUGAGGGAUUUAAAAGACAAUUAGGCCCAAACUAUAUGGGCUGGACGGUUGGGCAAGAAAAAUCUGGAAAAGUGAUGUAAUAAGGGUAAAAUUGGAAAUUUUGUAAAAGUUAACAAAUAAAAAUCUCAAUUAAAAGAGUUUCUAGGCAAUUCUUCAUAAUUAUCAGCCAAAAAAUGCCAUUUAAGUGUCCUUCCAAGCCGGUUUUUCAUAUAUUUGAAUCAUGUAAGUUUAAUUCUUGAUUAUUUCUUCUAAUUUUUGUGGUUUUGAUACUUUUACAAUUAGGUCCAACUAAUUGUUUCAUUAGUUAUUGAUUUUAUGGAUGAUUUUGAAAGUUACCAUUGAUGAGUACUGAAUUUUUAUGAUGAAUAAACAUGGAAUUAAAGCUUUGAUUUUGUUAUAUGAUGAUUCUAUUAAAGUAAUUUUGAUAGAAAUUGAUUUUAGGGACCUAAUUGUAAAAAGUUGGGAAUUAGGGUUUGGGGUUGCGGUUUUGAAUAUGGAAGGCUAUGUAGUAGUCUAAAAUAGUUGGAAAAUGUGUUAAUUGAGAAAAAUUAGAUCAAUUGAGGGGUUAAUUGAGUAGAGACCAAAUUGUAAAAAUUGUAAAGCUUGGGGUAAAAGUGUAAUUUUGAGAAUUUAAGGGCAGAAACUGUGAAAUGAAUUAGAAUAGAAUUAAAUGCUGAUGAAUGAAUAAAUUUUAAUUUUAGAUCGAGAACCUGAAACAAGUCGAGGAAAAGAAAAAGUAGCUAAUUAGUCCCUGAACUUUUACAAAUUAAGCAAAUCAACCCAGGUAAGUUCAUAUGGCUGAAAUUUAAUGAUUAAAUGUUAAUUUCAUGAAUUAUGCAAUGUAUGAUGAAAUGUAUUUAUUGUUGAAAUGAGAAUAAAAUAAAAAUGUAAAAAUCGAAUAAAUGAUCAAAUUAAGUGGAACGCCGGAUUUAAGUACUUCUGAUCAAGAGAUAAAGUGAUAAGUGGUAGCUUUAGCUACACUUAUCUGAUCAAGUGAAAAAGUGAUAAGUGCUACACUUAUCUGAUCAAGAGACAAAGUGAUAAGUGGUAGCUUUAGCUACAAUUAUCUGAUCAAGUGAAAAAGUGAUAAGUGCUACACUUAUCUGAUCAAGUGAAAAAGUGAUAAGUGCUAUACUUAUCUGAUAAAGUGAGAAAGUGAUAAGUGCUACACUUAUCUGAUCAAGCGACAAAGUGAUAAGUGAUAGCUUGCUACACUUAUCUGAUCAGGGACGUAAGACCAUAGUUAUACUAUGGCAAAGUGAAAGUGAAGUACUCAAUUUUCUGUAACUGUUCUUUAAUUUUGAUCAAGGAUGGUAAGUGACAAACGGGCCCAAAGGAAUUAUGGUAAAAGAAUAAGUAGUAGUGAGUUCAUACCAAGGAAUUCACCAAAGAUUGUGGUUGACAGGUAAACUUAGUAAUUGUGUAUAUUGUAAGUGUACAAAUGUUUGGUAAGAUUUAUGUUUUAUGCCUAUGAACUUACUAAGCUUUUCUAUAAGCUUACAUGUGUGUGUUUAUUGUCUUUGUAGAUUAACAUAUUUAUACAUUCGGAGGAUCGGAUCUACAUCGAGAAUCACACUAUCCAGAUAUACUCCGGUAGAUUAUGUUAAGCAGCUUUUUGGAUUUAUAUGGCAUGUAUAGGGAAUUGAAGUAAAAAAAGUAAUAGAAUGAAUGACUAAGUAUGCAAAGUAAAUUUGAAUGUGAUGAUUGUGUUAGACAUUGAAAAAUACAUGUUUUUAGUUUGAAAUGGUUGAUUGGUUGAACUUCAUUAGUAUUCAAGCUAAGUAGUUGAAAUACUGAAAUUGGUUGUGAUUUGAAAUUUGCAGGGAAGGUUAGGUAAUUAUAAAGGGGUUAUAUUGAAAUUUUUUUUAAAAUUUCAAUGGAAUUGUUUUUGGACAGCAGCAUUGAUGUAACUUUGAAAAAUCACUAAAAAUAGUGGAAAUAGAAUUAGAAGUUGAGUGAGAUAUGAAAUUAAAGCUGAAUGAGUCUACUUUCACAUAAAAGAAGUAAAGUAAGCAAAAGAAUUAUAUACUUUUAGAUAUUUGAAUUUUAGUGAAACAGGGAAAAAAUGUUUUUGAAGUCCCUUAUUCUGACUUUAAAAAUUCAUUAAAAAUUGUACAGAAGUAAUUAUGAGUUAUAAUUUAUAUUUAUAGACUCCUUAAUGAGUCUAUUUUCAGUAGAAAUAAGUGGAAGCACCAUAUGAAGUCUGUAAUAAGAGAUAAUUGAAUUUUAGUGAUGAGUGGUCAAGAUAGUUGAUCAGUGAAACAGGGGAGACUUCAACUAAUAAAAUUUACUAAUUGGAUAAACCAAAAAUUCUGAAAAAUUUAUGGUGAAUAGAUAUAUGAGUCUAGUUUGAAGAAAAAUUUACGGAUCUAAAUUUCAAGUUUCGUAGCUUGAGUUAUAAUUAUUUUAGUGACUGCUGCGCAGGUGGAUAGCUUUAUUAUGAAUGGUGAAAUUAAUUUUGAAAGUAAAUUUUUAUGCCCGAACUUUUAAGUUAAGUCAAGUAACGCCUCAUGCUCGACUCCGGCAACGGUCUCGGGUAAGGGGUGUUACAUAUUAAUUUCACUACUUUAUGGAAUUAAUUUAGAAAUAACAGUGAUGCCUUGUGUUUACCCUUCUUUACCAAAUGAAAAACUUUGAAAGGUCAUUGAGAACCCAAGAAAAAUAAUUCCGAAUUAUAUGUUAUAGUUUUAUAUUCUAGCAGGUGCACCUCAACAAAUUCAAACUUAGAACUGCACACACAAAGGAGUAAAUCAUUUAAAUUGGAUACCAAUUAUUCUAACCUCACCAUGGUCCAUCAAGGAUACUCAACUUUUAUAUUCAUGUCAAAUAUACUUGAAGAAGGACAAAGUACAUAUCUAAUAACCUUCAAUCUUUUUAAAUGAAACGAAGUCUAUAAUCACCAAAAAAUGCAAAACAACCAAAAAAAAAAUUUUGGGCCGAUUGAAGAGCUAACUUUGUUGAAUGUUUUAGCAAUAUGAAUAUUCACCAAACUUACAACCUUUGGAAGUUCUAAACAAGACCAUUAUGAACACAAACUUAACCAAAACUUCAACAUCAUUAUUUACUUGACAAAAAAAAUUUUCUUUCGUAUAACAGAAGAAGAUUGUUUUCAGCAUUCAAACUCCUUAAAGAGUGCUAGAUUUCUUAGUUUUGCAGUGAAAUUAAAUAUGAACUUGUAUAGUAUGAUAGGCUCCUUAUUCUUCCCCCCCCCCCUCCCCCAAAGAAUAUUGCUAAUAUCUUUUCUUAACUAGUGCUAGAAUUUGUAUCGGAAAAAAUGCAAAUCCAAAAUUAACAAUACCUGUUAUUGCCAAACAGAGAAUAUAAGUUCCUGUAAAAAAACCACGAAUAAAAACGAAAUAUCAUUAUUUCAAGAGAGCAGCGAAAUAGUAAAAUCAAAGCACUUCUAAAUUCUAAUGAAUUUUGGGAAGCAUACUUCUUGGUAUAUAGAAUGAUUGACAAACGUGCUUUUGGCUGAAAAGAACAGAAAUUUGAUUUCUCAAUUUUUUCCACAAACGUGCUUCAGGGUCGAAGGAAGCAUAUGGAAGAUCUCACUGUCUGCAUGCUCGAUCUCCACAUUCCCUUCCCGAGUAUCUCUCUUUCUUCAUAUCUUUUUUUUUUGUGCGGCUUCGUGGUUUUAUUAGAAUGCGUUCAUAGGGGAAUUAGUCUUACGAUUAAUAUUUUCUCUUGUAAAAAGGAUAAAUUGAUGUUGCAAUUUAAUGACAGUUUUUAUGCUAUGGAUUGAGAAUGAGAUUCUAGGGUUUUUCAUUGAAUGAAUUUGCUUUUGGUUGUUUUAUUAACAAACUUUAUCGCUUCGUUUAAGAAAAAAAAUCCUUCUUUUAAGAUUGAAUUUAUGAAGUUUUGUCGGUUAAUUAAAUGCUUAGCUCUUUUCUAAUGACUGUAACCAAUGUAGCAAUGAUAUUAACGUAACCAAAGAAGGUUGAGUUAUAAAAGUGGAGAGAUAUUAUGCUAAACCGAACUACUAACUUCAAUAGUUUACUUCUUAGUGUUCUUAUAGAGGCAAUUUUGUUUGAAAAGGAUCUUUCUAAACAAUGUAAGAUUUGGUAUUUUUACUUAUUUUGUGAUGGUUGAAGAAGUUUGUGCGUAUCACUGAUUUAGUAACUUUGUCUAACGUCUCAUCCUAUGUUUUAUUUUUAAUACAUAAAUUUUUGAUACAUUGGAGCAGGAAAAAUUGGGUUAAGGAAGUUUCAGUCGGAGUUGUUGCAGUUUUUGAUGGUCAUAAUGGUGCUGAAGCUAGUGAGAUGGCUUCAAAACUUUUACUGGAGUAUUUUGCUCUAUAUACAUAUUUCCUUUUGGAUGCAACUUUUUCCUUUGUAUUGAAGAAGCAGUCAAGUAGGUUGCCAAAUGUAGGAGAAGGGGAUAUUGUUUUCCAAGUGCUUAAUUGGGACAAAGAGAUUGGAAAGCGUGGCUUGAACUUUGAAAGGUGAUAUCAUGUGUAACUCAGACCAUAUUUAUGUUUGAGUUCCUUGUUUUAGAAAAUGGAUAUAGCUGUUGCUUGCUGUUGACGAUUCUUAACCCAAAGUAUUAAUGCUUGCUCAGAUUAUUAACCCAAUGUUUAUUUCAUCAUCUUAAAGUUGCUUCCUGUUUGCUUCUACCUGCUAUUCAGCUGGUUGUGGGAAUUAGCCAUCCCUCGUGGAUUUCUCUGACAUUUUUCAUUGGAAGCUGUAUUAGGCUAGUGGAUUGGUCUUUGACUAGCAAUUUUCUAGGACUAUUCAGGUGAUUGCUUCUUGACUCUUUGUACAUUGUUCUAUUUCAUUUUCUUUGUCAAUGAGUUUGGUUUUAUCAUUGGUUAAUGUUUUUAGUAACUUAUGUUCUGUUUCUUUUUUGUCAAGGUUGUGGAAGGCUCUCCAGUUUUAUGCAGGCUUCAGCAUUUUCAUGCUUUAUGUGUAUCAACUCCGUAUAGAGUUCUCAAGUAUGUUACAGUGGAUAGCUGAUUUUGUUGGUCUAUUCAAAAUAUGUUCAACAUCUGAGUGGACUGAAAUUUGCUCUUCUGUUUCUCUUGUACUUUAUUACAUCAUGGUAUGUACUAGUUUUAUUACUAUAGGUCUGAUUCUGUUUAAAAAAUUUAGCUGAACCUUUUAAUGAAAUGCAAUACACUCUUCCCUCUUCCUAGAAUCUUAUAUUAUGAAAUUGACUUCAUUUGAGUCUUUCCUGUGUCUGACAUUUGUCUAUCUAAUAGUCUUUUCCCCAUAUUACUAAUUUAAGAUGGUUUGAAGUGUUUUCUUUCUAUAAGAAAAAUUUCCUGGACAGAUAUGAAGUAUUUAGUUGCAAACUAGACUUUGGAGAUUGAUGACAAUUUUGCCAUUCUGGAUGCAAUUUUUAUUCAAUUUGCUCAAUGAAAUUGCAGUUGAAAAUUUGAGAGCUUCCUAGUUAGAAACCACAUAUUUAUAUAAUAUAUGUUUUUAAUAGUUUUGAACAAGUUAAAUUAAUUAUAAAGAAAUAAUAUAAUUGAGAACAAGAUUAGAGUAGCUCGUUUGUACAUCUCAAUCUUAAUAUUAAGUGAUUGAUGACUCUAAGCUACUUAAAAACAAGAAGACAAUCAAUCUUCACUUUAAUUUGUAUGACGCAAAGUUUUUAAAACCAUUUCAAAGAACCGUUAAGAAAUAAUAGAUACAAGAUCUAAUCAAAACAUCAAGUAACGACCCAACCAAAACCCACCAAAGAGAUAUCCAAAGUCUCAAAUUUGGAAUUAAAGGUCAACGUAAACACAAAAUUCUCCAAAAGUAUUAUGAGUUCUAACUUUUUAAUGGGUAUAAUUUCUAAGGUAUUUACAUGCAAAAUUUGUAGCCCAAAUAAUAAUAAAAUAAUAUAAACUAAUCAAAGUUUAACUAAAAUAAAUAAAUAGAAUUUAGCUGAAAGAUUACCUCUCAAAUUUAAUCGAAAUAUGAGGCAUGCUCAAUAAUAAAGGUAUCACUUCAAUGGUAUAAAGCUACAUAAAAUCUUAGUUAUGUCUUUGAAAUAUUUUGAUAAAGGCAUGUGCAAAAACUUUUUGAUUCUAAACAAAUUCAUUCCCUCAAUAUUAUUUAUUUAAAAUCAAAACCACAUUUAUUUUUAAACAACAUCUAACAAUGUAUUUGGCUCAUCCAACAAUUUAUUUUUAAACGACAUCUAUUUAAAAAGAACCAAAUGAGAAUCAUUAUACAACUUCAUAAAGUUGAUGACACAUCCAACAUUUAAAGCACAAAGAAAUUAGAUAGGCCAACAACAAAACAAUAAUGCCAACAUUCUCAACUACGGCAACAAAUUUGUUCUAAAAACAAAAGUAAGCGCAUCGCACCUAGAGCGUAGAAAUAUUUGAAUUCAAUCAUUGUAACAACGAAAAAGGAAACAAGACAUCCAACAUCCUCAUCACAAUAGAUUCUCCUCUGACCCGCCAACAGCGUUUGCAAUGCAAUAAAACAAAAAGAGGUUAUUGUGAUAGCAAAUCUUAUAAAUAUUCCAAAAUUAACUUUUAGAUGCAUCAAGUCUUAAUCUAAGGGAAAGGGUUUAUCCAAACAUGAAAAAUCUAACCAACUCAAUUCAAUUCAACCCAACCUCAACCUAUCUAUAUAGUUUACUUUUAAUUUAUAUCUAAUUUCAAUUAUGGUUUAAAUUUAAAUAUUUUUUAACAAAAAUUUUAAAUACUUAAUAUUGAACAAAUAGUCAUAUUAAUGAAAAUAUGUAAUUAUGAACAAUAACUUAACACAUAGGUAAAAGUAUUUUUUUUUACUUAAUAAUAUUAUUAGCAAUAGUACGUUAUUAAUUGUAUAUAUGAAAAUAAUGAAGCUUAAAAAUUAAAAUUUAAAGACAAUGUCAUUGUCAAAUUUACUCAAAAUUUAUUUUUAACUAUAGUUAUCUAUGUACAUAUGUGACACACAUAAUAAGAUGCUAAUAUAUAUAAGGCAAAAUAUUAUAAAGUUAAACGGUUAGAUAAUGAAGUGAAAUGUUUCUAACCUUAUGCAAUAUUUGAACUUGUUAAUAUCCAAUGAUGUACUUGGCUCAUCAUUAGAGUUCUCACAGCUAUGAACCUCCAUUGAUGUUUCAAGCGGAAGUUGAUGGAAUGGCUUAGGAGGCAUCUCAAGGAGUUCAACAUCAGAUUCAAGCAUCUUCAAAACUUUACUCAUUGAAGGACGAUCAAAAGGCAGUAAUUGUAUACACCAAAAGGCUGUUAUUACCAUUUUCUUUACCAUUGCUUUUUCAUUGUCAGAAACAUCUCCCAACUCCAAGUCCUCUCCUUGAUCUAAUCGGUCAUAAAUCCAAGAUGGAAAAUAUAUUUGACUAGUGUGGUCUGCAAAUGCAUUCACAUUCUUUCUCCUUCCAACCAUUUCCAUCAGUAACAUUCCAAAACUAUAAAUGUCGGCUUUGUAUGAGAUGCCUCCAAGAUUUUUGUAAACCAAUUCAGGAGCAAUAUAUCCUAUCGUUCCUCGUGCUGCAGUGAGAGAGACAAUGCUAUCAUCUACUGAAUACAAUUUAGCAAGACCAAAAUCGGAAACUUUUGGAUUAAAAUUCUCAUCAAGAAGAAUAUUGUGUGGCUUGAUAUCAAAAUGUAAAAUUUGCAUGUCACAUCCUUGAUGUAAGUAGUGAAUUCCUUGAGCCACCCCAAGUACAAUAUCAAACAUUUUUUUCCAGCCCAAAGUGUUCUUAUUUUCUUCUGUAAAUAUGAUUUUAUCUAAAGAUCCAUUAGACAUGAAGUCAUAUACCAGAGCUUGCUUUGAUCCCUCCACACAAAAUCUAAUAAGUUUUGCCACAUUAGCAUGAUGAAUUCUCCCAAUAGAAGCAACUUCAUUUAUGAAAUCUUGGCCAUUACCCUUUGACUUGCCCAACAAUUUUAUUGCCACAUGAUGGCCACUACGAAGCUUUCCUUUAAACACUGAGCCAUAACCCCCUUCACCUAAUUUAUCUUUAAAAUUUUUAGUCAUUUUUUUAGUUUCUUUAAAAGAAUACCUUAUUGGCACCAAAUUAUUUAGGCUUUGAAGGAACUCUUCGAUCGUAUCAUCCAUGGAUAAAUGUCUUCUUCUCCAUUUGUAUGUGACAAGAGCAAGCAAACAAAUGAUCCCAGCAAACAACCUCAAAAAGAUAACUCCACCUUUAAAGAAAUACAAUGUAACACGUUGAAAUUAAACAAAUAAUAAAUAACUUACAUUCUAAGGAAAAAGUAAAUACUGUGAUAGUUUUAUGUUAACUAGUAUUUGAGACUAGUCUAUGGACUAAGCGAGAGUAGUCUGAAUUAUAUGUAAUGUUUUUGUCAUUAGCAGGCAUAUCUCAACAAAUUAAAAUUCAGAAUUUCAAACACAAAAGGAGUAAAUCAUGCAAAGUGGAUACCAAUUAUUCUAACCUCACACAUUCCAAUAGAUUUGACAGGGUCAUGACAUUCACCCAAAUUAACACAUUCGUAACCCCCUCCAAUUAGCAAAUUCUAAAGAAAGAACAAGAUUCUUAACCAUGAAGGAUACUCAACUGUUGUCUCUAUUCAUGCCAAAUAAACUUGAAGAAGGACAAAUUAAAAAUAUAAUAACCUUCAAAUUUCAUAAAUGAAACAAAAUCUAGAACCACCAAAAGAUGCAAGAGAACCCCCAAAAAACAGAUUUGAUAAAUUCAAGAGCUAAUUUUCUUUACUUGACAAAAAAAUAUUCUUUCGUAUAAUAGAAGAAGAUUGUUUUCAGCAUUCAAACUCCUUGAAGGAUGCUAUAGAUUUCUUAGUUUUGCAGUGAAAUUAAAUAUAAACUUGUAUACUAUGAUAGGCUCAUUAUUCCUUAUUUCCCCCAAGAAUAUUGCUAAUAUUUUUUCUUAACUAGUGCUAGAAUUUGUAUCUGAAAAAAAUGCAAAUCUGCAAAUCCAAAAUUAACAAUACCCGUUAUUGCCAAACAGAGAAUAUAAGUUCCUGUAAAAAAACCACGAGUAAAAACGAAACAUCAUUAUUUCAAGAGAGCAGUGAAAUAACAAAAUCAAAGCACUUCUAUUGAAUUUUGGGAAGCCUACUUCUUGGUGGGUCCAAUGAAUUGUAGUAGACAUGGGGGCCGUGGAAAAGGAAAUGUACAAAGCUGUCCAUAUAGGUACUGGAGGCAAAUUUCAACCUUGACAAUCUGAAUUAUAUAUUCAACAAAUCAAAGUAAAAUUAAUAAAGGGGUGUAAGGAAAAUUCCAAAUUUGUGUAAAAAGACAAAUGGAAGGUAAUUUAAAACAUUAUAUUAUGUUUUGUGGUAUAUACUCAAAAAAAAAAAUACAGCAAUUCUUUACAUAUGUUUGCUUGUAAAAAGUAUGCAACAUGUAUUACAGUAGAAGAGUUUUUAGGUAACUAAAAUGAUUUAAUAUAAUGAAAGGUGAGACAAAUUUUAUUCAAAUUAAUUAAUCCAAAAAGUAUAUAUUAUAGCAUUAAAAGAGUUUUUGCGAAAAAAAUAAACUCAUCCACAAUGGUGGAAUAUUUACGUACUACCAACUAAAUUGAAAAUUCAUCAAAAAUAAAAACAAAAUAAAAAGAUAGACAUAAUCAAAUAUAAUUGUCCAAAAAGAAGACAAAACAGCAGAGAAAGCAGAGGCAGAUACUAAAUUAGAAAUGCUUUUAGUUCAUUUGAUUGUUAGAUGUUGAUCAAUUUUAGAUGCAAAAUCAUCAUACUUAAUUACCAUCAUACAAUUUAAUUGCGAAUAAAGUAACAUAAAAUAAAACAAAACAUAAAGUAGAUGUUGUAACUAAAAAUUCCAGUAUGAUGCACACUCAAAAUGCAAACUUUAAUUAUUAAAGAAACUUACAUUUCUUUCAACCAAACUUUGUUUUUAUUGUAGUAGCAACUCUGGUAAUAGCAUCUAUCCCAUUCGACCCAAAAACCUUCUAAUAGUUUUUUUAGAUAUCCGGCGUAGACAUACCUAUUAUAUUAUCAAUCAUAAUUGGAACCUCCGCUUCGAUAGUGCAAGCUUGAUUGAUAUAAGAUGGGUGGGUGUUUCCAUUUAAAAAAUAGAAAUGGGAAGUUGGAAGGGAUCGAAGAGGAGGUAUUGAAUUUGAUGGUACAACGAGAAACCUCAAUAUAAAGUGAUAAUUUUAUAGGUUUCGUGCAAUUCAUAACAUAAAUAAUGUUGCCCUCUAACCUUCCAUCAUAAGAAUUAUAAAAAUAAUAAUACUUAGAAGAAGAAGAAGAAGAAAGGGAAAAAAAUGAGUGUUCAUAAUGAUAAUAAUAAUUAUCUACAGAACUAAGAGGAAGGGAGUUACAAUCAUCCGUGUCCAAGCUCGCAUCAAUUAUUCGUAUUUUAUAAUUUUCCUAAAAGAUUUGUUAGACAGAGAAUUUCCCUUCUUUAUCGACCAAAAUGGUGAGAUUAUUGUUCUCACACUCAAAUUCAAAGCCAUAAUGAUCACAGUGGGGAGGUUGGUUUUUUAAUCGGAAUGGAAAACUGAUAUUCAAAUUCCCACAGAAAGUAGAGCCGCAGUCUUGGUUAAUAGAUGUAAAAAAUCAAUUGAAUUUGAAGGUAAUCUAAAACACUGUAUUUUGUUUUGUGGUAUAUCUUAUUCUAAAUAUUCCUUUUUUCAGCCAAUAAAUUUUAUUAAAACCUCAAGAGGAAACUGACCAAAAGGUCAUUCAUACACCUAAAUCAUCAAUAGCUCGACAACAAGUAUGAAAAGUUAGAACUCCCAAGGAACAAGUCAGCAUAGAAGAAAACUCAACCCAAAACCCAACAUUGAAGAAGAAACAAAUCGCAUCAUCUAUUCCAUAUUUUUAACCAACCUUAUUCUAAAAAACAUUAUACCAAUUAUUUACCUAUUUUUUUUGUUUCUAAAAAGUAUGCAGCAUCUUUUACAGUAUAAUAAUUUUUACAUAACCAAAAUUAUUUUAUAUGAUGAAAGGUGAGACAAAUUUUAUUCAAAUUAACUAAUCCAAAAAUAUAUAUUAUAUAGCAUUAAAGGAUGUAAUAGUGAAACAUACUCAAACAUAAUGUUAUGUUUUUUUAUAAACAUGCUGUUGUUUAUAUUAGGAGCCAUUUCAAGGAGUUCAACAUCAGAUUCAAGCAUCUUCAAAACUUUACUCAUUGAAGGACGAUCAGAAGGCAGUAAUUGUAUACACCAAAAGGCUGUUAUUACCAUUUUCUUUACCAUUGCUUUUUCAUCGUCAGAAACAUCUCCCAACUCCAAGUCCUCUCCUUGAUCUAAUCGGUCAUGUAAAGCCCAAAAUCUGCCCGGGCCCAUACCAGCAAAAUAGACCCAAAUAAUAAAAUACAACAAACCCAAAAUUCAAUCCCAACUACCCAAACCUUAAGCCCAAACCUAAUAGCCCAUAACAAACUUUCAGCAACAGCAAACCCUAGCCCCAACUGCCCAUGAGCGCCGCAUGUGUGCCGCGCCAUCUCCCCGUCUGCCACGCCCACUCGCACGCCUCUGCCACCAUUGUCGGCCAUGGCCACCUGCAAGAAGCCAAGUAGAAAUAAACAAAUAGAAAAUAAACAAUGGUAAUCGGUUAUAAAAACCGAAAAUCUCACCAUUGCUGGUGGGGGGGAUUUUUGUAUAAAAAAAACAGCGUUUUGAAACAAAGAAAUAAGAAGAAUAUAGAUCGAAUUCUGAGAAAGUUUUUUUUAGGUGCGAAUCUUUCGUUUUUUUUUUCGUUAUUUGGUUUUUAUUUUAUUUUAUAUAUGCAUUUGAUAAAUCAAAAAUAAAAAAGGGAAAAGACGGAGAGUUCUUACCGUGGCGCCGUCGAAGCUCUUCUUCUCUCCGUCCAAAUCGGAGUUGAGGAAGAGUGGCUCUUAGUUUCUCAAGCGGUGGAGAGAAAAAGAAAGGGGGCUAGGGUUUCACAUGUUUGCUUUAUUUUCUUAAAGAAUGGCAGAUUAUAGUGAUUUGAAGGUUUUAUUUUUUUAAAAUAUCAAACGGCGUCUUGUAAAGGAAAGAGGGUUGUGCAUUAUUACCCUAAUGGGUAUUUUACACAGUUAGUCCCUCCAAUUCUGUGACAGAUGCGACGCACUCUUUUAUUUCUUUUAAUUUCGGCCACGUAAUUUCUCGCCUGUUCCAAUCUGGUACCGUGCAAAUCAAUGCGCAUACGGGAUGGGGAAUAUUGCGCAACCGGUCCCCAUGCCCUCAGUGCCUUUUAUUUCAGCUCCUUUACCACCUAUUUCAUAUAUUCGCAGUUUAGGACCUGAUUUUUUAUUCUGUUUCAACCAUGUCCUCGAUAUAUUUAGUUUGUUUUUAAUUUUUUUUAAAAAAAUAGGCUAUUUUAUUAUUAUUUGUUUUAAGUCCUUACAUUUAUUAUUUAAAUUUGUUUUACAUUAAACUCAUCUAUAUUUUUCAUAUAUUUUUGAACUGUUUCUUUUAUCAUUUAUGAUUUUCUUUAUAUAUUAUCUUAUUCUAGAUUGUUUUAGAUUAACUAGUAUUUGUCUCGAGUCUUAUAUUUUAUUUAUUUCAAAUACAUGUGUACAUUUUUAUUUUUAUAAAUACAUACACGUUUAUAUCUUUACAUUCACAUAUAAUAUAUACUUCUUAAAUUUUUACAUAUAUGCAUACAUUUUGUGAAAUAUAUCUGUAUGUAAAUAUUUUAUAUAAACAUGUACUCACUUUCAUAUUUUUACAAUUUGUAUACAUCUCCAUAUAUACCUAUAUACAUUUUAUUUUCAUGAAUAUAAAUAUACGUACCUUUUAUCUAUAUUUAUAUGCAUAUAUUCUUUAUAUUUUAUGAUCUUAAACUAUGCAUACGUCUAUAUAUUUUUGUAAUACACAUACAUACCUAUAUCUUAUAAUUUAUAUAUUUAUUAUAUUUUGUAAUUUUAAAAUAUGUAUAAUAAAAACAUACAUGUUUUAUUUUAUUUUAUUUUUCUUUUACUCGAUGUUUAUUUAUUAAUUUGGCUACAUGUUUAUUAUUAUUUUAAAAGGACAUUUUAAUCCUAUUUGCUUAUUCAUUUGUUAUGAUGCGAUUGAUCCAACUCUUAUUUAUUUAUUUCAUUGUUAAUGUUUGUUUGUAUUGUUUAUCCUUAACUUGCUGCAUUCAUUAUUGUUUCGUCACACAUGUUAACACCAUGCAUCAAAACCUUUUUUCCUAAGUAAGGCAAUAUUUCGCGUUUGGAAAAUUCGAGAAAACGUGCCCUAACGCGCUGGGUUUCGAUUUCUCGUUCGACCAAAUAGCCAAAUAUCCUUUUUAAACUUUCAAUCAAUAUUAUUAGAGUUUUCUUUAAGGAUCGUAUUUUUAAAAUUCUUCAAAGUUUUCAAUCUUCGACACUAAGACACUAAUUAAUCAACUAGGUACCAAUUUUGGGCGCAUCGAGGGUGCUAAUCCUUCCUCGUGCGUAACCGAUUUCCGAACUCGUCUUUCUGAAUUUCGUAGACCAAAAAGUGUUAUUUUAAUAAAUCGAAUCGUUUAUUAAAAAUAGCCAUUUUUCUAAGGUGACCCGAUCACACCUUAUCAAAAAGGAUUGGUGGUGACUCCUGUUUCAUUUUUACUUUUCAAAACCCAAGUCGACCCCGUUUUAUCCAAAAAAAAAUGGUGUCAAUAGCUUGGCGACUCCACUGGGGACUAAUAAGAGAGUCAAGCCACGUGUUGAUUAUUUCUUGUCCUUUUGUUGAAAGUGGAAAAUUCGAUUUAAAUUUACGAUCCUCUCAUUGCAUCUCUUUUGUUUUGAGUUAUAUUUUUUAUCAUGUUCUGUAUUUUAUUUUAUACCUCUGCACAUUGCAUUGCAUGACCGCUGGUCAUACCCUUUUAAGUGGGAGUGAGAAACUACGCCUUCGUGAGGUUUUCACCUCCGCAUGGGAUAGUGAAUCACUUCCGGGAUACAUCCGUACCUAUGUCUUCGUGAGAUUUUCAUCUCCGCAUGGCCAUAGGGAAAUGUAUUCCCCUGAACUGAACUCGGUCCAUAUGAGCCUAUAAUGGGUGAGGAUCGAGGAAUCUGCUGGUUCAGGUACCCUUACUUUAGAACCAAACCACACAUAGCGAGCCAUAAGAACCCACCGAGAUAGAGCUAUUCCAAACCCUAGUGCUUACCGAAUAGAUGCUUUAUUUAUUAUUGUUUACUUUAAAUCCUAGCUCUGAUUUGCUUUGUUUGUGAUUGCAUGGCAUUUUCAUUUCAAAAGAGGUGUCGAUUCACGUUCAGUAUAGAUAGAAAGCUGAUCAUGGAAAAGAGGUUUCUUGAUAAAGUAGAAGACAAUGCAGCUGUAUGAGUGUGGGCUGAGACGAUGUGGAGAGAGAAAGGCGAUAGUCUUGCAGAAGGGUACGUAUCAGAGUUAUGAGACUUCACCCGUAUCAGCGUAAUCCAAAAUGAUCUUCGAGAAAUGAAGGAAAUAUGGGAUCAAUGGGACGAUGGGACCAAGCAGAUGUUUUACUGUGACUACAGGGACUUGCCUUACUUACUUGGUGUCAAAGUGGACAAGCAUUUAUUCCGAGCCCUAGCCCAGUUUUGGAAUCCUGCUUACAGUUGUUUCACUUUUGGAAAAGUGGAUUUGGUGCCCACCGUGGAAGAAUAUACGACCUUGCUUCGGUGUCCAGAGAUUCAAAUUGACAAGGCCUAUUCUAGAGCUGCUAGUGUCCCGACAUUAUUAAAAAAAUUGAUGAGCAUUACAGGGAUGAGCGAACAGUGGGUCGCUGCCCGAAUCCAACAGAAAGGAGACAGUAAAUGCGUUCCUUGGAAAAGCUUGCGAGAUUUAGUAUUAGCACACGCUGAAUAUAUAUUAAAUUAUUUUAUAUGAUGAAAGGUGAGACAAAUUUUAUUCAAAUUAACUAAUCCAAAAAUAUAUAUUAUAUAGCAUUAAAGGAUGUAAUAGUGAAACAUACUCAAACAUAAUAUUAUGUUUUUUUAUAAACAUGCUGUUGUUUAUAUUAAGCACUUUUAAAACAUUUUUUUAUUUUAUUUAUCCAUUAUUUCUUUUGAAAAGAAAGUUUAAUUUUAAUAAUUAUUUUUUAAUUAUUAUUAAUAUAAUUAAAAUUACAAUUAACCCAUGAGACAAUAGAAACUAAAAAAUAAAAAUGUUAGAUUAAGGGUAUUUACCUUUUCCACUGUCUUUUUUUAUAAUUAACUUUAAUGAAAAAUACUCAUCUAAGCGAUAAAAUUGGAGGAAAACUCUUACAUUGAUUGAAAAGGUUUCUCUGUUUCCUCGCGGCAAAAGUCUAAAUUAAGGCCUUCCAAUUCUAAAUCAAAGCCGAGUAAUAGCUUCUCGUAGAUGUCCGAAGUAGACAUGCCGCUGAUAUUGUCAACCAUAAUCGGAACCAGGGCAUCCAUUGUGCAAGAUUCACCGAAAUUUCCAGACGUGGUUUUGCUAUCUAAAAAAUAAAAGUAGGAAGAUAUAGUGGGACAACGGGAGGCAUUAAUAUACGAAGAAGAGUUCAUCGGUUCCGAGCAGUUCACAAGAAACAUGACGCUAGACGGAAUACCCAACAUAUAGGGUACUUUACAGGAGUCAUCAACGCGAAAGGAAUUGCGAGGAAGGGAGCAAUUAUCAUCCUUGCUGAGAUUUGCAUCCAUAGCUUGCAUCGUUUCACAUGAGAUAUUUUGGGAUCCGAGAUUUGGACUGAUAUAGUCGACCGUGCAAAUAUCAUAAGAGAUGUUUUGGACAUAGAAUCUCCCAUACUUCAUGACUAAAUUGGUGUGGUUGUUAUUGUCACACUCCAGUUCGAACCUAUGGUCACCACAGUUGGAAGGUUGGGUUGUUAAUCGAAAAGGGUAGCUGAUGUUAACGUUUCCACACAUUGUAGAGCCGCAAUCCUUGUUUGUGUUUCUACCUAUGCAAGCUUCUGGUAGUAGAAAUAAAGCGAUGACGGCCAUAAGGCCAAACAAUGGCAGUUGGGGUUUUGGUUUUGGCAUGCUGUAAUUUGGGAAGAGACUAAGAAUGAACGAAGGCUAAAACAUUAGCUCUUUUUUUUUGGGAGGGGGGGGGGGGGGGGGAGGAAUAAAUUAAAGCAAGUCCACAUAUUUGAAAACCCAUAUUCAUUUUUUGAUUUUUUUAAAAGACAUUUAUAUUACUUUUAAUUUAAUAUUUAAUAUUUUAAUAUUUUUAUUGAUUAAAAUUAUAAUAUAUAAAAAUAGUUUAUUAUAUUAUAUUAUAAAUACUGAAAAUGGCUUAAUUUUUAUAUUUAUUUGUGAUAUAUUUUUUGAAUUAUGUUAUUUAUUCUUUUAAUAAUAUUAUUUAUAUUUAUAUUGUUUAUUAUUGAUUUAGGGAAUAAUUUGAGAAAAAGACUUUGACUAGUCUUCAGCUUUAUUUGGGAUGAAUAUUUUAUUCUCGAUCAAUUGUUUACACCUAUUUUUUUCUUAUUUUUUUCUGGGAAACACCUCAAUCAAAGCACAUCUGAUUUCAAGAAAGGUAAUGUCACCAAGUUAUUUCUCUAAUGUAUCUGUAUUAUGUUUAAGAGUUUAAUCUUUUCAUUUUAUGGUUGAUUUGAAUAUUUAUUUAAAUUUUACAAUUUAAUACGAUUAAUUUUAUUAUAUUACAAUGAAAAACAAAAGAAAAAGAAGAAUUUAAUAUGGUUCAAAGUUUUUAAAUAAAUCUGGACCAUAUACUUGUAGACAAACCUUUAUCAUUAAUCUAUUCCAACUUCAAUGUGAACGACCAAGACAAUGCAAGUCUCAAGUCCUGUUUGAAACGCAAAAGCAUUCAAGUGGUUGAGAGCAGCGAGCCUGAUCCCUUUUGUCCUUUUGUGUUAUGUAAAUCAAUUGUAGGGCCCUUUUACCCAAAUAACCCAAAAAAAUAUUAUAUUUAUAAAAAUAACCUAGGUUUAAAAACAAUCACUAAAAUAAUCUAAAAUGAACAGUACUCACUCUUUUUUUGCACCAAUGAUUGGCUAAUCAUUGUGUCAGAGUUAAAAAAAUUAUUUUUUUGGGUUCUGGCCUGUCAAUGGCCGGAACCCAUGUAUUUUUUUUAAAAAUUGUGUAAUACUGAAAUACGGAUAUACGAAAAAGAAAAAAACCAAAAAAAAAAUUUUUUUGGGUGCUGGCCUGUCAAUGGCCGGCACCCAGUACACAGUACAAAGGAAAAAAAAAAAUUAUUUUUUCGUAUCAGAAUCAGAUAAAAAAAUACGAAAAAAAUUUAAAAAAAAAUUUUUGGGUGCUGGCCUGUCAAUGGCCGGCACCCAGUACACAGUAGAAAGAAAAAAAAUUAUUUUUUUCGUGUUAGAAUCAGAUAAAAAAAUAUAAAAAAAAUUUUAAAAAAAAAAAUUGGGUGCUGGCCUGUCAAUGGCCGGCACCCAGUACGCAGUACAAAGAAAAAAAAAUUAUUUUUUUUCGUGUCUGAAUCAAAUAAAAAAAUACGAAAAAAAUAAAAAAAAAUUUUUGUACUGUGUACUGGGUGCCGGCCAUUGACAGGCCAGCACCCAAAAAAAAAAAAUUUUUGAUCAUUAUUUUAUGGUUCAAUUUUUUAUAUUUACUCAAAUCUCUGUUUCUAAUAAAUCUCUAAACAUUGAAAGAAUAUAUAGUUUAAUUAAUAACAAAUACGCGUUUUUUAUUUCCAAAAUUAUUGGUUCAAUCGAUUGAUUUAAUUAGAAAUUCAAAUAUUAUUUAUGAUUUUAAUAUAAAAACAAACUUAGUUAGCAGUUUGAUCCAUAAAUAUUGCAAAUUAAAAAUAUAACAUCAUUUUCACUCAAACUUAUUUUUUUUCCAUCAUCACCCAAACUUAAUUGAACACGAAAGAAAUAAUGACAUGUUUGCACAUGAUGUUUAAGGAAGAGUUAGAUACAACAAAAUACAAGAAUGUCAACUUCCCCAACGUGAUCCCCAUGUGAGAACAAAUUCUUCUAAUCCGUCAUGUUAAUUAUUACUUUUAUAUUUUUGUUACACUUUAAAAAACAUUAUUAUAUUCUCUUAUAAUUUUUUUUAAAUUGUAUCCAAAUAGGAAAAACAUUAUUGUUUUAUUAAAUCAAACAUACCAUAAAUGUCUUAAAAGUUAAGAUUUAAGACCAUAAGUACUACUAACAAAUCUAGUAUUAAUUAGAAACGAGUAAAAAUGGUUAACCCUCAUGUCUUUUAUGUACUUAGACAACCCAAAAUCUGAUAAUAUUUUUAUUAAAAAAAUUCAAAAAUAUGCGUUUUAAGGUAUGAGCUCACAUAUUACAUAUACUCUAUUUAAAUUCUGUCUUUAAGCCUAUCAUUAUCCUUUUAUGUGUCUUUAACCUUUUAUCUUGCAAACUUUUAUUCACCUUUAAUAAAAAAAAUCCUUUCAAUCUAUCAUUGUGUUAUAGUGUCUGACAGAAUUACUUAAUUUGGUCAAAUAUAAAUAAAGCAUAUAGCAUGAAAUUACUAAUAUAAAUUUAUGAAGCACGACUAAUGUCACGAAUUAAGUGUGUCGAAACCGUUUUUUGAAAAACAAAAAUUUAGUCGUUGACUUUAAAAAACAAAAUUGGAGUCGCCACCGAUCCUUUAUUAAGGUGUGACCGGCCCACCUUAAAAACUAUUUUGGUCUGCGAAUUUUGAAAACAGGUUCGGGAGUCAGUUACGCACGAGGAAGGGUUAGCACCCUCGUAACGCCCAAAAUCGGUACCAAAUUGAUUAUUUGAUGUCUUUGUGUCGAAAGUUAAAAAGAUUUUAAAAUAAGCUUGAAUGAUGAAAUUUGCAAAAGGAUAACCAAUUGUUUAAGUCAUGUAAAGAAAUCGAGUCCCAAUACGUUAGGGUACAAUUCCUCAAAAUUCCCCAAACUUGAAUAUCACUUUUAUUUUAUACGAAAAUCUUCAUUUCGAGAAAGUAACAUGCCACACCCAAUACGUUAGGGCACAACAAGUUAAGUUCCCAAAAAUGAUUUUUAUGCAUUUUGAAUAAAAAUAUUCUCGGUCAAUUAGGAUUGACAAAGUAAAUCAGAACCCAAUACGUUAGGGCUCAAUUUCCCUCGAAAAUCCCAAACUUCCAAAAAUGCUUUUAUUCAAAAAAAAACCUUUAAAUCAAGAAAAUAACUUUGAUGAAGGGUUAAAACCAAAAUAUAUUUUCAAGAGGGUAUGUUAAAGAGCUAAUAUACAAUAUGAUACAGAUCCUUUAAUUUUCAGCAUACACGAAUAAAUAUUUGCAGAUAUAUAUAUAUACAAAUAUAGUAUACAAGUAAACUAGCAAAUAUGCGUACACAUAUAUUUAAUGCAUACAUAGAAGUGUACAUAUAAAAAGGAAGGUAAAGAAAUAUAUACAACAAGCUCACAAUAGUUUCUAAGAAUAUGCAUGCAAAACACGUGUAUGUAUAUGUGAAAAUUGUGAAGAUCAAAAUAUCAAAAUAUGCAUAUGUAUAUAUUUACAAAGAAAAGUAUAAGUAUAUAGUAAAAAACAAAAUAAAAAUAAAAAACAUAUGUACAUAAAUAAAAAAAUUAAAAUAUAAAAGUUUUAUUUAUAUAUAUGUAAAAGUAAGAAAAUAAAAUAAAAAAUGUAUAAAAUAUAUAGAGGUAUUAUAAAAAAAAGUGCAUAUAUAUAUUAUAUAUAAAAGUCAUGCGUAUGAACAUGUAUUAUAAAAAACAAUGCAUGAAUGUUAUAAAAUAAUAAUAAUUACGUAUAUAACAUAUGCGUAUAAAACAUUUAAAUAUAUAUACAGUAUAUACAUAUUUACAAAAGUAAAAAGGCUUUUGAAAUUAAAAAUAAAAAAAUGUUUGUACGUACAUGAAAAUAAUAAUUACAAUAUUAAUAUUAAUAGUAAUAGUAAAUAAUAAUAAACAAGUAAUAAUACAUUAUAAUAACAACAAAUAAAAAAAUUUAAAUAGUGAAAUAGUUUAAAAAAUGGAUUAAAUUGAAAAAAAGACGAAAAACGGGGAAAUUUUGAAAUAAAUGAAAAAAACCAAUUUGAAUGCGCAGGAAAUAAUGGAGGAUCGAAAGGGAAAUUAUCCCUGCCUUCCCAAAACGCUGCGCAGAUAUGGGCCAGAUUGAAACAAAAAUUAAAUAUGCGGCUCAAUUUAAAAAGAAACAAAGGAGUUCAAUUGAAACACAACGCAAAAAAGGGGGACUAAACACGAAAUUUCCCCAUUCAGGCCAGAACGCGCGGAUCCUCCCCUCCGGUUCGGGUCACUGCACGGGUCUGGCCCCUUCAAAACGGCGUCGUUUGGCUUUUAAUAUAAAAUUAAAAUUUCUUAAAAAAAACCAAUUCUGCUUCAUUUUUUCUUUUCUCAAAACGACAGAGGGAAAAGGGGGAAGGUUGCUCUGCUAGGUUUUCUUAACCUAGCUUCGCGCCGCCGCUUGGCCUGCACCUCCACGCCUCGAUUUCGCUGGAGAAGACACCGGCCUGACAACUCCGGCGACCAGGUAAGUCUCUCCUCCUUUCUUUAUACCUUAAUUGAAAAAAAAAUAAAACAAAAAGGGAAAAAAAAUAGACUCGCCUUCAAAAAUAUCUUUGUCUCAGUAUAUUUUUCUCUCUAUAUUUGUCUCUGUUAAACUGAAAAUUCCCCCCCCAUUACACAAAAUUUGACUCGGUUUUAUAGCCGACCUAGAGAAAUAACAAUAAAAUCAAUAAAAAAUCCCUUGAUUCUCUGUAUUCUGUUGUUAUUUGUUUUUGAGUCUCGUUACAGGUACUGUUGGAGGAGAAUGCGCGCGACGUGCGCGGAGUAAUGUGCGCAACAUGCGGAGGCAACAGACGUGACGUGCGGGGGGCUGUUGCGGCGUGCGUGUAGGAGCUACUGCGGCGCGAGUUUGCUGCAGCGCCUAGGGUUUUUUUGGUUUUAGGCUAAUGGGGCUUGGGUUAAUUUUUAUUGGGCCAUACGGGUUGUAUGUUUAUUUGGGCCCGGGCAUAUUUGGGCUUGUAAAAAAAACUUGGACUGCCUUAUUUUUUGUUUUGUAAGGGCCCGGGCCAAUUGGGCCUGUUACAAAGUGCUAUGUUGAAUUUUGUUGGAAUAUUGUAGGUGUUACACAUUGUUAUAUUGAGUGGUACAAGUAUUUGAGUGCACCACAAGAGUUGUGAUUAUGUUGGUAAUUUUAUCUUAUAAUAAUAAUAAUAAUAAUAAUAAUUUUCUAUUUGAAGAUUUAGUAGUAACAAAUAUAUAGAUUAUAUUUGUAUUAGAAAUUAGAUUAUAUAGAGUGAAUUCUUGAAAUGGAUAAUUUGAAGGACAUUCAACUAAUAAGAAACCUAUGUCGAAUACAUCUCAGUUUGUAGUGGCUCGUGAUGUGAAAAUGUUGAUUCAUAAACAAUGGAAAAUUAAGGUUCAACAAGUUAACAAGGAAGGUAAUAGAGUUGCAGAUGCAUUGACUAAACAAAUUCUUAGUUGGGAGAUAUGUCUUUAUAGUUUUCUACAACCAUUCGUGUCUUGUCUCUUGUUCAUGACAACUUAAUCGAAGAUGACAAAAACAAUAUGACUUUGAUGUAAUGAAUCAAUUUGCUUUAUUUACCAAAAUAAACAUAUCAUUCUUUAUAUGAAGCACAAAAAAAGUUGAUGUAUUUACUGGGUAAAUAAUUUUUAUUGUUUUUAAUGAAUCAAUUUGUUUAUAUAUUUAUUGUUUUAUUUUUUUAUUUAAAAAGUGUAAUAUUUCAACACAUAAAAUUAUGAACAGCCACUCAAAAAGUUAUACUUAUUAAAUAAUUUUAAUUGAUUAAGAAUAUGUACAUUAGAGUCUUAUCCCUUACUAGAUAUAGUUGAAGAGUCAUCUUAUACAUAAAUGAAAGUGGAACUGAAAAUCUAUUUGUAGCUAAAAUGGUCAAUAAUUUCUUACAAUGCUCAAAUUAAAUGUAUUACAACGUAAAUUUAUCUUUUAUUAUAUUUUGAUAUACUAUCAUAAAUGUUUAAAUCUAACCUCACUUAUUUUCUUUUUCAAAUAAUUUUAAAAAAAUUUAAAAUUAUUCAAUUUAUAUAAAAAUUUCAAGUGACAUUAAUUAACACACUAAAACUUAUAUAUUUUGUAUUGACAAUAAUACUAAAAUCAAUCGAGAUGGAUUGUUAAGUUAAAAUAUUGAUUCCAAAAUUUAUAAAUAUUUAAUUAUUCUAAAGUAUAAAAUAAAAUAUUAGCUCCCAAGUCCCAACAUUUUAUCCCACAAAAGUUAAAUAAAAAUAAAAGAGUACGUUUCCCUAAACACUUCUUACAUUUCCCAACCAAAAAUGCAGUUCGUUUAGUUUGCUUCGGUAAUACGGUAGCGUUUUCCUAUGAGGAAAUCAGUCAAACUCCAUCACCAUACUCAAAACGAUUUCUUUAAAUUAAAUAUAAUUACUUAAUAUUUAAUUAAAUUAAAAAGAAAAACAACUCUGAUCAAAUGUAUAUAAGAAGAAAGUUUUGCUUAGUGUAAUCUGACUGUCAUUCAAGAUUUACGCAUUCAUUUCAGACAUAGCAGACCAUUUUGAAAUUCAAGUCUUUGGUUCAGAUUCUUUUUUCUUUCUUUUUUUGAAUAAAAUCUCUAGGAAAGUUCUUUUUUUUUUUUGGUGAAAUAAAAACAUCAGUUACAUACAGCAACCAUUCGUUUUAUCUACUUGUAAUAAAUCUAAAAGAUCCUUAGGAGCCUCAUCAAUAACUUGCAAGCUUGAUUUCCAACUCAAACUGAGUUUAGCAAGACGAUCUGCUACCAAAUUUUGAUUUCUUGGAAUGUGUUUUAUCCUCCACUCCCCUUCUGAAUGCAUAAUACGAAGAGUUCUUCGAAGCAUAGCAAUCCCUGAAUCUUCCAAAUCCAUAUUAGACAAGAUCUGAGCAACUUUAAGAUUAUCUGUCAUAAUAGUGAUUCGUUUAUAGCCCUUAUUAAGUAAAAUGAGGAUCACGUCAAGAAUAGCCCAAAAUUCAGCUUCGAACGAGGAGCACAUGCCAAGGAAUCGGUUAAAACCCACUAUCCAAUUUCCAUCUCGGUCCUGAGCCACUCCUCCUGUUGCAGCAUAGGCAGAAUCUCUUGCUACAGCUCCGUCAAUAAAAACACCCAAUUGUCAGCUGAAUUGAUCAUCAAGGAAGAGCCCUGCUUGCUCUUAAAGUGAUCUCCAAUAUGGUAGGUGUAGUGUCGGCCCCAACAAUAAGAGACUUUCACCACUUCCGUUGCUGUCCAAGAUAUAUGCUGGAAGAUGAAUAGAUUUCUAUUCUUCCAUAUACAAACCAAGCGACUAACCCAAACAGGCAUGACCACAUGAGACCAUAAUCCUGCAAUCUUUCAUGAAAACAAAGGUUAAGAAUAAGCCAAUCCUGAAAAGAAAUGGAAAAAAACCUUUGUUUUAACUGAUCAGGAAUCACAAGCCGCCACACAUCUUGCGCGGAGGGACAAUCUUUGAGAACAUGAACCAAAUCUUCAAUAUCAUGACCACAAAUAGAACAAGAGCUACAAUGAUAGAUUCCCCUUCUAGCUCAUUCUGAAUUUGUAAGAAGUUUUUGAUUGAAAGCAAGCCAAAGGAAGACUCAUACUCUCUGAGGACCUCGAUAUUUCCAAACAAUCUUCCAGUAAUCCUCCUGCGGAUUCCAAGAAUUCUCUUUCAAAUACCAAUAAGCACUACGAACUGAGAAGACACCAGACGCAGACUGAGUCCAAAUAAUCCUAUCCGAACCAGAGUUAGGGUGAGGAGGAGGAAUGCUAACAAUUCUAUUUAUUAUAACUUCAGGCACCCAGACACGAAAUAAAUCCAAAUUCCAGCUACCAUCUGAAUUGACCAUCUCCCUAACACAACAAUCCAAAUCAAGGUUAGCAGAAGGAUGAAUUUUUGAAAUUAAAGGGCCCAUACCUGGAAUCCAAGGAUCUUUCCAACAUCGAGCACUAGCACCGUCUCCAAUAGACCAAGCAAUAUUUUCUCUAAGAAGUGGCCAUAUCUUAGAAAGUGCCCUCCAUAAAAGAGAACAUUGGUUUCUUUUUAUAGAAUCCGGGAAUUGAUCUUUCCAACCAUAUUUGGCACGAAGAACACGGACCCAUAGUGCAUUACUUUUAGAAAUAAGAUUAAAUCCAAUCUUCAUAAGAAAAGAUAAAUUUUGAUCUUCCAAAUGUCUGAAACCAAGGCCUCCUCGAGACCUUGGUUGGAAAAUAGAAUUCCAACCCACCAAAGACAUUUUGGGAUGCCCAUCAGUACUACCCCAAAUAAACUGCCUGACCAAUCUUUCAAUGUCUGCACAAACACCUUUCGGAAUCAUCAAGGACUGCAUGAAAUAAUUAGGAAUAGAAAGAAGAACUGAUUGGGCCAAAGUGAUUCUACCAGCAAUGGAUAAAUUCCUAGCGUCCCAACUCUGUAAUUUCUUCCUCACUUUAUCCACAAUGAAGCUCAAGGUACUUUUUGAAAUCCUUUCGUGUAAAAGAGGAACACCUAAAUAAAUGCCAAGAUUUCGGACUUCCUGAAAUCCAAAAAGUUGGUUAAUUUGAUUACGAACAUUACCUUCUGUGUCUUUGGAAUAGAAAAUGCUACUUUUCCUAACACUUAUUUUGUGACCUGAAAUCACACAAAAUUGAGUUAGAAUAUUAUCCAGGAGACUAGCUUGAUCAAGCUGAGCUUUACAAAAGAUCACUAAAUCAUCCACAAAGAACAAAUGAGAAACUGAAGGACCUGUACAAGAAAGAUGAAUUGGAUCCCAUUUCCUAGAGUCAAUUUCAGUCCAAAUAAAAUGUCCUAACCAUUCCAUGCAAAGCACAAAGAGAUAAGGCGAUAAAGGACAACCUUGACGAAUACCUCUCUUAGGUAUGAACUUUUGAGUAGGUGUCACAUUCCAUAGAAUUUGCAUAGAAGAGGAAGAAAUAGCGGACAUGAUUACAUUCCUUAAGAAGACAGGAAUUCCAGCAUCAACCAAAGAAGCUCUUAUAAAGUCCCAACUAACUCUGUCGUAAGGUUUCUCCAAACCUAACUUAAUAGCCAUCCACUUUCUUACUUUCCUAUUACAACGCAUAAAAUGAAUGAUCUCUUGAGCUAAGAUAAUAUUAUCAAAAAUGUUACACCCAGCUAUGAACCCAGCUUGUUCUUGGGAUAUAAGCUUAGGAAAUAUAACUUUGAACCGAUUCGCAAUUAUUUUCAUUACCAACUUGUAGAGAACAGAACAAAGACUAAUAGGCCUAAAGUGGCUAAAGUCCUCAGGGUUCUCUUUUUUAGGAAUUAACACAAUCAGCGUAUUGUUCAAUUCAGCUUCAAUCGGACGUCCAUCAAAAAUAUCUUUGACCCACUGACAAACAUCAUUCCCAAGAAUAUCCCAUUGGCUUUGGAAAAAGUGAGCAUGGAAGCCAUCACUUCCAAGAGCUUUCAAAGGAGCCAUAUCAAACAAAGCCCUUUUAAUCUCCUCAUUAGAAAUAGGAGUCUCUAGGAAAGUAAUCUUAGAAGAGUUAAAGCGAGGAAAACCAAUAUUUGGAAUAUCCCUCGAUGUAGAAGAAAUCUCUCCAAAAAGUCCUUCAAAGAAUUCCACCGCCUUAGCCUGCAGAAUAUCUUGAUUAGUACACCAAUCCCCAUUAUCAACGCGUAAGGUUAUGAUAUGAUUGAAUUUCCUUCUCCUCAUCGUGCGACUAUGAAAAAACUUUGUAUUUCGGUCCCCCAAUUGAAGCCAAUCACAGUGAGCCUUUUGUCUCCAAAGUAAAUCUUCAUGAUCAAGCACAUUUUCCAGCUCAUCCCGAAUUUCCAAUUCUUUUCCAGCUAAAUACGUAGAGGAAGAAUGGUCCAUGGUUUUUUGGAUAUUAUUAAGAGAUCUCAUAAGAUUUCUCUUACGAGUACCCAUAAAACCAUAAAUAUUCUUGUUCCAAUCUUUAGCAAAAAAAGUGAAGUUAUUCAAAGAUUCAAACAUAUUACCUGCAAAAUUCCACUUUUCUUUAACAAGGUUAGAGAAAUUACGAUGUUUCGUCCAUCCCGCUAAAAACCUGAACGGUCUGCUUUGAGAAAUGUUAAGGUCGGAUGCAGUAGAUAACAAGAGGGGCCUAUGAUCUGACUUGAUACGAGUAAGAUGAUGGACAGAGAAUUGAGGAAAAGCAGACACCCAAGCAUCAUUAGCUAAGGCCCGAUCAAGUCUAACAAAGGUACCACCUCUUUGCCAAGUGAAAGCAGGUCCAUUAAACCCCAAAUCCUGCAACUCACAAGAUUCAACAAAAUUACCAAAUAAAUCACAGUGUUUACCAAUAGAGAUAGGACUCUUUUUAUCAAAAGAAGAUAAGAUAGCAUUGAAAUCUCCCAUAAUUAACCAAGGAGAAGAAAGAUUAGAAUUAGUUGAUUUUAAGUCAUCUCAAAGAAGCUUUCUUUUAGACCUAUCCGGACUGCCAUAAACAAAAGAAAUAAAAAAGAUUUAUUAGGAAUAAUAUUAUUAACACGUAAGAAAAUAAAUUGCAGAUGAUUUCGAACAAUAUGAAUUUGGAUAAAAUCUUUCCAACCAAUCCAUAUGCCACCUGAAAAACCAAUAGCUUCAACCCGAUGUGAAUAGUUAAACCCCAAUUUUUCAAUAAUAAGAUUAGCCUUAAUACCACUCACUCUCGGUUCCACCAAACAAACAAUAUCAGGCCUGUGCUCUGCAUUGUAUUCUUGAAAGGCUCGUAAAAACUUCCUGCUAGCACACCCUUGACAAUUCCAUGUAAAAUUUUUUAAAUUUAAAGGCAUAAUAAAAUAUAAAAAUAAAGAAAAUAAAGUAAAAUGAACCAAAACCCCAAUAUCAAAUUAUCAAAAUAAAACAAAACCUAUAAGGACUAAAAGAACAUCCUUACUGUCCAGGAGCAUUAGCUCCCUCUAUCUGCACAACAGAAUCCCCUCUAUUUACAACCCCAAGGUUAGGAGAUGCAAAGGUCGAGAUGCUCUCGGCUAGAUGUUCCAUCGACUCCUUCAAAGAUGUUCACUGGGAACCUGAAAUUUUGAAGCGAGUAUUGCUGCCAUGAAGGAUCUUAGACUGUUUUUUAGCUUGACCUCUUCCUCUGUUUUUAAGAGCUUUACCCGAACCGGAGGAUAGUACCAGAGAAGAAACAAAAUUUUUAGGUGAAUGGACAUUGUUAUUUUCCUUGCUUUGAAGGCUUUUAUGAAAUACCACCGCCGAGUGUCGACCAGAAUCUAGAUUACCAACAUCUAGAGAAACAGCAAAACUAUCUAAUUUUUAGAACUUUCUCCUUCAGGCCUGAACCCCACUCCGUCGCCCGGGAUUGUUUGUAUUUCAGCUGCAGCAAAAGACCGACUGCCGCUUCCAUCAGUAGUAAAGAGUUGCUGGGCUUCCAGUUCCAGAGUAGGUGAGCCCAAAGCUCCUCGGGCCUGACCCGCAGAUAAGUCCCCAUUGCCCAAACUGCUAACAGACUUAUCUAUAUUGCGAGAAUUUUCCUUCAGAACAGAAUUGGAUUUGUUGGGCUCCGAAAUUGGCCUGCCAUUAACUUUAGAGUUGGGUCCACCAAUCUCCUUCAAACCCACCUCCUUUGAAUUAUUUUUACUGUUUUUUCUCCACUCUAUUCGGCCAUUAAAGAAGGCAGUAGAAUCUUUACCCAUAGAAAUAUCUUGUGAAAUCUCUUUACGUUUGUCACGCUUGGAAUCCAGCAAAAAACCUUCAUCAUCCUUUUUGUACGAAUCUUUAUCAUUAAGGACUCUAAAACGAGAUCCUUCUUUUCCACUCUGUAGGCUAUUGAAGGAAUUAUUCACGUUUUCUCUAAUUUUCCUCCUUGAUUUCUUUUCAACGAUCAUCCAAGGACCGAAAUUCCCGUUUUCCUUCUCCACGCCAACCUUGUUCGUGUUCUGAAACUCCGAUGACAAUUCCGAUGGAGCAUUCUCCUUUUCACUAAGGCUUUUAGAGAUUUUAAAAGGGCAAGAAUUCUCCACAUGCCCAAAUCUCCCACAGUGAAAACAAAUUGUAGAUAAAGAUUCAUAUUCAACAUUCUGCUUUCGGCCGUUGAUCAAAAUAUAGGAUACCAACGGCUUUUCCAGGUCAACAUAAACAGCCAAUCUAGCAAAACGUCCCCUAGUCCUAUUAUCCGUGUUCAUAUCCAAUAUAACCACUUUUCCAGCCGUUUCCCCUAUCUCAGUGAUGAUCUUAUGAUUGUAUAAAUACCCAGGUAACCAGGGAAUCUAAUCCAUGCCAUCACAACAUUAGGGUAAGCUUGUGUGGGAUCAAAGGUUGGACUGUCAAGUAUUGACCAAAGAUGAUCCAAGGACCUUCAGAAAGCGCCUUUUCACAGUCCAACUUAUUCUGAAAUUUAACCAAGAAAUAUCCAUUUUCUAUGUCCAUCAUAUGUAACGCCGCUGAAGGUUUCCACAGAUUAUACAGUUUAUUCUGUAAAACCGAAAAACCAAUAUUACGACCAAGAAGCUUUAAAAUCACUGUGUUAUCCAUACCUUGAAUAAAGAUUUUGUGAAUCCUAUCCGAGAAGGAAAUAGAGGGUACGCCAUUCACAAAAGAUUUUUGAAUAUCCCCUUCCAAAAUAUCUAGAUCAUCUUUUCCUUCCAAAUCAUUGAAAGUCUCCUUUGACGAUUGGCCAACAAGCAUGUCCUUCCACGAGAUAGGUUUUUCCGGGGACGAGUCGAUCAUCAUAAUAUUAUUUGUAUCAACAUCUUCGCCUCUGAAACGAACUUUCUUAGGAAUCAACUCCUCAGAAAUAGAUUUUUCAAAGUCAAAAUUUUCACAGAGAGAACUCGUUCUUUUUUUUGUCCCCUCUUUUUUUUUUUUAAUUCCUUAACGAUAGUGAUUUCGGUUAUGGAGAAAAGGAGUGAAAAGUUGUGAUUUAUGUUGAAGUGGGCUUUUUUUUUCCUCUUUUACUAGUUUUAGAAAUGGGUUUGAUGGAGAUUUCAAUAAUGCUCCAUGUUGGAUUAGUUUUGUUCCUGCUUUGGACGCUUUCUCAAUUCAAACUUUGCCAUCCGGUUGCUUAUUUCGUGUCUCUCAUCUACCUCUAUUUGGUAAUUCAUUCAUCUUCUUCUAAGAAUAAAAAUGAAUCUUUUUUUCUUUAUUUUUGAACUUGGAUUGAACUUUUUUUUUAUUGCUUUGUUACAAAAAUUCCUUUUAUUUCUUUGUUCAUCAAAGGUUCAUGAAAUGUAUGUGACGAGAUUGAGGAAGAAAUUGGAGUUCGAGGAAAAGCGGCAACAAUUUAGGAGAAGGGUGAUUCUCCAAAUUUUAUUUUUUUCUUCUUUUUUUGCUUUACUUUUUAAGUUCUUAAAAAAUAUUGAUUUAUGCUGAUUGUUAUUGUAUUAUUUAUCAAUCAUUUUGGAUGUAUUUUUCCUUCUGGGUAAUUCUAAUUCUGAUACUUAGGGCACGUUUGGUUCGCUCUAAUAGAAUAGAGUUGUAAUUGAAUAGAGUUAUAAUGGAAUAGAAGCGUAAUAGUAAUUUAAUUGUUUGGUUGAAUGGAAUGGAAUAGAACUGUAAUAGCAUUCUUGUCUCUGGUUGAAUAGAAUAAUGUUGUAAUAGCAUAAGAAAAAAACUAAAAUGAGUAGAAUACCCUUAGCAGAAUUGUUUUAGUAAGAUGAUUAUUGUUAUUGUUAUUAAACUUUAAUAUAAAUAAUAAAUAAUAAAUAAUUUAAUCAUAUUUUAACAAAACUAUUAGUAAAUAUAAUUUAAUAAAAAUCUAUAAUUUAAUAAAAUUCUUAAUAAAAUUAUUCUUAUAUGAAUUUACUAAAAUCAUAAUAUAUAAUAAUAUAAAAUAUAAUUUAAAAUAAUUAUUAUUAAAUAUAAUUUAAUAAAAAUAUAUAAUUUAAUAAAAUUCUUAAUAUAAUUAUCCUUAUAUGAAUUUACUAAAAUCAUAAUAUAUAAUACUAUAAAAAUAAUAUAUAAUCUACUUUAUUAUUUUUAAACUAUAAUACAUAUUUAAUGUGCUAAAACAUCAUUAGUGAAAUAAAUAAUUUAAUUAUUUUACAAUAAAAAAUAUGAACAGUAAUAAAUAACUUAAGAAUUAUAUGCAAGGAGGAUGAUACAUGAAAAAAUUAAAGUACAAUUCAUCCGUAAUGAGUGUUUUAUUUUACAAAAGAUAAUGAUUAAAGAAAAUUCGUAAUUCAUUUUAUAACCAUUAAUGGCUUUUCUGUGUUUAAUAAAUUGAAAUUGACGAGAAAAAAAUGGAUCGGAGAGGGAAAAUAUCCUACAAUUGUCAAGGUGAUAAGGUAUUUUAAGAUUAUAAAAUACCUUAAGUUGGAUAAUAGCUCAAGGUUUCUUCUUCGGUACAAGUUAAACAACCAAUAGACGGAUCAAAUUGAAUGACUUAAUACAAACCUGAGCUAAAUUAUUUAAUUCAAACCAUAAUUUUAGUUGACUAGAAUGCAAUAAUUAAAUAACUUGAAUUAUUUAAUUUCACGAAAACAUAAAAAAUAAAAUUUAAGACAAUUUUCCCGUACAACAAAUCAUGUAAAAGGAGAUGAUCGACUCAUAAGCUCUAAAUAUUAUUCCCUAUAAAAUUUAGGACUCACAACCAACAGGUGUCUGUACCAUUUAAGAGGCAGUAAUUAUAUUUCAUUUAAGCUCUCUCCAAUCAGCACAUAAAAUAGGCUAGAAUACAUGCAAAUAAAAGUUUGAACAAGUCAUUUUUCAUCUAUUUUGAUUCGGGUACAAUCUUUUUAAAAUAAUUGAAAUAGUCAUAUUUUCAAAUUAUACUGGGAUAAAUAAGAACUUAAAAUAAUCCAAUCCACUAAUUUUAAACGCGGAACGAUAUUCAUUGACUGGAGUUCCUGAAAAAAUGACAUGAAAGGGGAAAGAUGUUGGGUAACAGGGGAAAAAAAAGCAAUGAAUGCAUAAGAAAAGAAAAAUAGUACAGACGUCAAAAAAAGACAAUGGAAUUGAAAAGUAUUCUUAUUAAAUGUGACAUGACUUUAGAAACAAUAUUAACCUCCUCUAUCUCCUUUAACAUGUUUUUAUUCAGAAACCAAAUUGAAUGACAACCAAUAUCUGUAUUUGUAUCACUGUUGGACAUAACUAACACAACCCUUCAACAAGCAAACAAAAGUACAUAGCUUCAUCUCAUAUGAAAUUCUUCACUUUUCUUUAAAUACCACAAAAGAUCAUGAAAAAAACAUUCAAAGAGUUGAACGUACCCGUAUCUGACUUAAUCAAACUCCAAGUAACAUAGAUGAAAUGCAUGCCUUUCGACUACAUGUGUUCAGGAGUGGUACUAACAAGUGCCAUAUGCAUCGACAAGCAUUAUAGAACAAAUGCCCUUUAAUUUCAGUAAGCAUUCUACUUUUUUUUUUUUCAAGAAAAAAAACCCCAUAUUUUAUUUGAGUAGGUCAGAGUGCGGCGUGAUACUUUCAAACAUGUCAUUUGUAUAACAAAAAUGUUUGCCAAAGUCUACCUGGAUUAAAAGCUUGCAUGCGUAUGGUAGUUUCAUGCUAGAAACAUUUUCUCCAAUUUUACAUGAAAAACAAAACCCAAUUUUCAGCUUAUGGCUGUAGUAUCCUAUCAAACCACAUUUUCGGCAAACCUGUGUCAAAAGAUGGUUAUUAUGAGAUUGAAGCUGAUUCCAAUCAAGCAGUAAAAGUGUAAAAAGAAAGCACCAUAACAAAGAUAUUACAUCCGAGCCAUUGCAAAGUACAAAUUGAACAUAUAACCGUAAACCAAAUUAACUCUGGACAGGCCAAAAUAAAUCUGACAGAGACCACACAUGAUUUACAUAAGGUGAAACUCAACCCGGACCCUCACCCUUUCGCAGCUGUGCCAACGCCUCAUUGGCCCCAUCACCGGAAAAUUAUAAAUAAAAAAUAUUCAAGCUUAAUAAUUAAACCAAUGUCAAGAAAUAUGAAAAUAACAGCUAUUUGUGAACUACAACGAUUAAUAUGAGCAACAUCAACGAGAAUUUUACUCUGGGUUUUCCAGACUAGAAAAAGCAAGAGACUUUUGCAACCUCUGGUCUUUAAGAGACUAGAUAGAAUUCAAGUACGCACAAAGGCAAACUUUUGAGUAGUUAUAUCCGGAAGUGGUUUGAUGCUGGAUUUAACUUCUUAAGUGAAUUACGUGUGGAAAAUAUUACAAUAUAUGCUAAGUACCUUAAGCAUUAUUUUUGCUGCUAUUUCUCAAUCAGUAAAACAUAACAUUCCAAUCCAAUGCUCCAUAAUUCAAAACAAAUCAUGAACAGCACAUGCACGUAGAAUCCAAUAACAUAAUUCACAUCCACCAAAACCAUAAUCAAAUACCUGGACAUCAUAUGGAUCGCUGGAUAGCAUCAUUACAGCUUUUCUGUAAUGUUAUUACAGCCAACCAAACGCCCGUUUGGUUCACAAAAUCUAAACAGAGAAAUGUUAUUCCGAAAUCUUACAUUACACUUGAGAAUGUGAAAUUACUUGAACCAAAAGCACUUAAUAUUUAGAGGCUACCUGUUAACCAUUUGAUUGCUAAUCUUUAAAAGCUAUUUGAACAAGAAGGAAAUAUUAAAAGUGCCACAAAAUUGCUGCCACUCUUGCUACACAUUUGACUUCUUCACCAUUAACAAUCGACGUUUUCAAUAGUAAACGAACAAGACAGUAGCGAAUACAAAGGUCCUAUUACUUAAAUUCUGGCUAUAAAUAUUGCCGAAAAGGAAAAAAACCUUGGAGUGUUGCUGGAAGAGUUGCCUCCUGUACCAAGGUGAUCUUCUCGUAUCCAAGAUCCUUUACUCCAUUCAGUAAUAUAGAUGAAAGUGAAAGUCGAUCAAAUCUGCAAGCGUAGCAAGGAAAAGAAACCAGACACUUAUAAAAAUCCUAGAUAAUAAGAAUCAUGUCUCAGAAAACUGAUAAUUAAAAAAAAAAGGCCUUGUUUCACUCAAAAAAGACUCGAAUUUCUCUGGUGAACCUCUUGGAUUCUCUGUCUCCGGUCCCGGUGUGGAACUAGCAUUCGUAUUUCCAGAAUCGAAACCAGUCUUAAUUCUUUUUCCGUCCAACGAAUACAAAUUAGCAGAGGGGUCCCCAGUUCCAUCAUGUUCGACUCAAGACUCACUCUUUCUUUUCCUCUUCGAUGAACCCAUAUCUCCCUCUCUACCUCUACUCCUAUUUCUAUUUCGUGCUCUAUCCGCAGCUAAUCCUCGUCUUCGCUAGUAAGUCAGUCAAGGAACAAGCGGUUCCCAACUCGCGAACCCAGUCACUGAAUUGGACUAGUCCUCGACAACGACCUUCGAGGCUCGGAUAUCUUCUCUAUUUUCAGUGGCCUACGGGCAGUCAGAGGCUCCGAUUACUGAUGUCCCGCAAUAAAGGCUGUAAGCCGAAAACUUGAGUGCGAGCAUUUUUCGUUGUUGAUAAAAUGGAGAAAAGAAAAGAAAUGUGAGAAGAAAAGAAACGUACGAGAAGAAGAAGCAGAAACGAUGGAAGGGAAAAAAAUUACCUUGCAAUUCUUCUAGAAACGUCGGAGAGGAUGAGGGCAGAAAACAGAAGAGAAAAUUCGGAAUUGGGGGGAAUCCCUAAUCGGCGCUUAAACAUCAGAAUGGCUAUUACAGCCAAUUUGGAUAAUAGGGGCGGAAACAAAAAAAGAAACUUCAUAGAAGUCGAAAUAUGAAGAAAUAUAUAUGCCUAGAUACUUUAUUCUAUGGAUAAAGAUCUAAUUGAUAGAGGAAGUGCCGUAAAGAUCAAUUAGCGAAGUUUUGAGCAGAUACAAUAAAUAAGAACUGCUUAUUUAUGUCAUGAUAAGAGAUAAAAAUUAGAAAUCGACUUAUGUAAUAGAGCCGAUCCCCUAAGUUAUUAAAUAGCGGUGUAACAUCAGAUCCCAAAUACAGUAAGUCUUUUUUAUGAGGAAGAAGUUUUUUUCAAGGAUUCUAUAUAAAUUUCUAUAUGAAACCGAGAUAGUUACCUUUCAGGUAAUAACAUUACACCCAACUAAACACCCGUUUGAUGGUGGGUCCGGGGAAUUGGGUGGAAUGCAUACCGAUUCCCCCAACCAAACAUGCCGACUGUACCAGAUCAUUUUUCUUCUUUAAUGGAUGUUUUAGCUUUCUUUAUUUGGUUCAAAUGGUUACUUUUUUUGCGGUCAAUUUUAGUCUUGGAUGUUGAGAAAAAAUGUUUAGAAUUAACCUUUUUAUGAAAACAAGAAAAAGCAUAUGAUUUGCAGCUUUUUAUGUUGUUUUAUUUUCUUUGUGUAGUAUACAUAGGCAGAUUGAAGUUUUAGAAUCUUAAUUUUAAAUUCUGAUCUUGUAAAGUCUGUCCCUUUAAUGCUUUGUUGGCCUUUUUCAUUAGGUACUUUCGGAUUCCAAAUCUGUUCGGUGGCUAAGGCUUAGUUUGAAUGGGCGGUGUGUUUAGCUCUGGUGAGGUUAAAAACAGCGGUGGCGGUGAAAUUGGGUACUGUAGCGGUGAGAUUGGGUACUGUAGCAGUGAGAUUAGAAACAGCGGUGGAGUGUGUGUUUGGAUUCAAACGCAGCUAUAACAGUGAGGUGAAAAUAGAAAAUGACUUUUAAAGAUAUUUGAUUAAAAAUGAUAUAUAAUAGAAGUUUUUAAAAUUAUUUAACAAUUACAAAAUUAAUAAAUGAUUAAAAAUUAUUACAAUUAUAUUUAUUUUUAAUAAUAAAUAAUUAAAAAUGAAUUAAAACUAGAGAAAAAUUCAAAAAUUUAUUUUAUUUAAUAUUUCAAAAUUAAUCAUAUAUUUAAUUAUAGGGGCUCAAUUCAUUAUUGAAAGAUUAUUGAAAUUAUUGAGCCUUUAGAAAAAUAAAACAUUAUUGAAAGAUAAAAUAAUAAAACAACACUAAAAUAAGGGUCUUAAUGCAUGUUAUUUCAAAUGUUUGUCAUUAGUAACUCAAUGCAAGACAUUGCUAGCACCAAAUAACUUUAAAACUAAAAUCAACCGUUGGCUAGUAACUGAAAUAGCCUAUGGCCACCAUGUAGAAUGUGCAAUGUCGAGCAUUGAGCUGGUCAUCAAUGCUAAAGGGAAGAGUUAAAAAUCACAUCUGAUGGGGUUUUGACAACAGAGGAAGAAAACAGAAGCAAGUAACUCGGAUGAUGUAAAGAUUAACUUCAUUACUUGAAUAAGCAAUAUGCCAUAUACAUAAGUAGUCCGGAUUACAUGUGUUGGUUUUUUUAGCAGAAAACUAAGGAGAAAAAAAAAACGAAUGCAAAGAAGUUUGAACAAUAAGAAAACUGAAUUUGAUUUCCAAAAAUCAGAUCUUUUUCAUUGACUUGAGAAGCAUUUAUGUUACAAUGAAACAUGGCAGUUAACUAAUGUAUAACUGCUCCCACUAAUACAUGACUAAAGCCUAGAUAGAAUUACAAACAAAAUGUAGCUGACAUACCAGCUAUAACAUCAAACAUAAAUCCAACCCUAUCAAAAUGUAUUAUAACAAGAGAUAGAUGUCUAAGGUGUCAUGCUACUAAAGACAUCUAAAAUUGAACGUCCAAGUAAAGAAGCACAAAUCUAUGAAUGUUUAUUUAGGUACAAAAAAAUUCCUGAAAAAUGCAGGCACAAAAGAUGAAAAGAUAUUAUCUUUGCAUACUGCAUGCCAAACUAGUUUAAAACCUUCUGUCCAAAAAUACUAAACCUUUUAAGGAAGCAGUUUUCAACUGAUCUUAACAAUGGAAAUUGAGUUGUAGCAAAGUAAGGUCAUAAUAAAUGGUUGCUAACAUGAAAGCAAAAAUAACCAUGAAGAAAUAAAUCUAUCAAGUGAACCUCCUCAAUUGCCGAGGUAUGUUCCUCUAGGCGCAAAUCAUGUACUUUUGGAAGAGCACUAGCUGCACAUUUUCUAACAUAGACAGAUGGAUCUCUAGCACACUUGCCCACAGCCACCAGAACAAGAGGCGCAAUAACAUGAAGACGAAUUCCAGCCAUGGUGCGAAGUGCCCAUGCUCUCACCAAGGGAUUAGGGUCCACCAAAUCCUCCUGGAAACAAUUAAUUGACAAUAAUGCUUCGUUGGGACGCCUACAAAAUUAAACACAGAAACAUUAACAAUAAGUUCAAUCUACCUGCUUAAAUACAAGAAAUACAAUCCAGGUCACUCGUCACCUCUCCUUUGAGCCACUAUUAUUUUAAACUAAUGAGUUUCCACCAUCUCAAGCACUGCUUUUAUUAAGAAAAAGAACAAUUCUUCAAAAUGAAUUGUAAUUAAUUAAACUUGAAAAGUGCUUAAAAACAAUGAUCUAAUAACUACUCUUAUCUAAUAACUAGUUAAACUUGAUACCGUUUCUAUCCGGUGCAAUUAGAGAUAGAUUUCAAGCAAACAUGUUCUUUGUUCAUACUAAUAAUUCCCUCAUUUACUAAUAUUGCUUCUUAACAUAUGGAAGCAACCAUUGGAAAAUAAAAAGAAUAUUGUAAGAGAAGUUUGCGAAACAUACUUUUCAGCAUAAUGCAGUAGAUACAAAUAAACAAGUUUCUUUACUUCCAAAGAUUGAGAUGCCACGUUUUUAACAACCUGUAAUUCAAGCAACCAGAGAGAUGAAAAACAUAUAUACACCUCAAUUAACAAACAAAUAUAAUAUUUAAAAGUAUCCAUUACCAAACCCUGAUUUCAUAUCAUGAAUGUAAUUAUGAACAGCUAUCUGUAUUUUAUCCACAGUCCUAGACCCGAUUCAACCAUUUCUUCACUAAACAGAGUACAUCUAUCAAUAAAGAUCCAAUGAAUUAUAACUACAACACUCGAUAGCUUAAUUUUCUUUCUCAAUUAUCCUGUGAUAAGUUCACUACACCUAUUAAACAAUGAUAUUUAAACUUUUAGACACUUAAAUUUAUUUACACUUUCCAGAAACCUUAUCAGCUGUCAAAACGGUGCUCUGAAUGAAAUUACAAAAUCCAGAUCACUUCAAUAUUAAAUUUUAAGUAAUUUUUUCAGAGUUCAUUCAAUAAAAAGAAACCAAAAAUGAAAAACAAAUUACCUGAGGGAAGUAAUUGGAGACGUCGAAGCCUUGAGCGAUGAGAGCGAGGAGUCACUUGAGAGCCUCACACUUCUCCGAAUCGAAUUUACUAUCUAAAAGCGGAGCUAUGCUGACAUCAUCCGGAUCGUCGUAGAGGUGAGCAUCGGUUCCGAUCCGGAACACCAUCGUCGACGCCUUGCUCAACGUCUCCGCCGUCGCUCCGAACUGUGGAAACAUUUCCGAUUAGUUUUUCCUUUUUCUUCUUUACACAAAUUAAGAAUUCAUCAAAAUUGAAUUUGAAAAAUUAAUUUCAAGGGGGAAAUUGAGAAGACUUUGUGAUCUCUUGAUGUACUAAUGGAAGCAUUCAUGGUAGAUUUGCCUGAGAAAGAGAGAAAGAGAGGAAACAAAACAGAAUAUGCUGAGAAGAGAAGAUGAAGAACGGAAGAAGAAAAAGGAAUAAAGAACGGAAGAAGGAGAAGGAGCCUUACCUGGAUGAAGGAGGAACCGGAAGAAGUCCUUGACCAAACUGAUUUGCAACCCAAGGGGAAGGGGAAAGGGAAGGGGAAGGGGAAAGGGGAGAAGCAGGUAACUAAACAUCAGAAAAGCCUGAAGAAUGCAACUGAAGAAUAUAUGGGUAAAAGAGGAAAACAAAAAGUAAUUGAAGUUGCUUAAUUUUUACUGGAACAAAAGGCUCCAGUCUGGAUUUGAGACUCCGGCAAGGUGAAAUGCAUUUUCAACGCACUAAACAAAGCUUUCCAAACAGCCUUGCGUUUACUAAUAUUUCAGUUGUAAUUUUUUUUAGCGUUAAAAAACUAACGUACUGAGAUGCAGUUGCAUCCAAAGGGAGCCUAAACCAUGCUGUUGAAAAAAUAUGGCCUAUUUGUAUGAAACAGAUUGCAUCACAGAAGAUUCUGCUUCCCAUCAUACCUUGGUUCUUGGCUAAGUACAAACCUUGGACUGCUGUAUGAAUUUUGCUUCUCUUGGCUAUCUCUGGAAAAUUAGUACAUAAAGAUUCUGAUUUAGUUAAAUGUUCAAUUUAGUGCAAGAAUUAUGAGCAAUUUGUACUUUUUCAAGACUUGCAUUAGCUCCUAUGAAGUUACUUUCAAUGACCAUCAGAUGAUUAUUUUUUGAUCCAUUUUGGGUGUGCUUAAAAACUUAAUAUUUUAAUUUUUCCUUAAUUUUGUCUGUUGACACCAUUUUUUGGAUGAAAACGGGGUCGACUUGGGUUUUGACGAAAACGAAAAAAACGGGAGUCGCCACCGAUCUUUUUGAUGAGGCGUGAUCGGGUCACCUUGAAAAAUGGUUGUUUUUAAUAAACAAUUUAAUUUUAUUAAAAACAACGAGUUUGGUCCACGAAAUUCAGAAAAUGGGUCCGGGAGUCAGUUACGUACGAGGAAGGAUUAGCACCCUCGUAGCACCCAAAAAUUGGUACCUAGUUGAUUAGUUAAUGUCUUAAUGUCGAAAAACUGAGAACUUUAAAGAAAUUUAAAAAUACAAUCCUUAUUUUGAAAUAAAAUUUAUAAAAAUCGAGCUGCUUAUUAAGACUUUUUCGUUUCAGAAAGAGAAAAUGUCAUACCCAAUACGUUAGGGUACGAUAUCUUACCUUUUCAGAAAUGAGCAAGUCUAAACUCGCAUAGAAAAGUUUAAAAGAGUGUUUAAUUGUUUAAGUCAUAUGAAAAAAUUGCAACCCAAUACGUUAGGGUACAAUUUCUUCAACUAUUAAACAUUGAAUAUUGCAUUUAUUUUGAAAAAUCCUCGUCUCGAGAAAUCGAUGUAUCAUGUCCAAUACAUUAGGACACGACGUAUUGAAUUCUCGUUAAAGAGUUUUCGUUUAUGUCUUUUUUAUAAAAAAAGGUAAUCUCGAUUAUUUAGAUUCAAUAAAGAAAAUCGAAACCCAAUACGUUAGGGCUCGAUUCUCUCGAAGAUCCCAAAUACCGAGUGUUGUUUUUAUUUUUGAAUUUUCCGUUUUUUUUUAUAAAUAAAUAAGAUGGCAAACAUAUAAUAAAAAGAAAUCAAUAAAUAAAAGUAAAUGAACAAAUAAAAAUUAAAGCACCUAAGCAAAUAAUAAUAAGCAUGUAGAUAAAUAAAUUAAUUAACACCAAAUGAAACAAUAGUAAUGGAUAACAUUAUAGUAUAUAUAUAUAUAUGUAUGUGUAUGUGUGUGUAUUAGAAUUAUAAAGCAUAAAAAUAUACGUAUGUGCAUAUAAGAAUAUGUAAGCAUGUAUUUGUGAAAAUUAAAAAUAUGCAUAUAUAAGAUUAUUAAACAUAUAUAUAUGAAAAUUAGAACGUAUAUAGGACAUACAUAAUAUAUUAUAUAAAAUAUAGUAUAUAUUAGGGAAAUAUAUAAAUACAUAAAUAUGUACAUGAAUAAUAACAAAGGGAUAAAUGUACACUUGUAUAUAUAUAUAUAUCCUAAAACAUGUACGUAUAUAUUAAGAUAAUAAAAAUACAUGCAUAUAUAUAGAUUGUAAGAUAGAUAUGUAUAUAAAAAUGAGUAUUUGUAUUAAAUAAGUUAAAAAAAGAAGAUAUAUAUAUACGCAUAUAUAUAAACAAUUAUAUAAUAAAAAUAAUAUAAUAAAACAUAUAUAUCUAAGACUUUCAUAAGAAAAUAGAAAUAAAAAAAACAUAACAAUAAUAUCAAUAAUAUUAAUAAAUAUACUAAUAACAAUAAUAAUAAUAAUAAUAAAAUUGCUAAAUAUGGACUUAAUCGAAAUAAAAACGAAAGUACUGGGCGAAAUCGAAAUAAAAAAACAAAUAAGGAUUAAAUUGUAACUCGCGCCAAACAGAGAGGGACCAAAACAGUAAAUAGACGGAGUUCUAAAAACGCGGCGUUGCAUUGGACUAAAUUGAAACAAAAAUAAAAUUGUAGGGCUAGAUUGAAAAUAAAAGAAAAUAGCAAAAGGGGGCUUGAUUGAAACGCGCUGCAGAGUCGAAGGUCUGCGCGCGCAAUUAUACCCUUUAAAGAAAACACGCGAAUCCUCCCCCUGGGUCGGGUCACCGCGCGGGUCAAGGCCAAAACGGCGUCGUUUUGGCACCUGACCCCUAAGGGCAAAACGGCGUCGUUUUAAAAGGGCUAUUUAAGCCCAAAAAUUUUCUAAAAACUCAUUUCAACCCCCCCAUCUUUAAAAAAAAACAACAGAGCUCCCCUCCUCCUCUCAAGGCUCCGGCUUGGAUCCGAUCAAACGCUCCGGCGUUCCUCCGUCGUAUCCUCGCCGCAGGCGGUGGCCGGAGGUACAAAAUGGAACCUUUUCGGUUCCUUUUUGAUGCCGAAGGCCUCCUAAACACGGAUCCAACGCCGAAUCUUGUAAAAGGCGAGCCUAACCCCACAAAACGAGGAGUAACCGUCCGUCUCCUCUUCCUCCGGCGCGGCGCUAAAAGGUAUUUUUUACUCCUUUUUUGUUUUUUAAAGAAAUAAAUCGAAAAAUAAUGAUAUUUUUAUGAAAAGUGUAAGAAAAACAGAGAAGUGAAAGGCGAAAAUCACCUUCAAUCGCUUUGUUUGCUUUUGAUUUCUGAGAAUAUUUGUAAAAGAGGGGAAUCCGACCCCUUACAAUGAUAAUCACUAGCUUUUUAUAGCCCAAAAAUUACAUGUUUUUUAUAUUCUAUUAUUUCUCUCUCUUUGGUUGCUGUGGCUUUCUUUGUUUUCUUCCUUGCAGGUGACGGCGCAAGUGGGACGAUGGGACAGUGGCGGUGCAAGGCGAUGGCGGUGGCGGCUGAAAUCUAGGGGUCAAAGACCCUAGAUGCGGCGUUAGGGUUUCAGACUUUCUGAAACCCUAAGUAACUUUUUUAGGAUGUUGGGCCUGAGCUAUUGGGCUCCGAGUUUGCUGGGUUAGGGCCACUUGAGUUUGAUGGGCUGUUCGGGUUUGGGCUGGUCUGUUUGAGUUUUGUAAUGGGCCCGGUUUUGGGCAAAAUUGGGUUGUACAUUGUCCAUUCAAACAUAUUAAGACUAUUUGGUUUGGUUUGCCUGUCGGUACGUAAGCGCUUAUUCAUGCAAAAGUAUCCUUUUAUCAAUUAAAAAGAACAGCAAUAAGGUAAAACGUCAAUCUCUAAUAGGGUUUGCGGCGUCGGCAAACGAGUGUAGAAUCUUCUACGGUAAGCAAUAGCAUGCUAUCCUAUUUUCCUCCAAUAGCAUAUUUAUUUAUCAUUAAUAAUUAAUUUUAUUUUAAUUGUAAUAAAAAAAUUAUGACAUAAUUCAUCGUUUACAAACACCAUCUUCAUAUAAUAUUUAAAUUUUAUUUUAGAUAAUUUAUGAUUGUAAUUCUUGAACACAUAUGACAUAAUGGAUGAUUAUUUGAUAAAGCUGAUAGUAAAUUUUUUAAUUUCAUAAAUAGAUUUGAAAGUUCGAUAUAUAUUUUAAGUUGUAUUUAAAAAAAAUAGGAUAUAUGAAAAUUUUUCAAUCUCGCUUAUUGAGUUAAUUAAUAAUCCAUAAAAAAUAUUACUUUGUAUGUUUUAAUUCUUAAUUAAUUUUAGAUAUUUGACUUCUAUUAAUUUAAAUGUUUUAAUGUUUUUUUUGAAUUAAAAAAAGUGUGUAUUUAAUUCUUCAUAAAACAAAUUAUUUGUACAUAAUCAUAAAUCGGUAUAAGAAGAUCAAACCUAAUAUAUCAAAGCAACUAAUUAAGCGGAUUGAUUGUUUGAUUCCAAAUGUUUAAAUUUGAUAAUCAAUGAAUUUAAAGAUAUAAUGAGAUGUAAUUUUGUAAAUUAGAUAUCUCAAUCUUAAUAUUAAGUGAAUGGUGACUCUAACCUACUUAAAAACAAGAAAACAAUCAAUCUUCACUUUAAUUUGUAUGACGCAAAGUUCUUAAAACCAUUUCAAAGAACCGUUAAAAAAUAAUAGAUACAAGAUUUAAUCAAAACAUCAAGUAACGACUCAACCAAAACCCACCAAAGAGAUAUCUAAAGUCUCAAAUCUGGAAUUAAAGGUCAACGUAAACACAAAAUUCUCCAAAAGUAUUAUGAGUUCUAACCUUUUAAUGGGUAUAAUUUCUAAGGUUUUACAAUAGUCUAUUUACAUGCAAAAUUUGUAGCCCAAAUAAAAAUAAAAUAAUAUAGACUAAUCAAAGUUUAACUAAAAUAAAUAAACAGAGUUUAACUGAAAGAUUACCUCUCAAAUUUAAUCGAAAUAUGAGGCAUGCUCAAUAAUAAAGGUAUCACUUCAUGAUAUAAAGGUAUCACUCCUUCAAUGGUAUAAAGCUACAUAAAAUCUUAGUUAUGUCUUUGAAAUAUUUUCAUAAAGGCAUGUGCAAAAACUUUUUCAUUCUAAACAAAUUCAUUCCCUCAAUAUUUUUUAUUUAAAAUCAAAACCACAUUUAUUUUUAAACAACAUCUAACAAUAUAUUUGGCUCAUCCAACAAUUUAUUUUUAAAUGAAAUUUAUUUUAAAAAACCAAAUGAGAAUCAUUAUACAACUUCAUAAAGUCGAUGACACAUCCAACAUUUAAAGCACAAAAAAACUAGAUAGGCCAACAACAAAACAAUAAUGCCAACAUUCUCAAAUACCGCAACAAAUUUGUUCUAAAAACAAAAGAUAGCGCAUCGAACCUAGAGCGUAGAAAUACUUGAAUUCAAUCAUUGUAACAACGAAAAAGGAAAUAAGACAUCCAACAUCCUCAUCACAAUAGAUUCUCCUCUGACCCGCCAACAGCGUUUGCAAUGCAAUAAAACAAAAAAAAGAGGUUAUUGUGAUAGCAACUCUUAUAAAUAUUCCAAAAUUAACUUUUAGAUGCAUCAAGUCUUAAUCUAAGGGAAAGGGUUUAUCCAAACAUGAAAAAUCUAACCAACUCAAUUCAAUUCAACCCAACCUCAACCUAUCUAUAUAGUUUACUUUUAAUUUAUAUCUAAUUUCAAUUAUGGUUUAAAUUUAAAUAUUUUUUAACAAAAAUUUUAAAUACUUAAUAUUGAACAAAUAGUCAUAUUAAUGAAAAUAUGUAAUUAUGAACAAUAACUUAACACAUAGGUAAAAGUAUUUUUUUUUACUUAAUAAUAUUAUUAGCAAUAGUACGUUAUUAAUUGUAUAUAUGAAAAUAAUGAAGCUUAAAAAUUAAAAUUUAAAGACAAUGUCAUUGUCAAAUUUACUCAAAAUUUAUUUUUAACUAUAGUUAUCUAUGUACAUAUGUGACACACAUAAUAAGAUGCUAAUAUAUUUAAGGCAAAAUAUUAUAAAGUUAAACGGUUAGAUAAUGAAGUGAAAUGUUUCUAACCUUAUGCAAUAUUUGAACUUGUUAUAGUAACAGUAUCCAAUGAUGUACUUGGCUCAUCAUUAGAGUUCUCACACCUAUGAACCUCCAUUGAUGUUUCAAGCGGCAGUUGAUGGAAUGGCUUAGGAGCCAUUUCAAGGAGUUCAACAUCAGAUUCAAGCAUCUUCAAAACUUUACUCAUUGAAGGACGAUCAGAAGGCAGUAAUUGUAUACACCAAAAGGCUGUUAUUACCAUUUUCUUUACCAUUGCUUUUUCAUCGUCAGAAACAUCUCCCAACUCCAAGUCCUCUCCUUGAUCUAAUCGGUCAUAAAUCCAAGAUGGAAAAUAUAUUUGACUAGUGUGGUCAGCAAAUGCAUUCACAUUCUUUCUCCUUCCAACUAUUUCCAUCAGUAACAUUCCAAAACUAUAAACAUCGGCUUUGUAUGAGAUGCCUCCAAGAUUUUUGUAAACCAAUUCAGGAGCAAUAUAUCCUAUCGUUCCUCGUGCCGCAGUGAGAGAGACAAUGCUAUUAUCUACUGAAUACAAUUUAGCAAGACCAAAAUCCGAAACUUUUGGAUUAAAAUUCUCAUCAAGAAGAAUAUUGUGUGGCUUGAUAUCAAAAUGUAGAAUUUGCAUGUCACAUCCUUGAUGUAAGUAGUGAAUUCCUUGAGCCACCCCAAGUACAAUAUCAAACAUUUUUUUCCAGCCCAAAGUGUUCUUAUUUUCUUCUGUAAAUAUGAUUUUAUCUAAAGAUCCAUUAGACAUGAAGUCAUAUACCAGAGCUUGCUUUGAUCCCUCCACACAAAAUCCGAUAAGUUUUGCCACAUUAGCAUGAUGAAUUGUCCCAAUGGAAGCAACUUCGUUUAUGAAAUCUUGGCCAUUACCCUUUGACUUGCCCAACAAUUUUAUUGCCACAUGAUGGCCGCUACGAAGCUUUCCUUUAAACACUGAGCCAUAACCCCCUUCACCUAAUUUAUCUUUAAAAUUUUUAGUCAUUUUUUUAAUUUCUUUAAAAGAAUACCUUAUUGGCACCAAAUUAUUUAGGCUUUGAAGGAACUCUUCGAUCCUAUCAUCCAUGGAUAAAUGUCUUCUUCUCCAUUUGUAUGUGACAAGAGCAAGCAAACAAAUGAUCCCAGAAAACAACCUCAAAAAGAUAACUCCACCUUUAAAGAAAUACAAUGUAACAGUUAAAAUUAAUCAAAUAAUAUAUAACUUACAUUCUCAGAAAAAAGUAUAUAGUGUGAUAGUUUUAUGUUAACUAGUAUUUGAGAGAGUGGCAUAUUUCACUAGUCUAUGGACUUAACCGAGAGUAGUCCAAAUUAUAUGUUAUGUUUUUGUCAUUAGCAGGUAUAUCUCAACAGUUUAAAAUUCAGUAUUUCAAACAAAAAAAGAGUAAAUCAUGCAAAGUGGAUACCAAUUCUAACCUCACACAUUCCAACAGAUUGACAGGAUCAUGACAUUCACCCAAAUUCUAAAGAAAGAACAUGAUUCUUAACCAUGAAGGAUACUCAACUGUUGUCUCUAUUCAUGCCAAAUAAACUUGAGGAAGGACAAAUUAAAAAUAUAAUAACCUUCAAAUUUCAUAAAUGAAACAAAAUCUAGAACCACCAAAAGAUGCAAGAGAACUCCCCCAAAAAAAAAAGAUUUGAUAAAUUCAAGAGCUAACUUUCUUUACUUGACAAAAAAAAUAUUCUUUCGUAUAAUAGAAGAAGAUUGUUUUCGGCAUUCAAACUCCUUAAAGAAUGCUAUAGAUUUCUUAGUUUUGCAGUGAAAUUAAAUAUAAACUUGUAUACUAUGAUAGGCUCCUUAUUCUUUUUUUCCCCCCAAGAAAAUUGCUAAUAUCUUUUCUUAACUAGUGCUAGAAUUUGUAUCUGAAAAAAUGCAAAUCUGCAAAUCCAAAAUUAACAAUACCUGUUAUUGCCAAACAAAGACUAUAAGUUCCUGUAAAAAAAACCACGAAUAAAAACGAAAUAUCAUUAUUUCAAGAGAACAGCGAAAUACUAAAAUCAAAGCACUUCUAUUGAAUUUUGGGAAGCCAUAUUUGUUCUCAACUAGUGAAAAUGCAAAUCUGCAAAUCUAAAAUUAAAUAUACCUGUUAUUAGCAAACAGAGACGAUAAGCUCCGAAGAAUCUGGAUUAUAUAUUCAACAAAUCAAAGUAAAAUUAAUAAAGGGGUGUAAAGAAAAAUUCCAAAUUUGUAUAAAAAAAUCAAUGGAAGGUAAUUUAAAAAAUUAUAUUAUGUUUUGUGGUAUAUACUCAAAAAAGAAAUACAACAAUUCUUUACAUAUGUUUGCUUGUAAAAAGUAUGCAACAUGUGUUACAGUAUAAGAGUUUUUAGGUAACUAAUAUGAUUUAAUAUAAUGAAAGGUGAGACAAAAUUUAUUCAAAUUAAUUAAUCCAAAAAGUAUAUAUUAUAGCAUUAAAAGAGUUUUUGCCAAAAAAAAUAAACUCAUCCACAAUGGUGGAAUAUUUACGUACUACCAACUAAAUUGAAAAUUCAUCAAAAAUAAAGACAAAAUAAAAAGAUAGACAUAAUCAAAUAUAAUUGUCCAAAAAGAAGACAAAACAGCAGAGAAAGCAGAGGCAGAUACUAAAUUAGAAAUGCUUUUAGUUCAUUUGAUUGUUAGAUGUUGAUCAAUUUUAGAUGCAAAAUCAUCAUACUUAAUUACCAUCAUAAUAUUUAAUUGUGAUAAAUGUAACAUAAAAUAAAACAAAACAAAAAGUAGAUGUUGUAACUAAAAAUUCCAGUAUGAUUCACACUCAAAAUGCAAACUUAAAUUAUUAAAGAAACUUACAUAUCUUUAAACCAAACUUUGUUUUUAUUGUAGUAGCUACUCUCGCUAUCCCAUCAACUCCAUUGGACCCAAAAACCCUCCAAUAAUUUUUUGUAUAUAUCCAGCGUAGACAUGCCUAUUAUAUUAUCAAUCAUAAUUGGAACCUCCGCUUCGAUAGUGCAAGCUUGAUUGAAAUCAGAUGGGUCGGUGUUUCCAUUUAAAAAAUAGAAAUGGGAAGUUGGAAGGG
rnacentral:lncRNA from 1 species